rnacentral:lncRNA from 1 species
AAAAAAAACAAAGUUAAAUAAUAUUCAUUACAAAGAAAAAUAAUAAAUGAAGUUUUAAAGGUAAAUAAUGUUGAUUACAAAUUAAUAUAAAGAUGAUGGAGCUUGAGGAGGAGGAGGAGAUCCUGGCGGAGGCUGGUGGUUAUACGGCCAAAAAGGAUUAGGCGCACAUGUUCCGCUAUUUGACAAUUUCAUAAUCAUUUCGUAAAGCUGGUCAUAAGCCGCUUUUUGCUGUUCCUGAGCCGCUUCAUACUCCGCUUUUUGUUGUGCUUGAGACGCUUUGAAUUGCUCAGACUCCGCUCUUUGUUCCGCUCUUUGUUGUGCAUGAGACGCUUUGAGUUGUGCGUACUCCGCUUGUAGGUUAUCGUAUUUCUCGGUGAGUUGCUGCAAAGCCACGGACUCCUUAGAUUGGGAGCUCGAUAUUGAUUGGGAGCUCCCAACGGUUGAAAAACUACGGGUCGACCGCAAGUUGUCGGCCGUAGUGUUGGAGAGCCUGUAAACCCGAUUUUUAUCGGGUCCACCUGACGAGCCAACCUCCAUCCACAAAUCCGGAUCGAAUUCCGGAUGGGUCAAAGUAUCGUCCCCGUAUCUCUCCCUCAACCGAUUAUUGUAGGUCUCCUGAAAAAUAAAAAAAAGUAAUCAUCAUAUUCAAUACAAUAAACAUAAUAACUUACAUAAUAACUUACAAAAUAAAAUGGUUGAACAAACAUACCACGAAAUACUGAGCACGGUUAUCAACGAACUGUUGCGCCCCCUUCUGGCGAUCUUGACUCCGCACGUGCGUCUCCACAAACAGCUCCAUCGGGCUCGGCUCACGUCCAAGAGACGCAGCCUAUAAUGAAAAAAGAUAUAUUAACAACAACUGAAUUUAACGAUAUAUUUCAUUUAAAUUAAUCUUACCAUCCGUUUCGCAUGUGCAGCAAACGGAACGGAGCCGCCAGUGUGAGUUGUCACCCCGCCAUGAAUUGGCCGAUUCCGGUUGCCAGCACCGGACUGUGAGCGUCGUGUGAACCGCUCAGACGUCACGUGCUCAAGAUAGUGCGGCCAUAUAUCUUCCGGGAUGUAUAUCGGUUUGAAAUCCCUCCAAACCGCAACAUCGUUCCAGCCUUGGAAACCCCUAUCCCUCGCGGUUUUUUUUGCCUUUUUCUGUGCUUCAUACCAAAAAUCACGCAACCUGCUUCACGCAACCAAAAAUUACAUUUCGAAACAUAAAAUUUUGUCUAAAAAAUCCUGUAUUGUUUUCGAUCUUACCUAGUUGCCGCGUGAUUUUCCCACACCCUCCUCACAACAGCGUUAUGCUCAAUGUCCCAGCAGAAUUUGUGCUUUGUAUAAAUAAACAAGUUUAAAUAAAAAUAAUAAUUUAUUUACAAUUAUAUUAAUAAGCUGAAAAUUAUAAAUUAAUACCAACCUCAAACCUGUUAAACCAUGCAUUGAUUUGAGGCAUCCAUUCAGGAUGCUUGGAUAUCUGACUCCAUUGAAACAAUGGAAUCUCCAUCGACGAUUUAAACGCCGAUGAUAUUACUCGGGCGGCUUCAAUGUUUGUGAACCUGAAAAUAAAUGAAAUAAAUUCAAUAGUGAUUACUUGAUAAAUUAUGUUGUAAUUUUUUUUUAAAAAAAACUAAAACCUUAACAAACUUACAUUGAAAGGUCGUCCUUCCACUGUGCCUCGUACUUGCGGGUAAAUUGAUUCCGCUGCGAAGGCACGCCGCCUCUGCGCUGUGAAGUACCGCUGGAAGAGGCAGCAUCGAUUGACGGCGCAAGUGGUGUAGGUGCCUCUUCUUGAGAGGCACCUAAGGAAAUAUCAUCCUCGCUGCUAGACGAACUAGCUGUGACCGCACCUAAGCGACCAACUCUGGUUUUCGUUCUAUGCAUCUACACAAUUUGAUACAAAUAAUUAUAUAAUUAAAUUCAAAUGAAAAAAAAAAAUUCGACAGCACCUCCCCUAUAACGGAUACUACCCAAAACCACAAACCUGCACAUAUUAACAAUAGCCACAACCAAUUUACCCAAUCUAUACUAAUUAUUCCAACAUAUUCAAUUACUAAUUCUAAGGUAAAUUCAACAUUAAGAAUUACAAUUCAAGUAAUUAUUCAAUAAUUAUGCCAAUACAACAAAAUAAUAAAUAAAUAAAAAACUCUAGAAUAACAAUCAAAAUAAAUGGAAAAAAUUAAACACAAAGCAUGCAAUAAUAGAGUAAAACUAAUAAUUAUUCCAACAUAUUCAAUUACUAAUUCUACGGUAAAUUCAACAUUAAGAAUUACAAUUCAAGUAAUUAUUCAAUAAUUAUGCCAAUACAACAAAACAAUAAAUUAAAAAAAAAAACUCUAGAAUAACAAUCAAAAUAAAUGGAAAAAAUUAAACACAAAGCAUGCAAUAAUAGAGUAAAACUAAUAAUUAUUCCAACAUAUUCAAUUACUAAUUCUACGGUAAAUUCAACAUUAACAAUUACAAUUCAAGUAAUUAUUCAAUAAUUAUGCCAAUACAACAAAACAAAACAAUAAAUUAAAAAAAAAAACUCUAGAAUAACAAUCAAAAUAAAUGGAACAAAUUAAACACAAAUCAUGCAAUAAUAAAGUAAAAUUAAUAAUUAUUCCAACAUAUUCAAUUACUAAUUCUAUGAUAAAUUCAACAUUAACAAUAAAAAUUCAACAAAUUAACUAAUAAUAAUUAUGCCAAUACAACAAUAAAAAAUAUUCAAAAAAUUCAAAAAAAAAAUAUAUACUUUAGCAAUGAAUUAUGCAAAAAAAACUAUAGACUUUAUCUACAUUACAAAAAAUACACCAAAACAAAAAACAAUAACCAAAAAAAUAGCAAAAAAAAACUAUUAAAGUAAAAUGAAAUAGAGAAAACACUAACCUUUUAAACUGAUGAAGAUGAUGAAGAAAACUUACUAGAGAUUGGAGGUGAAAGCUUUGAAGAAUGGAGAGGAAAAAAAUCAAAAGCUUAAGGUGAGAAACGAAGGAGAAGAAAAAAUGAACUGAACGGGCGGUCACUUGAACUUAUAUGGCAGUUUUACCGACGGCUUCACCGACGGAUAUAAAAUUAAUUAUUAUUUUAAUUUAUUCCGUCGGUGAUGUGCUAAAAUCCGUCGGCAAAUUUUGAAUUUCGCACCAAAAUUUUUAAUGACCCUCCAUAUUUUUCGUAGUCCGUCGGUAAUUCCGUCGGCAAUAUUACGCGGUCAGAGGCGCAUUUAAUGCGCAACCCUUUGAAAUUCGCGCAGUCCGUCGGUAAUAUUGUCGGUAAAAGUAAACCGCCGACAACUUACCGACGUAUUUAAUUUCCGUCGGUGAGUCCGUCUGUAAUGGGGUGGCAUUUCAAGUAAUUAUUUUCGAACUCUCUGUGAAACACCGACGGAAUUAGUCCGUCGGUGUGGCCGUCUGUAAUGGGGUGGCAUUUCAAGUAAUUAUUUUCAAACUCUCUGUGAAACACCGACGGAAUUAUUCCGUCGGUGUGGCCGUCUGUAAUGGGGUGGCAUUUCAAGUAAUUAUGAAACACCGACGGACUUAAGGCCGUCGGUGUAGCCGUCGGUGAUAUGGUGGCAUUUCAAGUAAUUAUUUUCGAACUCUCUGUGAAAUGCCGACGGACUUAAGGCCGUCGGUGAUCUGGUGGCAUUUCAAGUAAUUAUUUCAUGUCACAAAAUAUAUUAUCCAUCAUAAUUGUGGCAUUUCAACUAAUUAUUUCAAGUGAUAAAUAUUUUGUGUUUCAAAAUAUAUAUAUCAUUCAUAAUCUAAAUUACAUGUAAAAAAGGGUUUUACAUAGGGCUUCAUUUUGGUAGUUAGUCAGAAUUUUCUUCUUCUUCGUCAUCAAUUGAAUUGUCAUCACCUUCAUCGCAAUCUUCAAUAUGAAUAUCAUCUUCUUCAUCGAUAUUUGGUUGUCCGCUAGAGCUCAAAACAAAAUUUAACUCAUCUGCGUCAACAUCAACAAGACUAUCAUUGAAAACACGAAAAUUUGAAUUUUCUUCCAAUUCAAUCGAAGGAGCAACUCGAUAUGGUUCAACCACCUCACUAACUUGAAAGACUUCAUCUCGCACACUUGUGUCUUCGUUCUCAUCCUGAACAACCUCGACACGACCCCGGGGUUUCGUUUUUAAAACGGACAACCAAUCCACUCUUGAUCGAUCCUUUCUAAAUGAAGGGGUGUAUGUGUAAUAAACUUGUUGACAUUGCUUUGCGAAAACAAAGACAUCGUUUAUGUUGCGGAGUCUAGCUUUUGAGUUGAUUUCGACCAGACCAUAGUGCGGAUCAACUCUGAUUCCUCUGUCAGUCGUGUCAUACCAAUAGCAUUUGAAUAAAAACACUAUAUUCUGCUCGUUAUGAUAUUGCAGUUCGACGACCUCUUCUAAUCUACCAUAGUAGUCAACUUCUAACUCACUACUAGUGGAUCCCUUAACACAAACACCGCUGUUGUAUGUCUUUCUUCCUUGCCCGUGUUCUUCAGUAUGGAAAACAUAUCCAUUGACAAAGUACCCGUUGUAGCACUUACAUUUUCUUUCAGGCCCCAGGCUUAGUAAAGACAAUGACUUAGGUGCACUCCUUCCCAUUUGAUAAACCUUGCAUGUAAUGUACAUCAAUAAACAGUAAAUGAACGAGAAUCUCGUAAUGACAUGCAUACGUACAGUAAUUUUGCAAGUUAUAAUGAGUUUGUGAUAGUGCUUACAUGUGUUCUGAACCACGUGGCAAACUUCUCAUCUUGUAAUUGAAAGAUCUGGGAUUCAGUCAGCUGUGAGUUAUUGGAGAGCAAAAAUUGACGAUGUUUCCUGCAAGUGAUAAUGAGUGUAUGAUAUUACAAUAUAUAAUUAACAGUAUAUUACUAACAAAGUUUAAUUAGUAUAAACUUACUGAAUAAAAGGUCUCAGCUCAUCACAGUUAAAUAGAACAUAGUUGUGUGCUUGUUUGAACUCUAUUUCCGACAAAUAUCUUCCUCUUACGGCAUUUUUAGGUGUGGGUCGUCCAGUAUUGGAGAAUAUUGACAAGUUCCCACUGGAAGGCACUUCACCGCCAUCAUCAUGCCGUGGAACGCGAUUGAUUCUCGUUCUCAGAUGAGGUUCGAAAUAGUACGAGAUAAAUGUUGAGAUCUCCUCAACAAUAUAGGCCUCACAUAUCGAAGCCUCAACAUGCGCCUUGUUCUUAACCUUUUUCUUGAGAUUAAACAAGUACCUGCAUUGAAAUAUUAAUCAAGUAUUUUCAAUUCAGAAAAACAUAUAAAAUACUUUAAUAUAUGAAUUACAUUGCAACUGUAAUAUCUAACCGUUCGAAUGGGUACAUCCAUCUAUAUUGGACCGGUCCUCCAGCUUUUGCCUCGAACGGUAGAUGUAUAGGGAGAUGCUCCAUUGAGUCAAAAAAUGAUGGAGGGAAUAUCAUCUCAAGUUUGCAUAGUGUCUCGACGAUAUUCGUUUGAAGCCUCUCAAUGUGAUCAACAUUCAACUUGCUGGAGCAUAUAUCUCUGAAGAAAUGACUGAUCUCCGUGAGUGCAUCCCAUAUUCCCUUUGGCAACAAAUCACGAAAAGCUAAUGGGAUGAGUGUUUGCAUAAACACGUGGCAGUCAUAACUCUUCAUUCCAUACAAUCUGCAGUCCUCUAUAUUAACCAGCCUUGAUAUGUUCGAUGCAUGUCCAUCCGGAAAACGCAGACUCUUAAGCCAUUUGUAGACUAGCAGUUGUGUGUUUUUCUCCAACACGAAGCUUGCUCUUGGUUUUGCAACCCGUGACUCAUCAUAAACCAACUCCAUAUUUUUUCGGUUACAGUAUAAAGCUAUAUCCAAUCUAGCCUUGAGGUUGUCCUUUGUCUUCCCCUUCACAUCCAUGACGGUGUUGAAAAUAUUCUCAAACAUGUUCUUUUCGAUGUGCAUGACGUCAAGGUUAUGGCGAAGCAGAUUGGUCUUCCAAUAAGGAAGCUCAAAAAAGAUACUUCGAUUUACCCAAUUAUAGGUCAAACCAAAACCAGGAAACUUUUGCUUUCCUGAUUGAAGGCCAAACACAAUGUCACCGUACUCUGAGACAACAUCAUGCAAUUCUUCACCAGAAAGACGCGUGGAUGCAACAUCUUUUUCAACUCUGCCAACAAAAAAAUCUUUUCUGUUCUUUCUGUACCUGUGAUGAAGUGGCAAGAAGCGACGGUGACAGUCAAAAAAAGAAGCUUUACCUCCAUUUGCUAGCGUGAAUGCCUUGUUGUUUUCCAUGCAGUAUGGACAUGCGAGUUUCCCAUGCGUGCUCCAACCAGAAAGCAUUCCAUAAGCUGGAAAAUCAUUGAUAGUCCACAUCAAUGCCGCCCUCAUAAGGAAAUUUUGUUUCCUCGAUAUAUCAUAAGUCAGAGCUCCGGAUGACCACAACUGCGCCAACUCAUCAAUCAACGGUUGAAGACAAACAUCUAUAUUCCGCCCCGGGCUUCUUGGACCGGGUAUGACAGUAGAUAAAAACAUGAACUCCGGCCUCAUACACAUUCCCGGUGGCAAGUUAUAAACUGUGAGUAUGACCGGCCAACAAGAAUAAGGAGCAGCAAAUGACCCAAAUGGGUUGAAUCCGUCUGUACACAACCCAAGACGCACAUUCCUUGCUUCAGCUGAAAAGUGAGGAUGAACACUGUUAAAGCGUUUCCACGCUUCGCCUUCAGAAGGAUGAACCAUCACUCCAUCAACCGCAUGGUGUGCUUGGUGCCAUGUCAUGUGCUCAGCAAUCCUUGGUGACAUGAAUAACCUCUGCAGUCUAGGUGUGAUCGGGAAGUAUCUAAGUUUUUUAUAUGCCACUAGAGUCUUUCCCCUGCCAGUUCUAGGUUUGUAACGGGAAUGCCCGCAUGUCAUGCACUCGGUCAUCUCAGCAUUAUCAAGGUAGUAUAACAUGCAGAAGUUAGGGCACAUGUCAAUUUUCUGGUAUCCUAAACCGAGGGGUUUCAUCAUGGACUUCGCAGCAUAGAAGUUCUCUUUCAGCCUGUUCCCUUCAGGUAAAAUGCUUCUUGCCCAUUCAAUAAUCUUGUCAUACCCGGCCUCACUCAACCCGUGAUCUGACUUGAUGGUGAACACCUGUGCUACGGCCGAUAAUUUACUGUGGUUCGUGCAGCCAUCCCAUAAUGGUUUGUCAGAAUCUUUCAACAAAUCAAAAAACCUAGCUGCAUCUACAUUAGGUUCUUCUUCUACGAUUGGACAUUGACUGCCAUUACCUUGAUUCAUUCUCAUUGCAUCCAUAACCAUAUUUCUGUAAGGAUUGGUGUUGUCAUUUGCCGUUUCAUGCACGUUGCUAGCACUAGAAGUAGACCCAACCACCGUUUCUUCCAUUCUCCUCUCACUCUCGCUAACAAAUACUUCUCCAUGUGCAUACCAACACUGAUAAUUCUCCAUAAACCCUUUGUGUAGAAGAUGCAUCAUUACAACAUCUGGAUGCAGAUACUUUUUAUUUUCACACUUCCUGCAUGGACACCUAAUACCGCCUCCAGUAAAAUUUCUGGGAAUAGAUGUUACGAAAUUAAUAAAACCCUGAACCCCAUUACAAUAAUCCAUCCUCCGCAAUCCUUGGGGUGAAUCUCGAUACAUCCAUGAACGAUCAUCCAUGACUUAUAUCGAACCUCUAUAAAAUUAUGAUGACAUCAUGUAUUAAUUAUCUAAGUUAGGUAAAUAAACUUGUACAAAUAUUACUUUAACUCGAGAUUAUCCAACAAACCAAUCACAACUUCUCAUAAAUAUUAAAUAUUCAUUAUCAUUUAUCAACGUUCAUACGAAUUAAAAAAUAUACAUUUACAGAAAUUACCACUCCGCAAUACCAUUGAUAGAACUUUAAACGGGCCCAUUAAGCAAGCUAUUAAUUAUUUCAAAAUAGCACAUGUAAUUCGGUAAUUCCACAAAGAAAUAACAAUUUACAAACAAAUACAAUCUUACAAAAUCUAAAACAAACCAUAACAGGUACAAAAUUAUGCAUUCAUAUACUACAAGUUUGUUUGAGAAAUAACAAUAAAACAUGUACAUCUACUAACAAAAUACAUAUACUUAAAAAACAAUAAAAUUGACAUUUAAUUAAAUGUUAAAAUUUAAAAAGAUAUAAUUACUUACAAAAAUUGAUCCGUCGGUAAAUCAGAACACGCGCGGAUGCUGUGACCACAAAACUUCAAGAAAUAUAACUUGUUGUGCUGAUAUGAGGAAGAUUUUUUUUUUGGGGGGGAGGGGGGCUGGUUGUUUGCAGAUGGGGAGAGUUGGGAUGAGGAAGAAAAAGGAGAAAUAGGGGAUGAGAGGGUCGGCAGAGCUGUCAUAUAUUAACUUUUGCCGACGGUUUUACCGACGGAAAAUCCGUCGGUUAUUACGCCGGUGAUUCUGACGGAAACAUAGACAUGUCACCGUACGGAUCUGCCAUUUCAAAUCCCUCGGUGAGUCCGUCGGCAAUUUAAACGGCGAACCGGUCACAUCACAUUACGGGCACUGUACGGGCAGUCGUUUUUCAAUCCGUCGGCGAUGCCGUCGGAAACAAAUAACCCGCCAAAACCUCCACGUCAGCGACCCGCCUUUUUUUAAAUUCGGAAACUUUUCCGUCCAUAAUUCAGUCGGUAAAAUACCGACGGAAAAUUUCCGUCGGUAUUGACCGACUGAAUUACGGACGGAAAAGUUUUCGUCGGUUUUUACCGACUGAAUUACGGACGGAAAAUAGCCGUCGGUAAUUUCGACCUCAAAAUACCGACAGAAAUUAUUCCGUCGGUAAAUCCGUUGGUAUUUAGCGAAUUUUUGGUAGUGAAAGAAUGAAAUUCUAUUAUUUUAAUCAAAAUAAUUGAUUUAAAUCGACUCGAUAACUUCUAAAUUAACUCAAUAACUCAAACUAUUUUUCAAGUCGGUCCUCAAAUUGGAUUGACAUAGUAAGAUCGUGACCCUUAUAUGUAGUCUUGCCUUAGAAAUAACAUGCAAAACAACAUUUGGAAUGAAACUAGUUAGGUGUCUUGUGAUUUGCUAUAGGCCAAACUAUUUUUUUUAACAUAACAAAAUAAAUGUGCAAGUGUUCCCAACAACAUGUUUUUUAAAAUGAAAAAUAUAAUUGCAAAUUAAAAGGAUAAUGCAUAUAUUUAAUUAAAUAAAUCGAGAAUCAUAUAUACUAAUAGAUAACAAAAAAAAAAUUGUUAGUGCUAAUUAAAAACUAAGUUAAAAAGUUGAGAAAUAAAUGCAAAUCAAGUUAUUUUAUCUCGCAAUACGAGUCAUAGAUCAAUUGUAUUUAAUAACUUUAUUUUUUAAAACUAAUUUUAUAUUUAGUUAAAUAAUAAUAAAAAUAAACACAUAUAAUAAAAUAAUUGAACAAAGUUAAAAGAAACAAAUAUAAUCUAGGAUGGGAAAAAAAAUGACUGCUAUCAUUGGAAAAGGAUAAUAUAUAUAUUUAAUUAAAUAAAUCGAGAAUCAUAUAUAAUAAUAGAUAACAAAAAAAUAAUUGUUAGUGCUAAUUAAAAACUAAGUUAAAAAGUUGAGAAAUAGAUGCAAAUCAAGUUAUUUUAUCUCGCAACACGAGUCAUAGAUCAAUUGUAUUUAAUAACUUUAUUUUUUAAAACUAAUUUUAUAUUUAGUUAAAUAAUAAUAAAAAUAAACACAUAUAAUAAAAUAAUUGAACAAAGUUAAAAGAAACAAAUAUCAUCUAGGAUGGGAAAAAAAUGACUGCUAUCAUCCCCCCCACCCACACACACACACUCAUAAAAUAAUUUUUUUUUUCAUAAUUUUUUGAUGAAUCUUUCUUUUAUUUCUCAAAUCAAUGAUUGAAAAGUAAAAAAUAAAAAUAAAGUUAUGGAUCAAAUUAUUAAACCUUCAAACUAAAAAAAUCAAAAAGGAUUUUUGCCAAAUUCUUUAGGCUGAAAAUGCUAUCAAGGCGCAUUUCAAAUAGCAGCCACAGAAGAAAAACCCUAUAUUCUUUCAUUUUGGUCAAAUUUAUCAAUCUUUUGUUUUUGCAAGCAAUAAAACAAAUUGUUUUUACAAAAUCAAGUUAAAACAGUUUUUUUAACACAAUAAUAAUUUCAUAAAAAACAAAUAAAAAUAAAUUAUGAAAUCAAAUUUCAAACUAAUAUAAUAUCAAAAAUGAAUUUUUUUUAAAAAAAUCAGUAAAUAAAAAAAUAUUAAUAAGAUAGACAAAAUCAUACUGUUAGAACCCACGAUACACUUAGUUUUGGUACCCGGAGAAGUGUACGAAGUUUUUAGGACGGGGCAUAGAAUUGAACUAAUUAAAUGGACACAUUUAUGACGGACUCUUUGCUGUGGGAUUAAAAAAUAUAUAUUUGGGCCGUAAAGACCGAUAAAAUUAAAUUGGGCCUUACAAGUAUUUCUAACCGAAUAUUAAAUUAUUCAAAAUCGAAAUAUUUCGUGUUCGAUAUAAAUUUCGAUUUACUGUAAAAAAAUGGUUAGGUUCGCUCAAGUAGUGAGCUCCCUAGACACAACACGAAAAUUCAACUCUACUAGUACUAGCUUGUUUGGUUACCGAGAAAAUCAAGUAUUCCCAGGAAAUAAAAGUCUCUUUAGUGAGCUCCCUAAGGUAAAUUUUCCUUCAUUCCUUCUUAAAUUCAAAAAUUUGAGAAACUUGUUUAGUUUCCAAGAAAAAAAAAAUCUUACUUUGAGCUCUCUCUCUGUUUUUUGCAGAAGUAAAUGAUGGGGGGGUUUUGAAGAAUUUGAACCCAUUUUUGAUGAACCCAGAAUAGAAUGGUCAAAUAAUUCUAAUCCGAGUUCGGGUUUGAUGGGCCAGUUCUUGAUGCGUAUAUUUGCUCCUGACUACAACCACCUCAAAAUUCAAGUAACUGAUUACCAUUCCAAUACUUUUGAGGAUGCUAAAUCGGUUAUGCAGCUUGAUGACUUGGUUAGUGUUUUUUUUUUUUAAUUAUUAUUAUUAUAAUCAUGGGUUUUUGAUUUUAUGAAAUUUGGGUUUUAAAGUUUGUAACUUUUUUUUUUUUUUUUAAUGGGGGCAAUGCAGAGGGAUUGCAUUGGAAUUGGAGGGUCUUGGACUGAGCUUGUCGAGUAACUUGCUGCUUCUUUUAAAUCUGACGAUGUAAAGCUUGUUCUUGAGAAACUUUCGGAUUCGGAUGGUGAUUCAUGUUGUUGAACUUUAAUGCAUUUUAAUUCUAAUUUCUAAAUACUAAAUGACGAUAUAUGGUGAAGUGAAGUGAUUUUUCAGCCAAGCAUUUCUUACAUGCUGCAGGGCAUCUUCUUCUUCUUCUUUGUGUGGUUUGCUUACUCCUUUAAGACUGCCCUCCCCUGCUUUACAACAGACAAACUAGAAGGACGAGAUCCUGCCUCAACGAAAGUUACUAAUCGUGUCGUGUCAGCAUUUCACAGGUACUUCAGCAUCAUUAGUGUCAUUCACCAUAUGAGCCUGUGUUUCCAAUAUCUAAACUUACAGUGUUUGAGCAGGGCAAAAGUGAGGGGUGCCUUACUCCAGGAUACAGAAGAUGACGAAAAUAACUAGAAGUCAUUUUGACAGUUUGUUUCACUGUGUUUUGGAAUUAAAGAUUACAGAUUAGAAUUAUGAUUCACAUAUAAUAUACCAAGCAAAGAAGUCGAUCAGUUUAAGUACAAGGAGUAAUAUCUUUGGGUUACUGAUCAGGUAACAACUGGAUGUCAGUUUUGUAUUUCUCAUUAGAAAAUGUAAUGCCUCCAUCAGAUUUGUAGCUUACUAUUUGGGGUGUGUGUAUUCUUUUAACCUCUUGUUUAUACAAAUGCUGCUAUGGGUUGAUGUGACCUUACACAUCGUCAAUAUGGCCUAUUCUGUUUCCAAGCAUGUGCUAUUAUCCUUUAGGUUAAGAAACAAAACUGUUGAAAUCAGAUGAAAUAUCAAAAAGCAUCUAAAGAACUAGAAGGCCAACCUUCUUGAGUAUAAUCUAUAAUAGGAGUGAUUUUACACGAAAGAGUGGCUCCUAUCUACAAGACUAUAAAGUAAGUUGUAAGAGAUAAAUUGAUAUCUGCAAAAGGCAAGACUCUGUUUUAAAUAUAUUCUCUAAAGAACCAUCCCAGAAUAAUUUCUCUUGCUUGUGUCAUUUCUUAUUCUAUGGCUCAUACUGAUACCAUUGCGAAAAUCUUCAGACGCGUCCUUUGAGUUUAGUACUUUUGCUUUUCUUAGUGCAGAAGAUAGGCCAGCAGCUUGGCAAGGCAUCCAUGUUGUCAUCAUACCUGCACAAUCCCAGUAAGAAAUUUAAAAUCUGAUUGUAGUACUCCAAUUUAACAGUCUGACGAAUUUCAGUAAUCAAGAAAGAAAAUCAGACGACAGAAUUCUCAAUACACGGAAAUAGAUCCUGCAAAGAUGAAUUUUCCAUUGCAGAUCAUUCAAAUGUUAAAAUUUAACAGAACCCAAGAAAUACCUGCUUGGGCUGCUGUUCCUGCUGCUAGUGCUUGUGCUGCUGUUCCGGCUGCUGCUCCCACUUUUCCUACACACUUUUGUAAACAAAAUCCUGUUGACCCACCACUCCUUGUCUGCGCGGUUAUCAGUUAGUUCCAUCGAUGACCUUGGAGGAACUUCUGUGUCAUUUCUCGUGUUGUCUGAUCUGAUCUUGAAACUGAGAGAAGUUGGAAUCAACAUCUUGAUCAAGAAAGUUUCCUUUUCCAUACUUCCAUUUCUUGAAAUAUCACCUGUCUUGCUAAAACUCUUCGUCUUCUUCGUCUUUUGUUUUGUGAUGAUUUGAGCCUCAAUCUUUAAAUCAGAACUUGUUCUUUGUAUCGCCAUCUCCUCCCGUGCCUCUUCUGAAAUCUGCUGCACAUCAACAAUAUCCUUCAACGAUAGUUCAUAACUACACUCUGGCAUGCUAUGAACCAUCUCCAUGAGCUUCUUCCUACCUUCUGCCAUCACUUGUAACCGUGACCUUGGCGAAAUACUACUGUUAUGAUGGCUACGGGGGGAUAAAGGGGAGGAUUCAUUUCUAACAUUUAUUGACACAUCAGUUUCUCUCAAGGGUGAUGAGUAAUCAACAAAGUCUUCUUCAAACUGUGCUUGAAACCCUACGUCACUACAUCCUCUAUCACCAUAAUAUUGUGUUUCACUUGCACCCCAGAAAACAAAGUCUGCGUCUCCGUUGUCAUUGCCGUGCAUUUUGUACUCAGGAUUCAAAGAAGGGAGAUGAUUGCAGUGAUCAAGCAUGGCCUUGAUCAGGAGGAGUGUUGAGAGAAGAACAAGUGAUGCUCAAUUAAGAGAAAAUAAAGAGAUUUUAUGGGAAGGAUAAUAGUCUUAUUUUCUACACAGUUUACAUAGGGGCUAAAAGUCUUGCCGUCUCAAAUGGGAUGAGAUGUGACUGGUCUAAGCUUCCUAUUUUUCUACACAUGUCUUGUUCAAGAUUUUCUUAAGAAAAUUUACAAUGAGUAAACACCUAUCUUGGUUUUGUCAUUUUCUAAUUUUAAGUUGUAAUUUAUUAGGUGAAUAUGUGAAUGAUAAUUAUUUUAUAUUGAAAAAGAAUGAAAAAAAAGUGAUAUUUAUAUAUAAAAUAAAUCCAUGACCCAACCAUCUAUAUUUUGAGAUAAAAGUGAUGUCCAUCCUUGUACGUAAAACUAUCGUGUGCGUAGGUCUAAUACGGACAUGGAGAUUCAUGCAUCUGUCCAAACACAAAAAGCUCCCUAACAAAAUAACACAAGAGUCUACGGUUCGGAUGAUAAUUAGGGUCUCGUGGCUUUGUUUGUUUUCCCAUAUAUACACACCCUAGCUCGUUCGCACGAGUCCCCGAACAAACUAAAAUUAUUAACGAAUUUCUUCUGGUUCAGAAUAAUAUAAAUUAUAUCUUAAAAUUUUAUUUAAUAGCUUAAAUUUUUAAAUUGAGAUAGUUUUUUAACAUGAUAUCAAAGCCUUAAUGACCAAACGGUCACGAGUUCGAAUAUCACCAUCUUCAUUUAUUUGAUAAAAAUUAAGCACAAGGUAAUAUGAACUUGUGCAAGUUUCAAGUCCAAAGAGCUUUCAUUUGAGGGGGUGUGUUAGAGAAUAAUAUAAAUCAUAUCUUAAAAUCUUAUCUAACAGUUUAAACUAUUGAGUUGAGAUGAUUCUUUGAUAAUGAGAUAGACAAUUACUAACCUACGUUUACUCGUGUAAUAGUAAAUAAGUUUACUCUUUAUAUAUAUUAUCAUCCAAGCUGAAGAAUAUAUAUAUAUUUUUUAUGAAUAUAGAGUCGGGUGUGGGUUUUAAGACAGGAAAAUAAUAUAGUAUUGACUUGUGGAAUCUUGAGUGACAUGAAUAUAAAAUGUUUUUUUUGGGUAAGAUAAAAUUCCAUUUUCCAAGUUGUAGGGGCCCUGUUGGAUGUGUUGCUUUUCUAGAUAUUCAACUCGGUGCGUGUGCUGAGGAGCUGAGGAGCUAGGGGCAGGUGAUCAACAGCACAUCACGAUCCUGGAAUGGAAGACAACCUUUGCAUGAUCCACGUUAUCUUUCUCGAAGGUGUCCAAAAUCUUUGUUAACAUGGCUUGAUUAGAGGUCAUUUAUUGACUCUUAUUUUUGUGGCUGUCCUUGUUCUUAUUCAUGAAUUCAAAGGAAGAUUACCCUAAUGACUUCGAGGAAAGAAACAAAACGAGGGCCGAGAAUGAAUUACUUAAUUUCUUAACAAAGAAAUAUUUGUUUUUUUUUAAAUAAUAUAUGAUUUGAAUUCAAUGCCACAUAUUUCCAGGAAACAGAGAAGAAGUUUAAAACUAUUUUCGAUAACUAAUAAGUCAUUUAUUUAGGCCCACAUAAAUACUGAUAACAAUAAUAUCUCCACAUAAAUCUUACAUUUCUAUUUUUCAAAAACAAAAUAAAAAAGAACCCAUGGAAUAUUUACUUAAUUAGGCCCGAAUUAAUGGAUCCUUAUACUAUGAAAUGACUCAUGGCAUUACUUGGGGUUGUAAGACGAACCAUGCUCUAUAUAUAUAUAGUUCUUGUUUAGAAAAUUAUUAAAAUACCCAUUUUUUAAAAUUUAAAGUUAAAAAAAAAAAGAUACUUUCGAUCAGAUUAACUAUUUAAAGUUUCUAAAACUUGACUUUGAAUGAGAAUUUAAUUACAUCAAGCAUGCCUUCGAGCAAUAUAUAAUGAUAACAUAUAGUAUAUGUUCUUUGCAAGAGUCUAUGAAGCUCGAUCUAAUCAAGUCAAACCAAGUUUCCGGGUUAGCUUCAGUCCAACCCUAAUUAAUCAUCACCAACAACGUAGCUGACUGGUUGGCUUGCUUGAGCAAUAUAUAUAGCACUGUUGAAAUAUUAGACUAACAGUACUGCUAUGGUGGCCAUCAUUGAAUCCAUCGUCUCUGUUAAUUAGGUUAAAAGAAAUAGGCGACCUCUACGAAAAGAAAGAAAGAAAAACGUAUACUGUGUAAAUUAACUAUCUAAGGUUCAUGUAUUUAUAUAAUAUAUACGAACAUAUGUUGCAUAAUAAAUGAAAACAAAAUUAAAUUAAUUAUAAUAUUAAAGUUUUCAACUCUUAAUACCAGCUUACUAGAUUUAAUUUCACUUAGAUUAUUAUGUUGUUAUAGAUUAGGUUUUUUUUAUAAAGCAUUGAAAACACCUAAAUAAAAUUACUGCUCAUCAUAUGACCAUUUAUAUUUUUGUACUUUUAUUUUUAUAAAUAAAGAUUUUCAUCAUCAAAAGAAUGAACAACUUCUAAAAUUCCAUUGAUUGAAUAAUUCAGAAAGAUAUGUUCUUGCACUUAAAUUAUUUUUGUAACAUACAAUAAUUAAUGAUGGAGUUGAUUUUUUAUUAAUAAAAAACUAAAAGAGAAGGGAAAGUUACUAUAUCUCUUCUCACAAAAUAUUAUUCACUGUAAUAGUAUUUUUUCUAUUUUUUAUAAACUAUAUAUGUUGUUUUUUUCAUUUUCAAUUUCAAUUUCAUCAUUCAAAGUGAGGUUUAUUGGGAAUUAAACUUUUAUAAUUUUUUUCAAUUUAAUUUUAAUGAGGUUAUCCCAAACCCAUGAUUUGAGUCGUGGGUUUGAUAGGUUAACUCGAUUGACUCAAGUUUUUUUUUUUUAAAUUGAUUUUUUUUUCAAUUUCAUCCUUUAACAUUGUAUUGAUUGGAAAAUAGACUUCAUGAUUUGUAUUAGUUUACUUUCGAUGAGGUUAUCCCCGUCUUAUAACUUGGUUCAUAUGUUUGACAAGUUAACCCUAAUUAACUCGAGUCAUUUUUUUGUGUCAUUUUUUAAUCAAUAUUUUUUUUUCAAUUUUAUCUUUCAACACUAAGUUAAUUAAGAAUUAAGUUUCACAAUUUGUUUUAAAUUUUUUCUUGUUGGGUUAUCCUAAUCUCAUGACCUGGAUUGUGGGUUUGACAGGUUGACUAAGAUUAUUUUUUGGUUCAUUUUGUAAUUGAUUUUUUUUCCUAUUUCAUCCUUCAACAUUGUAUACUUUUUAAAAUUGAGCUUCAUAAUUUGUUUUGAUUUGUUUUCUAUGGGGUUAUCAUGGUCUCGUGACUCGAUAUGCGGAUUGAUAAGGUAACUUGAGUUGACUUGAAUUGAUUCAAUAUGUUAUCGUCUCAAUGUUUACAUAAAAAAUCUCAUCUUAAAUAUUUAUUCUAAGUCAAACUAAAAUUGAUUCAAUAUACAAUCGGUUAUCCGGGUUGCUUUUGGACCCGUCAAAUAGGCUAAUUCAUAACAGAUUAAUCCUCAUACAAUUUAAAUUUUUUUUCUACUAGAAAAAACAUUAGCAACUCUUAGAUAUAUUUUUACAUUAAAAAAAUUAAUUUGACCUAUAGUAUAGCGUGAGCCAAUGAUAUGAUAACUUAAUAUUUUGAAUAAGAGACAAUUAAAAAUAAAAUGCAUGAGAAUAUUUUUGAAAUAAAGAGAAUAAUAAUAAUAUUUUUAAAUGGACCAUAUAAAAUUAUUUAGCUCAUUGAAUGACUUGGUUCAUGAAAAAUAGUGGUGAGUAGGCUUGCCUGUAAAAUCUCUUUAUAAAUAAGGGUACUUGACAAUUUUAAUUUACAAACCAAUAAUUACAAUUUCAUUAACAUUAACCAAAAAAAAAAAGAAUUGAAAGAGAAAGGGAAUUUAUUAAAUUGUAAUUCACAAAAUACUAUUUACUAUAAUAGUGUUUUUUUAAUCAUUUAUGUUUUUUUUUCUAGCUUCAAUUUCAUCUUUUAACAUUAAGUUUAUUGGAGAUUGAGCUUUCAUGAUUUUUUUUUCCAUUUAUUUUUAAUGAAGUUAUUUGAGGCUCAUGACUUGAAUUACAAGUUUGACGAGUUAACUUAGUUGAUUUGACUUUUCUUUUUUUAAUUGAUUUUUUUUUCUCAUUUUCAAUAUUGGGUUGAUUAAGAAUCAGGCUUCAUGAUUUUGUCUUGCUUUGCUUUUUAUAAGGUUAUCCCCGUCUAAUGACUUGAGUCACGAGUUUGACGGGUUAAUCCUGGUUGGUUCAAGUCAUUUUUUGUGUUCUUUUUUAAUCGAUUUUUCUUUUCAAUUUCAUCUUUCAAUACUAGGUUGAUUAGGAAUUUGGCUUUGUAAUUUAUUUUAGUUUGCUUUCUAUUGUGUUAUUUCGAUCCUAUGACCUAGGUUGUGAGUUUGGUAGGUUAACCUAGGUUGACUCGGGUCAUUUUUGCAGGGCCUUUUUUUAUUGAUCCUUUUUCUUUAAUUCCAUUUUUAAUAUUUGAUUUAUUGGAAAUUGAGCUUUGUAAUUUAUUUUGAUUUUAUUUUUAUAGGGUUAUCAUAGUCUCAUGAUUCAGUAUACAGAUUAGCAAGUUAAUCCGGGUUGAACCAAAUCGAUCUAAUAUGUUGUCAUCUCAAUAUUCACAAAAAAAUCUCAUUUGAAAUAUUUAUUUUGAGUUAAAUUAUAUUUUUAUCUGUUAAUGAGGUUGUUUUUAGAUCCGUAAAAAAAACCAAGUCACGUCAAAUUAAUUUACAUAUGUUUUUCUUUCAUUGGCAAAUCUUAAACUUGUUUUAAAUUAAAAAAAAAAAUCUAACAAGCGGCGUAACACAAGCGAAGAAUCUAAUUUAUUUAAUUGAGUACUCCAUGGAUGCAUAUUCUUCAGUGAACUAGCAGUGAGGGUGGUCGUGCAGUGGCAUUAAUGGCCACCUUCAUUCCCAUUUGACAUUGAUUAAGUGGCCAACUGCAUAUGAAGUAAUUAGCUCCAAAUUGAAGUUGGAUUUUAUCAUCUCCUGACCUGUAAAACACUGACGAGUCUGAGACUGAGCAAUCAUCAUGAUCUUUUUUCUCCACCACAACGACGUUGGCGUCUUCAGUAUCAUACUUGAAUUCUGCAAAAUAAAAUAAAAUAUACAGCCACAAAAAUAAAUAACAAAUAUAUUGGUGUAUGAACAAGCGUUAAGAGCAUCAACAAGUCUCAAAGUCUGCACUAAAUUAAUUUCUUAUGUAAAAACAGACAUGGAUACAAUUAUGCUUAAGAUCGGGUUUGGAACGCGGUGCGAACCAUAUUUUCUUAAAAUUUAUUUAUUUUUACUUAAAAUGAAUUGUUUUUUAAUAUUUUUAUAUCGUUUUGAUGUGCCGAUAUCAAAAAUAAUUUUUAAAAAAUAAAAAAAAUAUUAUUUUAAUAUAUUUUUAAAUAAAAAACACUUUAAAUUAUAAACACCAUCACAUUCCCAAACACAUCGGACAUACCCAGUGGCGGAGCCAGAGUUUUUUAAAUGAGGGGGCAAAUUAUUAACAAAUACUAUAUUAUAUAGACAUGCAUUAUAAAUCAAUUCAAAACAUAUAUAUUAAUUCAUAUCAAGUAAAAUUAAUUUAAAAAUAUUUUUAAAAUAAAAAAACUUACAUUAUAAUUGUUCUCUUUGAGUUUUCAUAUUUUGAAACCGCUUCAUAAUAACUGCAUUAUCAAUCUUAUCGAAAAUAUCUUUAAUAUGAAUACUUGUCUGGUGAUAUGUUAAUUUAAUAUGAUUGACUCUUCAUCCUCAAGGGAUUUACGCUUGAAAUAUUUGUCUAGUGACAUGUUAAUUUAAUAUGAACCUGCUGAAUUUUUUUUAUCAUCAUUAGUGUCUACGUAAUAAUUAACACAAUUACACAAUAAUUCACUGUUAAACAAAAGUCAGUUGAGUUACACAAUAAUUCUAAAUCUUCCAUGUGAAAUUAAUAGCAAAAUACACGUCAAUUCAUCAAAAUCAAAACCUAUUUCAAUUCAUAUCUAUAUGCAUAUAAUAAGUAUAUUGAUUAAAUUAUACUUAAUCAUUUCUAGACAUUUAAUUAAAGAACAGUGCCUAGUGUAUGUGUAAGAGGAACAAUGCUUGAAAAACAUACUUUCUACUUGAUAGUUUACUUACAAACAAAUCAUGUGAAAAUAUUAAAUUUCAAUAAAUUACUCUGUCAAUGCAAAAGAUGUCAAGAAUAAUAGUUUUGCAUGAAUAUUAAUUUAUUUCUCUAUAAUAAGAAAAGAAACAUUUAAUUGAUUAAAUUAACAUAUUUAAAUAUUUAUUUUGAAUAUAUUCAUAACAAAACCCUUAAAGUAUCAUAAACUCUAAUAUUUUAAAUAACUAAUUAUAAAAAAAUAAAACUAAAAUUAGAUAAUGAAACAAAUAGAAAAGAUAAAGAAAAUUUACCUAAAAGCAUAAAGCAAAAGGUAAAAAAGAUUAAUAAAUGAGAAAUUUGCAUAUAGGAGACCUUCUUGUUUUGUUAGACAAGGGAAGAUAAAAAUACAAAAGUGAAAGGGAGAAAAAUUGAGGAGUUGUAAUUAUAUAUAUAUAUGAGUCAAGUUAGUCAACAAUAAUAAAAGAUUAAAACUUUCAGAGCAACAAUUCACAUUUCACACCCACUAAUAUAUUAAUAUUUUAAUAAAAAAAAAAUAAAGGGGCAAUUGCCCCCUUUUGACCCAUUGUGGCUCCGUCACUGGACAUACCUAAUAUGUCUCCAGCAUAAAAUUUCUUCCCUCCAGUCCACGACUCCGGGUAACCAUCCAGAGUCCAGCCCAAAUCAUCUCCAACAAUGUAGGUGACUGGUCCCUUUGCUCGAGCAAUAUAGCAUUGUUGAAAUAUUAGACUCAACAGUGUAGCUAUGGUGGCGAUGAUUGCAUUCAUCUUGUUUGUUAAUCAGGAGGGGAAAAGAACAGUAUAUUGUUUAAUUUAACUUUUUAUGGUUCAUAUAUAUAUAUAUAUAUACACAAACAGGAAAACACCAGUACAAAGAUAUACGUACGGAAAGAAAAUUUAAUUACAGUUAUAAUAUCAAUUAUUUCCAUUUCUCACACAAAAAUAUAUAGCAAGCAUAUCGAAAUUUUCCUAAUACUAUAUAUUACAAGAGAUUUUACCUCCUACCAUAAGGACUCAUCCAAUUUGAAUACCUCAUCAUCUUCUGAUUACUUCAUAUUAACAAUUACAUGUAUGGCAUAAUUUUUUAUGCAAUUAUUUUUAUUAAUAACAAUUGUUAAGAUUUUAUAAGAUUUUUUUUUAAUUUAAAAAUUCUAAUACUAGUUGGAUUCUAUAUUAAUUCUUAAUAAAAAUUUAUUUUUCUAGAAGGAUUUAGGUGUUUAACUAAUACAAUAUAUACAAACAUGCAGUCACACACUAAUACAAAAAUAUAUGAAAGGAAAAAGUAAUUAUAAUUAUAAUAUUAAAUAUUUUCGUUUCCCACACAAAAAAUAUAGAAAAUAUAUCAAAAUAUUUCUAAUAAUAUUACAAGAGAUUUUACCUACUAUAAUAGGAACUCAUCCAACCUGGAUACCCAACUUAGAUCUUGAUCCUUUAGUUAUUUCAUAUUAACAAGGACACAUGUCAAAUAAUUUUUUAUAUAAUUAUUUUUAUUAAUAGCAAUUGUUAAUAUUUUUAUAAGAUUUUUUUUUAAAAUUUUAGAAUCCUAGUGCUGGUUGGAUUUUAUAUAAUUCUUAAUAAGAAUUCAUUUUUCUAUAAGGUUUUAGGUCUAUAACUAGUAUGAUAUAUACAAAUAGUCACACACUAAUACAAAUAUAUAUAAUUAAGAAAAAUAAUAAUUACAGUUAUAAUAUCAAAUAUUUUCAUUUCCCACACAAAAAUAUAGAAAAUAUGUCAAAAGUUUCCUAAUAAUAUUACUAGAGAUUUUACCAAUUACAAUAAAGACUCAUCCAACUUGUAUACAUCACUUAGAUCAUGAUCUUCAAGUAACUUUAUAUUGACAAGGACACGUAUCGUAUAAUUUUUUAUAUAAUUAUUUUUAUUAAUAGUAAUUGUUAAGAUUUUAUGAGAUUUUUUCUAAUUUAAAAAUCAUAAUGAUAGUUAUAUUCUAUAUUAAUUCUUAAUAAGAAUUCAUUUUUGUAGAAGGAUUUAGGCUUAUAAUUGACAUGAUAUAUACAAAUAGUCAUACAUUAAUGUUGUUCAAGGAAUAAGGUAACUUAAUACCUAAAAGGGGGUGAAUUAAGUAUAUUGCUAAUUUCGACAAUUAAUGCAAAUUACUCUUAAUAAAUACAAUAACCAACAAUAUAAUUAAAGUACUUAAAGUAAAGAGACAAUUGAGAGAAUUUGCAAACUCGUUUUUAACAUGGUUUGACAAGCCUACAUCCACACCUCAAGUACCAAACCGUACUUGAAUAUUGUAUUCUUUCACUAGUCCAAGUUUAAGAGUGCAAUAUCCAUUUGAUGAAUCCAUACCAAGCUUUUUACACCACUUGAAGAAACUUCUUCAAGACUUUUUCCACUUGAAGAUAUGUCAUCUUCAAGAUUUUUCGUGUGGUGAAAUUCCUUCACAAAUUCUAAGAGUUUUUAUCUAACUCUCAAAGGUUUACAAGAAUGAUUUUGUUUUUAAACAAACUCUCUUAUUAAAGUGGAUAAUACAAUUGAAGUUCUAAUAUCUCUAUAACUCACUAGAUAACAUUUAUAGGAUUUAAAGGUGUUUAAGUAUAGUGAAAAUGUGAUUGAAUACUUUUAUGUUAGAAUAUGAAGAUUUAAUAGCACAAAUUAGAGUAUGAUUAAUGAUCGAUGAUUUUAUAGUUGUUUUGCUCUUAGAAUAACUUGUAUAUGAUACAUGUUCGGAUUUUGUACUUAAUUCUGCAAUUAUACAAGCUACACAUAUAUUUCUAAAAAAAACUAGUCGUUUAUAGCCGGUAUUAUUGCUCUAACAGCUAAAACAGUAGACCGGUUCAGAUUGAUCAAGCAAAUUAGUCGACCUGUUCCUACAAAAUUCUUAGGUGUUCAUCACUGAUGAAUAAUUAGUCGACCAGUUUAUUUGGUAACACUAAAUGAUCGACCGGUUUAUGCAGUAUUCUUGGUUUAUCAUAUUAACUUAGAUAAAAUCUUAGAACCGUCUAUUUAAAUUUUAUUAUCAGUCUUUCAAUGUAUGCAGAGUGAAGUGUGUAAAAUCAUUUUAAUUGUGCUAUCAAGUAAGAUAUAAAGAUUUAUAUUCAAGCACUAAAAUAAACAUUUAUUCCAAGUCUUCACUUUGCUUUCUUCUUAGACUUUCUAAUUGAUUUAGUCAUGAAUUCCAUCAUGCUUGUUAAUGUUUUCUUCAUAUAAAACAUCUUUAAAGUUUAUUCUCGACCAAUCAUAUUAUUAGUUUAUUUUACAUUUUAUUUUUAUCAUUAAAAAAUAUAAAAACAUGAAUGUAUGACACUAAAGAUCAACAAUAAUACGAGUAUAUAUGAAAUAAAAAAAUUCAAUUACAAUUAUAAUAUCAAAUAUUUCCAUUCCUCACACAAAAAUAUAGAAAAAUAUGUCAAAACUUUCCUAAUAAUAUUACUGAGAUUUUACCUGCUACAAUAAUGACUCAUUCAACUUGUAAACCCAACUUAAAUCUUACUAAAACUAUUUAUUUGGGCUGGCCAGUACUCAGGUUCAAAUGGAGAUGCUAUGGGCCCAAGUCUUCUGUUUGGUCCAAUGUCACUACUUCUUUGACCUUGUAAGUUGUAACCAUCUUGAAAACCCAGGAGUGGAGCCGAAAUUUGAAACCCAACAAAAAUUCAAAAAUCUUUGCCAUAAAAAAUACAACAGCCAAUUGAGAAACCAAUAACCCAUGAAUCGACUUCAUCUAUGGUGAUAAUGGAAUGGCAAGACAUGGGUUGGUCAAGCAAAUCAUUGGCAGUGCUGGUGGUGGUGGCAUCUUUUUUACUGACUCGUCACCAUUUGCAAAACUCUUGGAUUUAUGCGUCAAACUCAGGUCCUCUAGGGAUGCUCGUAGCGUACAUGGACGUCUUAUCCAAACCCCAUUUUGCGAAGAAGUUUUUAUACAGAAUAGGCUUAUUGAUGUUUAUGGAAAAUGUGGUUAUUUGGAUUAUGCACGCAAAGUGUUUGAUAGAAUGUCUGAGAGAAAUGUUUUUAGUUUUAAUUCGAUUAUUAGUACUUUAAUGAGAUGGGGUUUUGUUGAUGAGAGUGCAUGGUUGUUUUCAUUAAUGCCUGAGAAGGAUCAGUGCUCGUGGAAUUCGAUGAUUGCUGGGUUUGCGCAACAUGAUCGGUUUGAAGAAGCUUUGGAUUGGUUUGUUAGGAUGCAUAGGGAUGAUUUUGUGCUGAAUGAUUAUUCCUUUGGUAGUGGUCUUAGUGCAUGUUCGAGGUUAAAGGACUUGAAAUUGGGUGCUCAAAUUCAUGGUUUGAUAUCAAAAUCGAAGUACUCCUUGGAUGUUUUUAUGGGGUCUGGUCUUAUUGAUUUUUAUUCAAAAUGUGGUUUAGUGGGUUGCGCCCGAAGGGUUUUUGACGGGAUGGAGGAGAAGAAUGUUGUUUCCUGGAACUGCUUGAUUACUUGUUAUGAACAAAACGGUCCUGCAAUUGAAGCUCUGGAAGCUUUUGGAAGGAUGACAGAGCUUGGGUUCAAACCAGAUGAGGUUACGCUGGCUAGCGUCGUCAGUGCUUGUGCAACUUUGGCGGCAUUCAAAGAGGGUGUGCAAAUUCAUGCCCUUGUGGUGAAAUCUGAUAAAUUUAGGAAUGAUCUUAUCUUGGGCAAUGCAUUGGUUGAUAUGUAUGCAAAAUGUGGUAGAGUUAAUGAAGCGAGAUGUGUUUUUGAUAGGAUGCCUGUUAGGAAUGCGGUGUCUGAAACCACCAUGGUCAGUGGGUAUGCAAAGUCAGCAAGUGUGAAAGCCGCAAGAUCAAUGUUUGCUACAAUAAAGCAGAAGGAUAUAGUUUCUUGGAAUGCACUUAUUGCGGGAUACACACAGAAUGGGGAGAAUGAAGAGGCACUGGGACUCUUUCGAAUGCUAAAGAGGGAAUCUGUUUGUCCGACCCACUACACCUUUGGGAACCUGCUGAAUGCCUCUGCAAAUCUUGCUGAUCUGGAGCUUGGCAGGCAGGCACAUAGUCAUGUUGUUAAGCAUGGAUUUAGGUUCCAGUCUGGUGAAGAGCCUGAUAUUUUUGUGGGAAAUUCUCUCAUAGACAUGUAUAUGAAAUGUGGAUCUGUUGAAGAGGGACUUCGGGUUUUUGAAAACAUGGUGGAAAAGGAUCAUGUAUCAUGGAACACCAUGAUAAUAGGGUAUGCACAAAAUGGCUACGGAAUGGAGGCCCUCGAACUAUUUCAGAAAAUGCUGGAAUCUGGAGAGAAACCAGACCAUGUUACUAUGAUUGGUACUCUAUGUGCUUGUAGCCACGCAGGGCUUGUUGAAGAGGGACGGCGUUACUUUUUCUCAAUGACUAAGGAACAUGGUUUGCUACCAGUGAAGGACCAUUAUACAUGUAUGGUCGAUUUACUAGGCCGAGCUGGUUGCCUUGAGGAAGCAAAGGAUUUGAUAGAGUCAAUGCCUAAGCAGCCUGAUGCUGUUGUCUGGAGCUCUUUGCUUAGUGCUUGUAAAGUUCAUCGCAACAUUACUCUAGGGAAGUAUGUGGCAGAGAAGAUUUUUGAAAUUGACCCUACAAGCUCUGGACCAUAUGUUCUUCUUGCAAAUAUGUAUUCUGAGCUUGGCAGAUGGGGUGAUGCUGUAAGUGUAAGAAAACUGAUGAGGCGUCGCGGAGUAGUUAAACAGCCUGGUUGUAGCUGGAUUGACAUACAGAGCAAUGUGCAUGUUUUUAUGGUGAAAGACAAAAGGCAUCCUCAGAAGAAGGAAAUCUAUUCAAUCUUGAAACUUCUUACAAAGCACAUGAGGCAAGCUGGAUAUGUCCCUGAUGCCAGUGAUCAUGAGGCUUACGAGGAACCAAGCGAAUUAGAAUCAAGCUCUUGUUUCCAUAUGGAAAUGCAAGCAGAGGCUGCCGUCAUGUAAUUUUUUCGGAAUAUUAUAUUUAAACACUCAUUCUGUUACCAAAGCAUGAUCGAUUUUAUGGUUCAAUAGCACGAAUAAAAUUUCUCUAUUAUGUUGUCCUUGAAAAUGAUAUUCUUAAAACAAGCCCGCAAACUUCUACAAGGGCAGGUUUCUUUUUUUUUUUUUUUUUUUUUUGCUAUACACAUGAUCUAUAUGGCAUACAUCUUUCAAAAGAUAGGACCCCUCUGGAUUGGAAGUAGUGCCAAUGUUUUAUCAACGAGUUCUUAAUGAAAAACUAACCCCAGCACAGGGAGAACUACUUGCCAGCACAAACAGAACCAUUUCAUGACAGGUCAAACCAACUAUCUAGGUCUUAUAUUUUGAUAGACAAGGAAACAUAUUUAAACUCAUUUUGAUCUCCUUCAAGAUUCUUUUAGUUUGAUGAAGCCCAUUUGAUAUCCCCACAUGGAAACCAGUGACCAAAAUAGUUUGGUGAGAUUCAGAACACAUGCAGGGAUUUAAAACCUGUUACCAACAUACAAGUUUAACUAGUUCCAUCAAAAGAUUGUGUUUGGUUUCAAGGUAGUUUUCAUGGUUACAGGUAGAAAAAAAAAAGAUUAGAAAAAAAUAAUUUUAAAAUAUAUAUUUUAAAAAAUAUAUAUGCUUGGUUAAAAUUAUUGUGAAAUAGAUUUUUAUCUGUAAAAUAAAUAAAAAAUAAAUCUUCAUAAAUAAAAACUAGACUAUUUUAAUUUUUAUAAAAUCAAUAUUUAAAAUAAAAAUAUAUAUAAAAUUCAUGAUAAAAAAUAAAAAUUAUUUAGCUAACUAAAUGAUUUUUUUUUUAUGGUGUUGAUCGGAAAAAAAACACAAGUCUCGACAAUACAAAACUGUCUCCUCAGAAAUUGUAGACUUGAGGGAAUGAAGUGUAGAUUUACGUGCCCAUUAAACAAUAAAAAUGGAAAAAAGAUUGCCUAUUAUUGCCAAUAUCAAAUUUAAUCCCUGCUCUUUUAAUUUUCCAAUGCAACGAUGGAAAAUAUCCACGUUUGAGCAUUCAAUACCCCACAUGGAAACUUUAAAGCAAAAUGAAGUGUAGAAACAUGUAGCUAGGGAGAAAAGCAUCCAAGUUGUUAUACUGACAUCUUGAGAAGUGGGACAUGAAUCAGAAUAAUGAAUAAAAAUUAUUUAAUUUAAAUAAUAAAUAUGUUGAUAUUAAUUAAAAAUAAAUUUAAAAUAAAAAAAUUAUUUUAAAAAAUAAUAUUUAUCAUUAUCUCAAAUAUCCUAUAGAUGACAAUGAUGGAAGAAUAAGAUUCUAAGGGAGCACACAAAUUUACAAACAAGCUAGCAUACACCACCUUUAUAAUAUUGUUUUGAAAUAGAAAGGAAUUUUUUUUUAAAAAAAUUAUUUUUAUAUCUUCAUUUUAUUUAAACUUCUUUAAUAUAUAUAUUUUUUCUGUCAUAAGACAAUGAGAAAAUGCAACUAAUGGAGGUAAUUCUAACUCUAACUCGGCGUAAAAUUAAUUCAUAUACCAAUAUCUUACAGCUUCCUAGUUUCAUUUCCUAUUGAGAGGAUACUGUGCUGGGGAUUAUUACAUGCAUCAUGUCAACUAUUGAUAAGAAAAUCUAAACUAGGUAACUUGUUAAUUUGUCCUCGUAGGUUUACAGAGUUUGAAAAUAUGGUUGGAAUUGUAUUUUUUAAAAAUUUAAAUUUAUUUAUUUAAUUUUUUAGAUUGUUUUGAUGUAGUGAUAUAAAAAAUAAUUUUUUAAAAAUAAAAAAUAUUAUUUUAAUAUAUUUAAGAAACCUAAUCAAAACUUUAUUCCGUCACAAAACCAACACAAAAGUUGGAACCGAAAGAAAAUUGGUUUAUUCAACAAGCAUGUCUACUUGUCUGCUUUCUUAUCUGUAUCAUGCCUGCCUUUCAUCUCCCUCCAUCAAUCUCUCACGAGCUUCUCCACCUCGAUUCUGUCUAUAUUGUUAUCACUUGUCAACCUUCAUGCCAAUACCUCGUGCAGGUCUGGCACUCUAGCUAACUUUCCUCUUACAUGUUGUAAAAUAACAACCAGUCUAUGAACAGAACAAGUCCAAUUGGCAAAAGGGUCUAAUCCGUAAGGAAAAUGGCAAUGGAAAUGGGCCAACCUGAUCGACAAACAUUUCGAUUUACAUAACCUUCAUGGUUAUUCCAAUGGACACAAGGGUCUAUUACGUUUGGAAAAUUUAUCAAUCCACUAAACAGAAGAAAGACUAUGAAACUAUGACAGCAGACAGGCAACACUCUCACACAAGCAACAGCUUCUCCUGAAGUUUGCAAUUAUUCCAGUACACGCCUGGGUUCAAUACGAUGUGAACUAUUCAAUGACAUCAUUUUUUUUUGUAUUUUGUUUUUAGCUAUCACUGUGCUCAAAGAAAGUAAAAGAACAGGAAAUAAUGGCAGAAUAAGACAGAGACGACUCAUGAUGAUGAUACAAUUUGUUCUUUAUUAUUUUGAUAUUAAUUUCUUUGGCUGCUAUCUUUAGUAAAUUCCAAAAACAUGUGAAAUGUCUUGUUAACACUCGUGAGAGGGAGAGGGAGAGGGAGAUAGAAAGACAGAGAUUCAGCAGAAUCAUCAAACAAGUGAACCCUUGAAACUGCUGAUGCUAGGACAGUAUCUUAACCUAAGAAUAACAUAAGAAAUAAACCUGUAAACCAAGAUGAAACAUACCAUGAUCACCACAUUCCUCCACUUACCAUCCUCUCCAUAUCCUUCUUCUCUAAGCAAAUCUUCUGCACUAACCAUGCAUUUCCCAAACAUGUACUCCAAGCACUUCCCUGAAUUUGAGAACUCAUUUAUCAAAAACCCUUCAAAUGGAUACUUAAACAGCGAUAUAUAGUGCAUAAAAAUCCAAUAAUUUGGCAUUCCAUGCUUCGAUAUGAAGUAGCCAGAGAACAAGAAGAAUGAUCCCAUCACCCCUGAAAUCACCGAAUUUCCAACGAUGAAGUUAGGUACUAGAGCACUGAAACAUACCACAACCGAAUUCGCUGUGUAGAGAAUCAACCAGAUUAACAACAAGAAAUGCAUGAAUGCCAUGAAAUUUGGGUUCAGUCCCACUAGCCAAUAUAGUGGAAUUGUGAAUAGUAUGGCAAGGAUGAGUAGAAAUGGCAAGUAAACUAGUCCAUUGGCAAUGGCAUAUGAUGAGACUCUAUAGCUCCCACAAGAUGUCUCCUUCAUAAGAAUCUCCCUUUCUUGCAAGAAGAUCGGUAGAGCUUCUGUUGUGCAAGAUAACAAGAAAGUCAGUAUAAAAGCAAAUAGUCCUACCCUUUCUUCUGCUCCAGUCAAAUCAUCUUUAAGGUUGUAGAAGAUAGAACCCAAAACAAGUCCAGAAAUCAGCAUUUGAAUCGUUCGGCAUGCAAAAAGCUCCUUGGUUCUGAAAAUGUUCUUGGAGAACCUAUGAGUGAGAAUCAAAGUUUCUUGCAACCUUGAGUUAGCAAAACCAAGAGGAAAAUCAAACCCAAAAUCGAUACUUUCCUCAUCUACCACUUUAGACUGCUGAAAGAGUUGUUGAAGAGUGAACUUGCCACUUCUACUCUCGCCAACUUCUACUUUCUUCUGCCGAGAUUUUGUUGUAGAUGAUGAUAGCAGUUGUGGUUGAGUUUCUUGCUGCAAAACUUUCCUUUGUUGUUGAACGGUGUCAAUUGACUCUAAAGCAAAUUCAACAACAUUGGCAUGAAGAGGAAGCUGCAUUCCCAUUGUCCUCAAAUUAACACCAAGCUGAUCCACCGUGCCAUGAUGCAAGACUGAUCCAUUAGCCAUCAGAAGUACUGAAUUGAACAACUUCACAAUCCGAAAUCCGGGUUGAUGAAUGCUUAGUAUUAUAGUUCGGCCCCUUGUCUCUGCCAUGAGCUUCAGCAUAUCAAUAAUCUGCAAAGCAGAAGUGCUAUCAAGACCUGAAGUUGGUUCAUCAAGAAUUAGCACUUCAGGAUCAUGAAUGACAUCAACUCCUAUCGACACACGACGCCUUUCUCCGCCGGAUAUCCCACGAACCCGGUCGUCACCAACUCGAGUCAUGGCUACGUGAUCCAAGCCUAACUCAUGCAUUAAGAACUUAACCUCAGAGCUCAGUUGAUCUUGAGGAAGCCUUAGACGUAGCUUGGCGCUAAACAUGAGUGUUUCUUCAACUGUAAGGAGAGGAAAGAGGGUGUCUUUUUGGGUGACAUAGCCUGAAGCCUUCUUGAACUGAGCUUUGUUAAUAGGGUUUUGGUUGACAAAAAUGGAACCACUUUGUGGGGUGAGUUUCCCAGCUAGGACUUCAAGUAAGGAUGAUUUACCUGCUCCACUUGGACCAACAAUAGCGAGGAUUUCCCAUGGCUUUGCUUUGCAAUAAACAUCUUUCAAGACAUGCCUGGCUCCAAGGCUUGCUUCUUCAAGAUUUGUCACUUGUUGUUUCGGUUCUUGAUUUAUUUCUUGCUUUUUGGUGAAGAUUUUAAAAGGGUGCUCUCUUUUUUUGGUGGAGAUUUUGUAGGUGAUCCCUAUUGCUUCAAUCUCCCAGCCUUGUUUCUUCAUUGCACUCUUUUGCUCCAUUAUUCUGGUUUGGUUUCUCAAGACCGAACCAUCACCAGCUAAUAAGUACGUACGGCUAUUCUUUUUUUCUUUAUUCUUUUUUCCUGUAGAACAAUGGAAGGGUGCAGUGACAAUUGCAACCUAGAAAUUGUUAAACGCUUCACGUGAAAUUGUUCUUGAUAUUUCUUUGUAUUUAUAUAUUUUCUUAUGGAAGAUUUGGAUAGCUCACGUGUUCUGCUACUUGUAAUCUUAUAGUUUCUCGUUGUAUAGUUUUGGUCUUUAAUUUGCACUCUAAUAAUUUGUAUUUUUAUUUGGGUUAUUAAUUAAAAAAGAAAUUAAAAGAGUUCAGUCUUUCAGUAAAAUGAUCAACGGGUUGAUCAACUUUUCACUAAUGAAAACAAGGGUUAAGAGCUCAUAUCACAAGUUAAUUAUCUUUUAUCUUUAGAUAUAAUUAAAUUAAGUUCUUAAUCUAUAUUUCUAGAAACAUUAUAUAUAUUAGGCCAAACUAUCAUAAUUAAUUACAUAAUUUAUGUACAAAUUAUACCCUUACAAAUUAACUAGACAAACAGAAAGCAUUCAUGUGCAAAAUAUCACACAACUAAUUUUAACAGUAUAAAUAGAAAAUCUUGACAGAAUGAUAGGUUAGGAAUUUAAUGUAUAUUUAGAGAUAAAAUUAGCUUAGUUAAAUAUAUAAGAAUAUAUUAAAAAAAUUGCUCUAUUAUACAAGGAUAAAUUAAAAUUGUUAAACUAGAAAACAAAAUAAGAUAUAUUUGUUUUGCUUACGAAUCACGAAUUUUAUUUCAAGAAUAAUCAGCUAGGGAGCCUUAGUAAACUAUAUCUAAUUAAUAGUAUUAAUUGAAAACUAUAUGCAUUUUUCCGGCCAAACAAAAAGUUUUGGAACUGCAGAAAACAAUUGGCUAGGUUUCUUGUACAUGUAAUAUGAGUGCCUGGAGUCGGCCCCGAAUGGAAAAAAACAUAAAUUAAUAAUUAACCAUUUUGGAAGCAUAUGCAGGCAGCAAGCCACCAAACAUAGGGGUGAGGACGGAAAACCAUGGUCCCAAUGGGUCCUCGAAUUUGUGGCUGAAAUCACAUUAAAUCAUAAUGGCUAUUAACCUAUGAAAUCUCUUUUAUUAAUAGGAUAGAGCACUAUAUAUAUAUAUAUAUUGGGUUGUUGAAAAUGGCUGUGAAAUUAUAGGGAAAGGAAAUUGUUAAAUUUAUCGGUAAAUCUGUUGUUAAUGAAUUUUUUGAUAGCUUUAUAGAUAGAUAAUGUGUAUAAAAAAAUUAAUUACUUGUUUUAAUCCGUCAAUAAAUUUUUUGGUAUUAUUUAACAUAUCACCAACAGGAUAACCAUAUAUAAUUUUAUCGGUGAGUUGUAAUGAAAUAUGCAUUAAUUUAUUUUUAACUCUCUAUAAUAUACCGACGGAUUUAUUAUGUGUGAAUAUUCCCAUUGCGAUUCCCUCCGUAUAUACUAUGAAAAUAUUCCCAUUGAUGUUUACUGAUAGAUUUAGCGAUGAGAAAAUUUGAUUGGUAAAUAUCACUGCAAUAUAUCGAUGAAAAAAUUUCAUUAAUAUUUCUGUUUAUAUUUAUUAAUUUUCUGGUAAUAUAAUUUAUUAAUUACCGUUGCAAAGCUUAAAAUUUUGUAAACAAAGCUAAAACUUUAAUGUUUUAUAUAAGUUAGAUACAUACGAUUAUUUAUGAUUUAUGAGACAGUUGGAUUUUUAAUAAAAAAUAAAUACUAAAAGGAUUCAUUGAAUAUAAGAAUAUAUAUAAAAAUAUGUACUAAUGAAAAAUAUUCACAGAAAUAAUGAUGAGAAGUAUCAUUGUUACUAACUCUCUUAUAUAUGAUUUAUGUUAUUUUUUAAUAAAAUUUUUGGGUUUGGAACUUAUAAGAACUUGUAAAAACUCAUACUAACUUGUACUAUUAAUUAGAUUUCAACUAAAAUAAUAAUAAUAAAAAAAUUCUAAAUCAUAAUUGUUUAGUUAUUAAAACUUUAAUAUUAUAUAUAAAAAAAUCAUUUAAAUUUAAGUUGUCGUGAGAUUGAAGUUAUGAAUUAUAUUAUUAAAAAAAAGAAAGAAAUUACAAUGACAGGAGAACAAAUCAUUUUAUGUGGCUGAGAACUUGCGAUGAUCAAGAGACCAAAGAUCUUCAAGGAGGGAGGGUGUGGGCCAAAAUGCUUUGUAGUCUUACUUUUGUCACUUUUUUCAAACUUGAAAUAUUGCUAGCCCUCCUUGAGAUUGAAAUAAAAAAAUGUUCUUGUGGUGUGGAUGUUUUCCAGAUAUUUAUUAAUGUUUAUACAAAUGUAGCAGUAAGCACCCGUGAACCGAUCCCCUUCCUGACCUGGCCAUUUCUGUGGUCAAUCAGCCACUCUGGUGGUCUCCACCUCAUUGCCCCACCGUUCAUCGCCAUCUCCUCCGUCCACUUUGGUUAAAGAAAUUGCAGCCAGCCCCGCCCGUGAAUCCUUUCCUUUUCUACCACCUUUCAAUUAUUUAUUCAUCAUUUUUUUUUAAUAAUUCUUCAACCCUUUUGGCCAUCGAUAAUACUUAUAACAAGCUUAUUGCGUCAAAUAGAUUAAUUGCUUGCGUUUUGCUUAAGGUAAUGUAUAUAUAAGAGUAAAACUCAAAUACAAAAAAAAUCAUUUUAAUUUUUUUAAAAUAAAUUGUUAACUGAAAUAUUAAAAAUAAUUUAUAUUGAUUAUAUAACAAGAAAAAAAAAUUAACCCAGUUUUGUACGAGGCCAGGUAAAUUAUCAGCUAGGCUAGUUAUCAAAAUCGUAUUAUGAUGUAUGAUAUUUUUUUUAAAAAUAUAUUAAAAUAAUAUUUUUUUAUAUAUUUUUUAUUUUUAACAUCAAAAUCACAAAAAACAUUAAUUUAAUAUUUUAAAAAAACAAACAAACUUUUAAAAUACCUCUCAUAACACACUCCACUCCCAAACAUGUUCUUAGUUUGACUUUUUUGUGCUUCCAGUUUUGCUUAGCUCCUUAUCAUAUCAAAACAAAAUAUAGAUGGAAUCUUCAUUUAUAAUACAUCUCAUGUUUGUUGUUUCGAAGGAUUCCUGAAAACUAUAGACAUGGCUACGAGUAAAAUAAGAUCCAAUCCUCUAUCUUGAACCAUUACAGCACUGGUUUUGUCAAGUAAUUAGCUAGAGCACUGUUGUUAUUAGCUAAUGACGACAGGCAUGUUUUAUUUUCUAGUGAAAAAACUACUCUCAAGGAUUAAUUAAUCCCCUUGUCUUUAUGUCAGAUCAGUCAUAUAAGACCAAAUUGAUUAGUUGUAAUUAAGAUAUAUGGCAUGAAAUAUAUAUUAUAUGGUAAAUAAUAAAUAUUAUCAUGGUUGGAAUUACAUGGAAUCUUGACUUCAAGUACCCUGAAGAGUACACCAGCAUCUAUCGAUCACGAUGAACGGGGAGGGGAGGGAUUUGAGUCAAGUCUAUCUUAAAGGAGUUCUGUUCCAUGCACAAGAUAAUCAACUUUUUUUUUUUUACAGAACAUUUCACAAGAUAAUUAAUAUAUAAUAGUGCUAUAUAAUAAUAUAUUGCUUGUGUUUUUUCUCUGUUCUUGUGACUUGUGUAGAUGAUAUACAUCAAAACCCUAGCUAGCUGUUUUCAUGGGAAGAAAUUAAUCUAUUUUAAGUAGUGAGUACCCUAUUCCAGCAUUUUGCAUCUUUAUUCGGUAUGCAUAUCCGUGAUUCUUUUUUGUAUGAGAAAACAAUAGUUUCUUUUCAUUUUUAUAUUUUUUUGGUAAAAAGAAGAAGAAGAUAAGGUUAAGCUAUUUAACUACAUUCUUAUAGUGAUCCAUCGAACUUAAAUUGUCAGGUGAGCAUCAUGUAAUAAGAUAUAACUAGAUGUGUAUGCUAAGCUGUGAGGUUGAAUUUAUUUAUUUAUUUGUAAGAGAUGAUAUUUAUGUGUUGCAAAUAUUUUUUUUUAAAAAUAAAAAUUCAUGACUUGGGUCAUAGACUCGACUAGAUCAAAUAAAUUGUUUUUUUAUAGAAAAAUCAAUAUUGAAUAAUGAAAAUAAAAAAAAGAUACGUAAAAAAAUAAUAUCACAUUCAUUAACUUUUCAAACUCGUGAAUCGGAUCAUUAGACUGAAAACAUCAUAUCUAGAAAAACCACAAAGUUCAAUUCUCAGCCAAAUUAAAUAUUGAAGGCUGAAAUUGAAAAAACAAUUUUUAUUAUGCAAAAAGAUCCAAUAAAAAAAGGCGAUUAAAAAAAUAAAGAUAAAAAAUAAAAUAAAAUCUUCUUAUGAUGUGGAUGUUAUCCAUAAAGAUUUAUUUGCCAUCGAUUAAUUUAAAUUUAAUAAUGACUAAUAGAUUUUAUAAAUAGAUUUUAAUAUCUUUUAUAGACAAUUUAAUGAUUAUUUUACGAGAAUAACAAAAUAUCAUUACACUAUUACAGUAAAUAGUUUAUAUAAACAAUGUUUUUUCAAGAAAUUUUAGCUUUUGUUAAUAUAAAUAGUGAUGUAAUUAUUUAAUAUAAAUUACUUUCUAUGGUUUUAUUUUACCAUGUUGAAAUACAAUUAACAGAGGAUCAAUUAUAGAUUUAGUAUGAAUCUAGUUAAUUGAUGAUAGGGCUCGAAUUCAAGCUUAGAGAGGUUAGAGAAUAAUAUAAAUCAUAUCCUGGGACUUCACCUAACAGCUUAAGCUAUUGGGUUGAGAUGGUUCUUUGAUAUACCAUGUCAAAGAACCAUCUCAACCUAAUAGCUUAAGCUAUUAGGUGAGUUCUCAGAAUAUAAUUUAUAUUAUUGUCUAAAAAGAAAGGAAAAUGAACUUCUUAACUAUUGUGUCAAGAGGCUGUCGGCAUUUUCUUUCUGCACUGCUCCUGCUAUGUACCAUUAUCGAUAACAGACAUGUUCUUGAAGGACAGAAAAGAAAAGCAUAAAAAAAAAGAAGAAAAUAUCAACAUGAACGUUGUCUGUCUCCGAACUUCGCAUUUCAAGCAUGACACAAAUAAAUCAAACCACCUGCUUAAAACCCCCUCUCGUCUGUACCGAGUACAAGAAACACAGUACCAUGCUGUCUUUUAUACUUCAAGCAAUAUCUUAAUUGGUUCAAUUUUCGAGAACUGAACGAAUAAAACAAAUGAAGUUCAUGAGAUCAACUAUUGGAUCACGAAAAUUUAUAUCUUGUAAUGUUACUUCCAUUAAUAUUUUAAAUUAUUAUAUUUUAGUAAAGUUAAGAAUUUAUCAUUGUAUCAUAGAAAACAAUAUAAACCAUAUCCUAAGACUUUAUCUAACAACUUAAGUUAUUGAAUUGAGAUGAUUAUUUGUCAUGAUAUCAGAAUCUUGAUAACUAAGCGGUCACGAAUUUAAAUCUCACCAUCCUUAUUUAUUUGAUAAAAAUUAAGUACAGGAUAAUAUAAGCAUGUUCAAGUUUCACGUUUAAAAGACUUUUACUUGAGGGGGUGUGUUAAAAAAUAAUAUAAAUCAUAUCUUGAGACCUUAUCUAACAACUUAAGUUAUUGGAUUGAAAAGGUUUUUUAACAUUAUAUUUUUAAAAAAAUCAUAAUACUGUCUUUAAUCUUUAGUAAAAUCGACUACUUUUGUCUCAAAUGCCUACUAGAUUAUUUGGUAAUUACAUAAUAAUUUUUAAGGAGGCAUAUAUGGGAUUGAAUCCUAGAGGAUUAACAUAGAAGAGAGAAGAUUGUGUAGGCUAUAAUGUUUAAUAAAUCUUUUUAAUUAACUAAAAUAAGUCAAACUUUCAUCCUAUGGCCUCAUUGAUUUUGUCCUUAACUAAGAUUAAUAAGCUCCAAACAAUAUUAGGGGGUGUUUGAGAUGAGAACGUUCAAGAUUAUUCUGGGAAAGCAAUAAAUUGAUAAUUACAAAGAUGGGAAAUUGAGAUUUCAAGACAUCUCAUAUAUUUUAGGCAAUUAAUUCAAAUGUAUUUGUUAAAAAAAUGAUUUUGAAUACUUAAUAUGUGUGUAUCUUUUAACUUGAUUUCAAAACAAUUAAUAUAAUGUGUAUAUUAAUUACUCAAUUUAUUAUUAGAUAUAUGAUUUUAUAUGGUUGUUAUAAUUUUAUGAUUUUAAAUUUAUUCAUUGAAUUCAUUUCAUUUUCAUAGGUUUAAACAUAAGUAAUACAUGUGUUAAUAUUAAAAAAAAUAUAUAUCUUAUGUCCAAAUUAGAUACUUCAAUUUAAUUAUAAAGAUAACAUAGCAAAUUUACUUGCAUUUCUGGAGAUUUUUCAAUGAUAAACCGAACAUAAUAAUCACAAAAUUUUGGGAAAUUUCAUUUUCAAUUAAAUAGAAAUAUCACCUUUCUAACAAUUACAUUUUUGCAAGAUAUCUAAAAAUCUAAACACCAAACUCUCUAGAGAUGCACUGAGUGAAGCAUCUCAUGAUUCGGUUGCUUGAUUUCAAAAGUGAGUUAUGCUGAAAUUGUUUUAAAUUCAUGAUCAAAUGGAAUAGUGAAGUGACUCAUUUAAUUAAAAUGUUACUAGCUAUUGUAUCUUAUAUUGAGGGAGCUGUGAUUUCAUCUAUUUUCCAAAAUAUUUUUAUUUAAAAGGUUUAGAUGGAUUUUUUUAUGUAAUUUUUUAUUAUUUUAAUAUGUUGAUGUCAAAAAUAAAAAAAAUAUAUAAAAAUAUUAUUUUAAUAUAUUUUCAAUUAAAAAACAUUUUAAAAAUAUAUCGUACAUUGAAUUACCAAACUUACACACUUAAUAUUAGAGUUAUUGAGAUAAUUCAGUGCUACUUUGUGCUAUACUAUAUAUAUAUAUAUAUAUAUAUAUAUAUAUAUAUAUAUAUAUAUAUUAUUAACGUGAGUGUGCGGGUCAGCUUGCGCGUACCUCGACUAAUCUUACGAGUCCUGAAGUUAAAUAACCACGCAAUCCUCUAGUGACUUUAAGAUUUAUGGGAAUAGAACUGGUGAUCUUUAUGAAGCAAAUAAUUCUUUUUUAUUCUAUAACAUAUGGUAUUUUUAGGUUAGGUUUGUACAUCACAAUUAAAUUUAUCUCUCAUAUUGUUAGUAAAAUGUCACACACAUCAAAACUAGAGGGUUGAUUAUAAUUUAACUCAUAUUGGCUUGGUCUAAGGUUUUAAUUCUAACAAUAGCAAACCUCCUUAAAGUAGCUAGGAAUUAUUUGGGGAAGCAAACUGUGUUGCUUGAUAAAUUAUCGUAGCAUCCUGGAAAUUUCAAGAACAUGGAACGCUAUGGUGCCAUUAAUGGCCACUGGCCCAUUGCCCUUCUGCUUUCUCUUAUCCUCCUUAAAGAGAAUGUUGUCUGGCCCUUUUGCACCCAAAAAAAAUAAAUUAUAUAUAUAUAUUCCACGCCUCAGGCCCAUAAAAAAGAGCAAAUAAAAAGCAAAAUACAAAAAGACAUAAAAGAUAUAACAGGUUCGAACGCCACAAGCUCACACUUCCGCUUCAAACUUUCCGCCUACCAUCUUUUGAAGGUAACCCUUUUCUCCUCUCUCUCCUAUUUAUAUAGAGAUACUUACAAUUUAGUGGCUAUUCAAUGAAAGCAAGUUUCUUUACAAGAAAAAGAAAGUUUACUGAUUUUUAUAGCUGGUAGGCUGUAAACCAUUUAGCUGAAUUUGGAAUUUAUAAUGUUCAGAUUAAAAAAAUAAAUAUUAUUUCUAUGAUUUUUGCUUUUUUUUUUUUCAAUCUGGGUUUUGUGGUACUGCCUUUGUAUGUUUGUUUCAACUUGUUAUAUUAAAUUCUGGGGCAUUUGCGAACUUUGUUGUGAUUGAAUUAUGGAAGUUGGAAUAUACGAUUAUCUACUGUAACCGGGUUUUGCUUGUUGGUUUGUUCAAUUCUUGGAGUUUUUUAUUUUUAAAUGGUUGGUCAAAGUAAAUGUUUUUGUUGAAAGAAUGGUAAGAUUGAUCACUUAUUAUCAUGUUGUAUAAUUCAUUAGUAAGAUUAUUACAAGAUAAAAAUCUCUAUAAGCUAUCAUUUGAUGUCUUAUAGGCUAUAGUCUUGGAAGUACUUUUGCUAUUCAGGUGAAGUUAUUGUGACACUUGAUGUUUUCAUGCAUGCUAUUUUUCAACAAGAAAGAAAAAACUUGCUGUUUUUAUAAGGGAACAUUUUAUUUUUGGUACGGCAUCAUCUAUGGCAAGCAGAAGAGCUAUAGACACUUGGUUUUGGUGCUCAAUCUGCAGGAUGCCAACGUUUUCAGAGGCGUUUGAUUUUGCAAAGGCAGUUCUGCACAACGAGUAGUGGAGUUUCUAUUUCUUGCUCCAACUCCACCUAUUGAAAGGUUAAAGGAUGCACGAGUAAUAUAGAGUGUAGUUCCUGCCAUGGGUCAUAACCAGGAAUCUUCAGCUGAACUCUGCUUUCAUAGAUGGAUGUUCUAAUGUGUUAUGGAGUCUUUGCUCCUGUGAAGUAUUCAUUUCUGGGGCAUGCUUGUCUUGUUUUUGUGGUGGACAUCGGUUACAUGAAGUCUUGCUUUGGCUUGUGUUCUGAUCAUGUCAUUCUUUAGAAUAUUUUCUUUAUUCUAUCACAAAGUGAGAAAACCGAAGCUUACUUGAGGGGCUUUUCUCCAUCCUUUUAUCGUGCUCCUUUAGCAUACUUGGGCUCUGAAACUCAAAUUGGUUCGAUUGAGCUCAGUGUAUUUCCAUAUGUAUGUGCCAGUUGACUAAAUGCUGGACUUUUUAGAGGUUGAUUAUACAUGUUUUGGCUACCUAUUGAGGAACAUUUGAUUGUUUCUCAGUGUGUUGUUUCAAAUUACAAAUUCAAUUUUUGUCUUCAAUUAUAUAAGAGCAUACCUAAUCAGGAUAGGAUUGGAAGAUCUUGAAUUAGUACAAUUUAUGACAUUGGAAGAAAUGUCAACUGCAUGCCCCUUAAAAAGUUGGGAGUACUGUAUAGGGACUAACAAUUUGCAGCUGAGGGAGUAACUUCUUGAUUUACUAUGGUGUUGCUUCUUUGCAAUUCAUGCUUUGGUUAUCUUUGAAGGUGUGUGUGUGUGUGUUUUUUUUUUUUUACUUAGUUCAUGGAUCCCCCCCCCCCCCAUCAUUUAUUUUCACUUACAGGAGGCACAUCCAGAAUUCCAUCUUAGAGUUCCUGCAAUUGUGAGUGCUCUUGAAAAGAAAGAGGUCACUUCGAAGGUAGCAGUUGGAUAUUCUUACUAUUACAUUUUUUCCAUGUUGUAUAUAAUUAUUAUGCAAUGUCCCUUUCAUGAUUUUCAAUCAAUAGUCUUCUUAUAUUGUUAUUUGUAUCUUUUUUUUCCCUAAUAGAGCUAUAAAAAUUGCCAUUAUCAUCAUCCCCAAAAGUUAACAAAAUUGCCAUAAUAGCUAUGCUAUGUUGAAAAAAAAAUUAUGUACUUCUCCAAAAUCAUUGGUUUACUGUGAAUAUAAUUAAGGUUACUUCCAAAAUAGCUUGUCUACAAAAUUGAUGGAAGGAAUCAGCCUAUGAAUAUGCCUACAUUCUCCUUAAUUUAUUAAGAAAAUGUCAUUUUAUCUAAAUUAUAUAUAAAAUUUCCUUGCAUAAUAAGAAUUUGCUGGGGAGGAGCUAUACCCACCUAUAGUAUGUAAGCUUUUUCCUCGCAGAUUCUAUAUUUUAUUUUCAGAUCGUUUUCUUCCUUUUUUUCCCAGCAUUAAAACUUCUAUCAAUCUUUACUGGUUAACAAUAUUAAUUUUUAACUUCAGCAUCUAAGAACAGCCAGAAUCCACUUACAGGAUUUGCUUUGAUCAAGCCUCCAGGGCAUCAUGCUAUACCAAAAGGGCCCAUGAGCUUUUGUGUUUUUGGCAAUGUGACCAUUGCAGCUCAUCAUGCCCAAUCGUGUGCAUGGAUUAAAACGAGUCUCAAUCAUUGAUUUUGAUGUUCACCAUGGGAAUGGGACGAAUGAUGCAUUUUAUGAUGAUCCAAAUAUAUUCAAGUAAGCUAUAAUUUCUUUGCACUUGAUACAUUUUUCUCUUGCUAUUCACAUGCAAUUUUGGCAUCUUGCUAAAUUAUCUCAAUGUCUUCUUCCUAUCUUACCAAUUAUAAUGCCUCAUUUGGAGCAUGAAUUUUAUAUUUAAACACAGAUACAGAAGGUCAGAUGUUGCAAAGAAAAAAAUCGAGUCAACUGGAUAUCUCAAGCAAAUAUAUGAUCAGAAUAAGUUUUUGUUUCCUUGUUGAAGAACUGUAGAUAAUCAAACAAUUAUGAAAAUGAACUGUGUGCCAGUUUCUUCAACAAAAAUCCGAACUGUCAUAUUGGUUAUGUAUAGUAACCUCAGUAGGAAUUUUGAAUAGUGAUGAAUGCAUGUGUUAUUUCCCCAAAUUUUCAGCUCGUCCUUUUUUUCAAGAUAAAAGGUGCCCUAAAAUCUGAACUUACCAAGUAUGAAAUGUCAUUCUUUGUUGGUUGUUAGAGAUCGUUCAGGUUUGAAUUUCCUCUUCCCUGAAAAAAUUGAGGUUUGACUUUAUUUGCCACUAGGAAAACUGAUGUGAUAUAAAAAGCAUCUUCUUUUCCUUUGUUCUCCCUUUUCUCUUCUCUCAUUUGUGUGUGUUUUUCUUUUCCCUUGGGUAAUUAGCUUUGUGUUUGAGGUGGAAAAUUAAAGACUUGAAAGUAAUAAAAGCCAGCCAUCUUGUCUGUGCAGGAGGUCGUUUUAAUACUGCUCUGUUUACCAACUAAUGUUCUUUUACUCCCUAUGUCCUGACUUUCUAUCUGUCCAUUCUCAUACUACUUUGGGAUCACACAUUUCAUGCAUUCUUCUGUGUUUUAUCAUAAGAACAGUUUUGCUAAUUCACAGCUAUUUAUUGUUAAAAGUGAAAGAGAAAAUCAGGAGAAACAUUUUGUUCUAUCUCAAAUUGGUAAGGCAUGCAAGUAAUUCUAGGUCAAGGGAGUAAUAUGCAUGUCAAAACACAUGCUAAAAAGCGGAAAAUAUGUGAUGAACUGACCUAGAUUAUACUUAGCCUGCAGCAUGAUAUGUGUACUUGUGGCAUGUUCUUGCAGUUUGCGUGCCAAAUGCCAUUAUUCAAGUAGGAUUUCUGCUGCUGGAUACACACGUAUCUAAGUGUAAAUGCAUAAUGUGCCCACUAACCACUUAAAUCCUACUUUCCUCUUUAUGAGCACAGGAUGGAAGCUAUCCAGGUACUUGUAAAAUUGACGAGCUAGGUCAUGGAGAUGGUGAAGGUACAUUUUUAAAUCUGCCUCUACAAAGAGGCUCAGGUGAUAUUGCCAUUAGCACCGUAUUUGAAGAAGUCAUUGUACCAAGUGCUCAAAGGUUCAAGCCAGAUAUUUUUCUUGCUUCUGCUGGGUGAGUUGCCACCCUUCCCAUGGAAUUCAAUACAUCCUUGAAAGGAAAUAAUUUUGCAACACGUUUCCCUCUUUUACUGAAAACAAUUUGUUUCCCAAAAUGAUGCGACGUGGAAAUCUUAUGGGAAUAUUUUGCUCAUUUUUCCUUUCUAUGCUAUCCAAGAUAAAAUCAUCUUGGUGUUUUACUGCAAUUUAAAUGUGAUGCAUUGCUUGCACCUGCAUCAGUUCUUAGUGACUGUUUGUGAAGCCUUUCAACAGCCUUUUUGAACUCUAAAUAGCAAGUUUGGUUGAACUAAAUAGUUUUGACAAAGUAUUAACUUCUCAUACUGAGGUUUGAAACUGUGUUAUUGUGCUGCUAUUAAAACGAAUAGACUGAACAAAGCAUGCAUUGCGAAUAUUUUUUUUCCAGGUAUGAUGGUCCUGUUCUGGAUCCACUAGGAAGUCUUUGAUUUACAACAGGAACAUGCUGCAUGCUUGCCUCUAAUAUUAAACAACUGGCGAAAGAUCUGUGGUGGCCGUUGUGUGUUUUUCUUGGAGGGAGGAUACAACCUUGAUUCUGUUUCAUAUUCAGUGGCGGGCUACUUUCAUGCUUUCAUUGGGGAGAAGAGUUUGGCAUCUGAGUUUGAUAACCCUGCCAUCAACUAAUAUGAAGCAAGCGAUUCAGAGAAUUAAACACAUGCAUUCUCUUUGAAGAUGUGUAGGCAUUAAUUACAUGUCUGUCUAGAAGUAGCUUUGCCAGCAAGCUUGUUGGGCACCUAAAACACCAGCAGAGCUUUCCUUGGUUGAAUACUGCAAUCUCCAAGGUGGUUCUUUAGAUGUCUUAAAAGGAUAGUAAUUUUCCUGUAUAGUAUCGUUUAACACGUACAAGUAACACGCGUUAGCUAGUAAAGUUAUAUCCUGCAAAAGAAGAUUCUAGUUCAUAUUUAGCUGAAUGAUUUUUCCCAUCCCAUUUGUUUCUUUUUCUGGACAGAAUAGAAAGGUGAAUGGUUUCUUGCCCAUGAUUUAAAAUCAUCCAAGCAAAAGCAUUCCUUUCCACCCCAUGAACAUGGUAAACUAAAAAAAGAAGAAGAAAACCUAACGUUAAUAAUCACUUUCAUAAAGAAAGGAAAUCUAGCAAUGGGUCGUUACUUUUGCUGUGAAGUGACCGGGACAACACACCGCAGUACGAAGUUAGCUAUAUGUCUUCGAUCAGCAACAUGAAUGGCGUUAUCAAGCUCCUGGAGCCAUAUUAUCCUACUUUAUCCACCGACGUUAUACCGUUGUCACUUGACAUCAAACCCUUAAUCAAUAAAAAUUUGUUUUGGAUUGUUUUUGUUGAUUAUGAUAAGAUUACUCAUCUUCCGUCAACGAUAAGAUUACUCAUUUUAAGUAGUUUUACGAGGUCAUUGAGCCCUUGAUAUUUGCUGUGAUUAACAAAAAUUGAGAGAGGUUAUGAAUUCAUCGUUCACCGUUGUGGACACAGCUCUGGAAUACUGCUUUGGUUUUGUUUUUUUUUUUUUUUGACAUCAACUUUUUUAUUACACCAGCAUUUCGAACAAGUUGAACUUAGUUCCCAAUUAUGUUCUUCGAGAAGUCACAGUUUCCAAAUCAUUCUUCCAACAACAGGAGAAAAACACACGUACAAGACUAAAAAAGCAGAAAUCGUUUUCGCAUGUCAAGGCUUUGCACGAUAAAAGAAAUCAUGAACAAAUGUCACAUAAAAGAAACUUUGAGAUGACUAACGAGAGCAGCUGAUAGCGUAAUUUCUGCUGUAUUAGCUGUUGUUAUUUAAAAUAUGUUUUAUAAAAGAAAUAUAUUAAAAUAAUCUAAAAAUAAAAAAAAUAAAAAUAAAAUUUAUUUUUUAAAAAAAUGGUGCCAGGAAUCGAGAUUUAAAUUUCAUAUCUCAACAGUAUAUGUUAUCUCUAGGAUUGUGUUUUUGAAAGAUUUUAAAUAUUUUUAGUUUUAUUUUUUUUUUGUAUGUUUUAAUGUAAAGAUUCAAAAAUAAUUUAAAAUAUAUAAAAAUAUUAUUUUAAUACAUUAAAAAAAAAUUUAAAAAGUAAUUCACGAGAGAGAUAGCGAUAAUGAUAAAAUUUGCAUUUUAUGUAUGAUAUACAUAUAUGUGUUGGGAUAAUGCAUCCCCGGAGCAAGGUCAUGUCACUCCCCUGUAAUUGGUCAAGGAAGCAUUGGUCUACUACCGAAUUAAAGCUACUAUUUUCUACUUUUUUUUCGGUGAUGAAAGCCACACAAGCAAGCAGUAUCCCAUCAUGAUUAUUGCUCGAACAUAAUUAAUCAUUCUCAUCUCUAGCUUUUAUACGACAAAGAUAUACCAAACGAAUCAAACCUCGACUGCAUGCUUACCUCAUCCUACACUCAUCGUGUAUUAGAACACAUCUUUUACCACUGGGAAGCUUUUUACAGUGGCUAAUUGGUCUUAAAAAACCAAUAUCCAGCCAAAAGGAUCCUGAGUCUCGAGUUAAAUUAUGUAAGAAACAUGGCAAAGCAUGAUUAUUUCUUUCUUUCAGAAUAUUCAACUUAAAGGGUGACAGAAAACAUCAUUUCUCAAUUUAUAACAGUAGGAAUAAAAUUGUUUUUGGCUUAGUACUGUAUUAAGACAUGAAUUUCUUUUUGAUCCGAUUUUAUUCAUAAAAAAAAGAGGGGAAAUUUUGGUAUAUGUAAUUUUGUUUGAACUGGCCCUGAUCAUUCUUUCUGUUUCUUAAUUUUUUUUUUUUUUUAGGAAAUGAAAUUUGAGGUUUUUAUCAUGGAAAAUAAUCUUCUUCCGAGACAGAUAUAUACAUGACGUCCGGGUGUGGUUCAUCUAUCUUUAAUUUGUCAUAAAAAAAAACUCCCCUGAGUUAAUCUCUGCGAUUACAUCACAUUUUCGUCACAUGUUGCUCAUAUUUUUGGAUGCUAAAACAUUUGGAGAUGAACAAUUAAUAAUUAAUAAAUAUCCCCUGAAGUGAUCAAGUACAACGUGCAGUGCCUAAUCCAUUAAUUUCAUCACUUAAAUGCCUACAUUUGAUGAUGAAAAUGACCAAACAUACCGAACAACUCACUUUGGUUGCCCUUGAAAUUGAUUAUUUAAUGUAAAGGACUUGAAAUAAUCCAUUUGUAGCCGCCUUUCCACCCUUGGCCCAUAACUAAUUCUUGAGUCACAGUGCAGCAAUCAGUGUCUCUCUUCUCACUCAACACUAUUAUAUAGCUAGGUCUAGCCCUUGGGAUAUCUAGCCACAUGCACUGUCCCAGGUUCUAACUUCACCAAAAAAAAAAAACACCAAACUUAUUUGGCUUGUGUUUGUUUAGGCAUGGGAGAUCAUGGCUGCAGUGGUAACCUUCCUCCGGGAUUUGUUUUCAGCCCCACCGAUGAAGAACUUGUCCUUCACUUUCUUCAUCGCAAGGCCUCACUCUUACCUUGCAACCCUGACAUCAUUCCUGAUCUUGGUCUCUAUCCCCAUGAUCCCUGGCAACUUGAAGGUAAUUCCCUUUAUCUCUAUAUAUCUUGAUCUUGGUUUUUUCUUUUUUAAACCAACUUGGAUUUUUUAUUUUUUUUUAAUAAGAUGGGAAAUCAAAUGAAUUAUAUAUAGCUUCUAGCUCAAAUGAAAGUUAUUUCCCAUUGCCUAGAAAAAUGGGGAGAGGGGGGCAAGAAAGUUGCUAUGUUGGUUCAAAGAAAAAGCUAAGUUCCUGUUAUCUUUUUGAGUGAACAGGCAAGGCUUUGUCAAGUGGAAACCAGUGGUACUACUUUAGUCAAGUGAUGGAGAACCAAGUCACAGAAAAUGGGUUUUGGAAGUCAUUAGAUACUGAAGAACCUAUAUUUAGUAGUGCUGGUAAGAAGGUUGGAUUAAAGAAAUACCUUGUGUAUUGCAUUGGUGCUGAAGGUGUAGAAACAAGCUGGAUGAUGCAGGAAUAUCAUCUUUGCAACAGUAAAUUGAGCGGCACAUCUUACAAGAGAAAGCAAAAACUAGUAAGCAAAACCCUUAAUUUCUUUUAAUUAAGAUACAAUAUAAAUGCCAGAUUGAUGAAAUAAAAUAGUAAUCUCCGACUAAUAUAUCUUUAAUUGUUUGAUAUCUAUAGGAUUGCCAUCAAUGGAUCCUGUGUCGAGUCUAUGAAAGGGAGGGAAGCUGCAUCCAAAACGUCGGCAAUACCACUGAUGAUGAUGACGGGACUGAACUUUCAUGUCUAGAUGAGAUGUUCUUAUCAAUGGAUGAUGAUCUUGAUGAUAUAAGUUUUCCAAAUUAGUUUCAGUAUAUUGUUUCAACUUAUAUUAAUGAAUCAUGUGUAAACAAGUGAAUCUUUGUAUGUUUUUAAUUUAGAUAAAACAAUAUUAUUAUCUUUACUUAGAGAGAACUAUAUAUAUGGUGGAGUGCUUCGGUUCGUGGCAUUCUAGUUUAUUUUCAUUAUAAAAAUUCAGCAUUUCCGAUCAGUUUUAAAAUAGAACAAGUUAUUAUGAUCAUACUAAUUGAAAUUAAAUUUAUCCUUGAUAAGGUCUUAUGCAUACCCAAACUAGAACAUUGACGAGAAUUUCAUUCUUACAGCCAGCUCCGAAUGGAUUUGAGUCCAGGAUAUAUCAACUUAGGAGCUCAUCCUUUGCUACAUAAAAAAAAAUAAAAAAAAAAUUGAAAUUGAUCAUGAGAAAUUUCUUGCAUGUUGCCCGAGUGUCAUGUCUUUGCGAGAAACGGAAGGAUAAAAGUUGAAAAGGGGAGGUGCCCAGCUGCUUCCACAAUAUUUAUUGUCUUGCAUGGCUUACUUUGCCCCACCAUUUUCUGCUUUUUGUAUUUGUUGUCCGAACGUCUUUGCCUGAGUUUUGCUUAGUCUAGCAUUUUGUCAUGCAUGAUGUGUGUGUCUAUAUAUAUACUUUGAAGGAUGUAAAAGUUGCAAUCAACUUUUGAUUUUAGCUCAAGUGGAAAUUGCUUUAUCAUCUUUUAAACUAUUUGUAUGCAUACGAUAUUUAUGUUAGAGUUCCACACUAUUAAAGGAAACGGAAUGAGUGGGAUAGCAUAAGGAAGCUUUGCAUACAUGUAUCCUCACGCCAUUAAAACCCAUACCGACAUGACUGGUUAAUCUAAAACCUGGUCUAUUCAAGGCCGAAUCGGUCAGAUAAAAUAAAAAAGAAAAAAACUUGAUUGAUUUGGUUAAAAAUCUAGGUUAAUAUAAGACCUGGUCUAUUCAAGACUGAAUUAGUCAGAUAGAAUAAAAACUAAAAGAAGAAAAAACUUGACUGACUUGGUAAAAAAUCCAAGUUAACUUGCUGACCCAAUCAACCUGAAAUUGACCCUGUCAAAACUCAGCACUCAACCCAUGAACUUUUUUAUAUAAAAAAAAGGUCGAAAUAACAUUAUUUUCAUCUCUUUUUUCUUUUCAAAAAGGAAAAAUUGAGGUUGCCCCAAGCAUUCUCUCAUGUUAACCCCAGGUUAGGUUUUACAACUAUAUCAUACACUACUAUCUUAGGUAAGUUAUUAAUUUAUAGUAUUAAACUAGACUUGGGUCCGCGCUAUGUUACAAGUUUGUAUUUUCUAAUAAGAAAAAAUAUGUUUAGGCGACGCAAGCACGUUUCAUUGAGGAUCAAAGUGAAAAAAACAACACAUGGCAAAUAGGGUUGAAUGAUGAAAUUGACAAAAAAAAAAAAACUUUCUAAAGGGCCAAAGACAAAAGAAUAGAAACCAAAAGAAUAGGAACUAAAUCCAAAGGCAAAAUAAAUUGAGGGGCAGCUCUGAAAAUUUGAAGGGUUAGGCAUGAAAACCUAGGGGUGACAGAGAAGGAAAAAAAAAUUGUCGAUACCAAACUAAAUGUUCAUUCAGGACAUGAGUCGACCAGCCAUGGAGGGGAUGUCGAGAGGAAUCAAACAACACCCUAGAAGUUAUCUUUUGGCUACCGGGCGAUGUCACACGCGCAACCCAAAAACUAUGACAAUCAUUCAUGUAAUGUUGAUACGUUCAAUCCAUAUAUCAAUUUUGUUUGAAUAUUUAUUAAAUAUUAAAGUUCAAAUUUACGUCUAGUCCCUGUUCGAGAAUAAUAUAAAUCAUAUCUUAGGAUCUCACCUAAAAACUUAAGCUAUUGGGUUGAAAUGGUUCUUUGACAUGGUAUCAGAGCCUUGAUGACCAAGUGGUCACGAGUUCGAAUCUCAUCAUCCCCAUUUAUUUGAUAAAAAUUAAGCACAAGGUAAAAUAGACCUGUGCAAGUUUCAAGCCCAAAUGACUUUCACUUGAGGGGAUAUGUUAGAGAAUAAUAUAAAUCAUAUCUUAGGACCUCACCUAACAGCUUAAACUAUUGGGUUGAGAUGGUUCUUUGACAGUCCCACCUAAAAAUAACCCAAAAAAAAAAUAAUCAAGGCUAAGAUAAUGAAAAUGACCAUCGAUAAAAGCUUAUUUCUUGACCCCAUCAGUUAGACCAAAUUUUUAUAUCAUGAGGGGAUAAUUAUAGUAAAAAAUAAUGUUUUUACCCCUUCUUUUUUAAUUUAAUAAGGGAUCAAUUAAAAAAAAAAAGAGGUAGAUUAAAGAAAGAUAGCUUUUUUUAUGCUAAUUCGAUUCUACAUCAUUUUCAAAGCCCACGUCACUCAAAAGCCUAUUGAAUUUCAAGCAAUAUCAAUUUACAAAUGUGUUUCAAGUUUUUAUGUUUAGAAUUCGAUAAUACUACAAGAGAGAAAUAUUUAUAUUGCUAUAUCAAAGAUACUAUGAAUCAUCAUUAUUAGGGUUGUUCAAAAAAAUAAUUCAUGUGCAAUGUUUGUAUUAUUUGAUCUGACUUAAUAUAUACCCAUUAAAAUCAGAUAAUAUAAAUAUUACAGAUAAUAAUGGGUUAAAAAAUCUAAAAAAUAAAUAUUAUAGAUUAGAUGAUAGGUUAAAAUUUUUAAAAUUCAGAUAACUUGACUCAACCAGUAUAGUUUAACCCUCAACUGACUUCAUCCACCAAAUUAAAUUAGAUUAAUAGAAUAAACACAAGUUAAAAAAAAGUAGUUUAGUAAACUUAAUUCAGAAAAUUUAAGUUUAAUAUCUGUGAAUUGAAAUCCAUUAAUCAUAGUAUCCAAUAUUAAAUCUACUAUUGAUGUAACAUAUAAUUACUUAUGUCAUUUGCGACUUAUUUUAUAUUAGCAAUUUUGGGCUAAUUUAUUCAAUUAAUAUUUUAAUUCUAAUUAAGCUCAUUCAUUAAAAAAAAAAAAUACUAUUCAUAUUCAUAUUAAAAUUGACCUACAUGAUAUAUCCAAUCUGAUCAGAUAAAAAAAAUUAAAUAAGUAAAUUGAGUUGACAAUUCAUAAAAUAUUAAAAGUUGGAUUAGAUUAUGGAUACAAUUCCAAUCCAACUAUACAUCCCCCAUGAACACCCAUAAAUUCAUCAUAAUAAUGAUGAUAAUAAAAUUAGUAUGAAUCAUAUAAAAUCUUAUUAAAUAGCUAAUAUACAACUUACAUAGUUCCUCAAUGCGGCCCAUAAUAAGCAGGCACAAGACAUUAAAUCCUAAAUGUAAUCAGUUAACUUAUUGCUAGUUUAUUUCUAAACGAGAGAAGGACGUAUUUUUAUGCUCAAAUAUAAGGAAUUACAACUAGAAACAAAUACAAAAGACAUAUUUUUAUACAAUUCUGAUUUAAAGAACAAAUAAGAAAUAAAUCUCAGUUCAUUCGCUAUCAUAGUUCGUCGUGGCCAGUUACUUUAAAUUGAGGAAAUAGCUAAUUAAGCUAAUUAUGAUGCAUAUGUCCAAGUAAUUACCACCGUUAAGAAUGCAAAACCCAUUUUGUUAAUGAUUCAACAAAUGAAAAGGUGAUCUGAUGCAUAUUACUUAUUGAUUGGAAAUCUAUGAUGAAUAUUGGGUCACAAAAACUAAACUAAAUUGUUUGUUUCUGUAUGUUUGGAUUCAGAUAAUAAUUAGAGAUGAAUUAAUACACUGUCGGGUCUAAAAGGGGACAAAACAAUUGCCACUUUGAAAUAAAUCAGUCCUUUAGCAUCUGUAAUAUUAUUGAUGAUGUACUCUUUACUUUUUCUACAGAACUUUAGCAUCCAUAUUUUCAACCGUUGAGAGCUGACAUCUUUCACCUUGUCAAUAAGGUAUAAGGACCCUUUCCUACGGCCGGUCAUAGACAUCGAUGGAUCAAAAUCCAAAGCAUCAUCGAUCUUUGGGGAAAUGUAGGGUGCUGAAUCUCUCCAUUUCAACAUCAAGCAUCACAAAUUUCAGCUUCAGAAUCGUAAACUAUAGACUGAAACAAAUCUGUGGUGCUUAUCCAAUGAAACACAUCAUUGAUCAUCUCACCAGACCAGACCCUACCAGUAUCUUGGAUGGAGUUUCUGUCAAGACCUUCCACGAACCCAAGGCAGCUGAUCCACCUUCCCUUAUGGUAAAUAUUUCGCACCCGAGCAUAUACUUUUCUAACGAGAGUUUAGAAAGAAAUGGCUAGUAUAUAUGUGCUCAUCCUUUGACGGAUUGUAUCCGAAACUGCACCAGUACUCCCAUGCUCAACAAAAAGUUUCCUUCAGUAAUGCCGAAGUUGGUGUGUGCUUGGAUUGGAUUACAUAUGUAGAAAUGAUUUUCCCGUGAAGACAAACCAAAUCAUGUCCUGAAGGAUACAUUGCGAAGGAAUGUUGUGCAAAGAAAGCCAGCCAAUCUUGCACUGCCAUUCCAUUUGAUAGGUGCGCACAUACGAGUAAUAAUUAUUCCACAUUAAAAGGGAAUGAAAACAAUAAGGUGAUUAUUUAUAAAAUGGACUCAUAACCUAAUAGUCUACAUUUUCAGGUUAAAGUACUAGUGUUCAAUCUCAUAUGUAAGCCCUCAUGUUUGCAGGUCCAAAUGACCCUUCAAUGCAUAAUUCCUCAACAAAUAGUCACGGAUCCAAUGAUUUGGCUAGGUACAAGUGGAUACUAUAGGUGUUUGCAUAGCCAAUAAUGUAGUAUUGGCUAGGACGAGCUUUUAUCCAGAAACCUAGAUUACUGGAUUAAAGCUCCAUCUUAUGUAUAAAGAAAAGUGUGGAUUAAAUUUCAAGAUUGGUGCCUUCAUGGUAAAAACUGAAGAUCUAGUUGGACUCUUGAACAAAGAGCAGAUGACUUGUGGAGUAGUAAGAUAUAUGCGGCUUAUAGAUUAGGAGCGAAUGGUGCGCGAUCUCCUAGCUAGAUGAUCAAGUUCUUCAAAGAGUGGUGAGUUUUUGAUGUUUAUAAUACUCUGAUAACAAUUAUCGCACUUGGAAUUGUUAAAUACUUCUGCUAGGAGAGAAGUUGUGAUGGAAUGAGUCAAGCUCACAUGCGAGAGUAAUAAUUAUCCCUCAUGGAAAAGGAAAUGGGUAAAGUGAGGUGUUUAUUACAUAAGAUGGAGCUUCAAUCCAGUAGUCUAGGUUUCUGGAUAAAAGUGAUGUUUUUUAGCCCUCAUGUACGCAGGUCUAGGUACAGGUCAAAGUGACUCCCCAAUGAAGAUCUCCACAACACCCUUUACAUCCAAUCAGAGUUGUUAGAUCCAUUUUGGCUUAGACAGAUUGAACCAAUGAUCUAUAUUAACUUGGAAUCUAGCCUGUUUGGUGGUCCUUUUCAAACCAAAAUGAACAUUGACGUGAUCAAAUUCAAGUGAUUUGACAUGCAAUUUCAUCAUCCCAUUAACUUGGUUGUGUCAAUUUUAAGAAUUUUUUUUUUAAUUUGUGUUUAAAAUAACCUUGUUUCAAAUUCUUUUAAAUUUUUUUUUAAAUGUUUGUUUUAAUAUUAAACCUGGUUGGUCUACGAAUGUAAAUUGACCUUGCAAACUUACCAUCCUGUCUUGAGCCGGGUGUAAUAACUUCGCAUCCAACAAGGAAACAUGAACUUUACUUUCUUUUCUCGGCACAAACUAGCUAGGGUCCUGCUGGAAAUUGACCAGAAUAGAGUCGCGCUUCAUAUAAAGGCACUAACACUUGUGAGAGUAGUCAGAAUGAAUGGAACUCGUUUUCUCCUCAGGUUCUUUGCAUAAUACAGCACAAAAACUAGUUAAAUCCUGUUGAAACACCGAGAGCUUUGUACUUGUUCGGACCAGUUAUAUGGUGUAAGCUUAUAAAGUAAAGAAUCGGAGAUCAAGAUGCACCAUUGUUUAGACACACACCUGAACCUGCAUAGAGUUUCACUUCUUACAGCUAGUCUUGACAGGAUAUUUAGGAUGACAUCUUCUGGUACAUUACGGCCAGCCAUAUUUUUCACCUGGGCAGCGUAAAACAAAUAGCUAUUUUACACUUACUCUUUUUAUCUGUUGUACAUAUAGCUUUUUGGCUUUGCUUAGACCGUGGAAAUAGAAAUUGGAUAGGACUAUAAAUUCCAAAAAGGAUUUGAUUAAUCUCUAAUACUUUUUACAUCUUAAUUAGUGUUGGUUUCAACAUUGAUUCUAAGGAAGAGCAUGGAAGUUUGUCCAGAUGACUAGAUUCCAAAAACAAGCGAACAGCGUUUAUAGUGGCAACUUCAAACGAAGUAAUCAAGAUUCAGAAUAGUGAGGGAUGUAGGCAGAUUCAGCUUCGAAGUAUAGCUCAAAGAACAAGCAUCAGCUGAGAGGCAUAAAUAACAGUAGCACAGAUUAUCUUGGAUAACGACAACAACGAUAUGAUUAAGAAGAAGAAAAAACUAUCAAGAACUUGCGGCCAUGUUGUAAAUCUUCUAACACAAGUAUUUAAUUAAUAAUUAGUACUUGUUUAGCGUUGAAUUGGAACAAGUUCGUAAGUAUAAAUGGUCAGAUUCAUGAUUUGAUUUCUGAGAAUCAACUUAGAGAAAUCCAGUAUUUCUUGUAUCAGAAUAAAUAGGAAUGGUCCGUCAGUUCGCGAUUCAUCUCUAAUAAUGGGCCAGGUCACACUAAGAUCAACUGAACCUAGCCAUAAAACCAUGUCUCAAAACCCCAGCAAAGGACGAGAGUAGAAUUGCUUGCGUAAAAAUUAAUAGUAGUAUAUUGGAACAAAAUGAAAAUACAAUUCUUUAAGAUUUUUGUGGUAAAGAUUUCAUCCAUCCUAUAGCUUAGACAAAAAGAGAUCAGACCUGCACCAAAACAAUAUUGCAAAAGGCAGCCUUUUUUAGCCAAGUUACAGCUAAACCUUAUUUUAGCAGAGCAGUCACUUGUCCAAGAUAACCUAGCUAUCCCGGCUGAUCAAUCAUCCUAAUUAAAGUUUAAUUCUGAUGCCUUGUUUUGAUCUCCCUUCCUUUCUGCUUGUAUUCAGCUGGCGGUGUUCUUGGUGGUUGGAUCACUGCCCUGGUUUGAGGUUUUCGACAGGGCUUCAGUUUUCUUAGCAGGAAUUGAUCAGGUUUUUUCUGUCAUUCUGGCUUUUCGAUCCACACAUCUCAUGUUUCCUUGUAACUGGACGAUUGGUUGAUUAUAUUAUCUUUCAAAUCCUUCUCAGCCAUCUGACCCGCCUUCCGGCCUUAUGCUGAACUUUUCAUAUCUGAACCCACAAUAAUCUGAUAAUUUAAAGGUUAUGAAUUAAAAAAAAAAAAAACUAAUCAUAAGCAUAAUAUCCAUGAGAAAGUUUGUCUAAGAAAAAGUGUGUUAAUAAAUUUUAUAGGGUUAUACAUGAGUUUAAUACCAUGAUAAUUUAUGAUAAAAUAUUUUGAUGAAAAAAUACGAAACCACUUUGAAUUUUAAUUUCAAUUAUUUAGUUUAUUUUUAUAUUUUUAAUUUAGAAAACAUAUUUUGAAUUAAGGAAGAACUUUUGUUGAUUUUUCAACUCUUCUAACUACAUGUAACAAAUUGAAAAAAAUAUAAAAGAUAUUGAUUUUUCUAAUAUACAUUAAUUGAUUUGUUUCAAUUUAACAUAUUAAUAUUUAUAUAAUUUUGAUGUUGAUUUAUUUCACUAUUAAAGAAACUUAUAUAAUUAUUUGAUUAGAUCAUUUGCAAUAUAUACCCCAAGACAUGAAAUAGUAAAUAUAAUAAAACAAAAUGUAAAUUUAGCUGCAACGAGUCGUCUAAGUUCAGCUACAACUAGAUAGGAUGAUGAUAGGGUUUUUUAAAAAGUAAAAAAAUUGGGACUAGGGUUAUUGUUUUGAAUAGAUUUAAUAAGCUUGAUUAAUUUAUUAAUAUAAUUAUAAAAUAAAAAGGUUAACAAAACACGUAGUUUCCAAAAACAAAUUGUAAUUAUAUUCAAUUUAGUCCUUAAAUGUUUUAUUUAUGCAAUUUGAACCCUUCAUAUAAAAUAACAAGUUUAUAGUUAUUUUUAUUUCAGUCCAUUAACUUCUAAUUUAUUCAACAUACUCCCCACAUGUUAAGUUCAUUUGUGAUAUUCAUUUUAGAUUACAAACUCUAAACCCAUUCAAUAUAGUCAUUGUGUAUAAAUAAUACAAGAUAUUAAUUAAACAAAUUGAUGGGUGAGACAACAGGACUCGUCCAUAAAAAAAUUAAAAGAUUUAUAUGAUUAUAUUCUUUGAAUGAAGAAAAAAGAGUUUCAAUCAAAAUUGACUUGUGUGAUUAUAUGUUUUGAGUGAAAAAAUAAAGGUUUAUGUCAAUUUCUCAUUUUUCUAAAAACACGUAUAACAAAUUAAAUAAUUAAAAAUUAACACUUCAUACUACAGAUUCUCUAAUGCAUGAUUUAUCAAUUCAAUAUACAAUUUAUUGAUACUAUAAAUAUUUUUCAAACUUGAUCUUGAUAUAUUUGAAAUUUUAUUAGAACUAUUAUAAUGCUAGUCAAUUCUAAAGAAGGGGGAUCAUUUUGUCAAGGCCUAAAGAUUAUUGACAAAUAUAAGGGAACCAAAACCUUGGAUUUUUGCAGCUUAGCAGAAUGACACUACUAUUAUGCAUCGGAUAAUACAUUUGAAUUCACAAGUUGCAAGAGUUUCAUGCUCAACAUACAUUGAGCAAACAUAGAGUGGAAAAUUCAAGUCACGUAAAACUGAUUUGAGUUGCUAACAAACUUAGCAAAGGAAAUGACUUCAUUCAUCAGUAAAGAAUCACAAUGAUGAAGCUUUCUCCUCUAUGGAUUCUCUAACUGCCUUCAAAAGUAAUGGCAUCAGUUUCUGAUUCGUAACAAUGAUGCCUGUGUCAAGAUCCAGGUAUCUUCCUCUUGAAAAAUCUAAGGGGUUCCCCGCAACAUCUGUGACCAGUCCCCCAGCUUCUGGCAGAGUAAUUUGACAACACAUUAUGUUAACAAGAUGUUCAUUCAAAAACUCCAGCACUAAAGGCCUAUAAUAAUGUUAAGUGUCUGCAAAUAUUAGAGCAUAUAGAAUUGAGGAAAGCAAUUAUUCUAAAGCUCUACGAGUUACAGGCUACAUCAGUCCUUAACCUGACUUUAGUGUAUGUGAGCCCAAGAAAUAUAGGCAAAACGAAUAUUUUCUAUACCUGAUACAACUAUGCAUCCAGCAGCAUGAUCCCAUAUUUUUUCACGGUAACCUUUAUGUGGAAAUCGCAAGUAUAUGACCCCAUCUCCUCUAGACAGAGCGCCAUACUUUGCUUGGCUAUCAAUUCUAACUGGUGGUGCUUUGACACCAAGUUUCUGUCCAAAAAUUAAAUGUUUAGAGUAUUGCAACUAAAAUCUUUGUUUUUUAAAGGGAGUGGGGUGGGGGAGUGAUCAUACUUUGACAAUUGAACUAGAUAGAUCAUGCAUGGAGUGUGCUGCUUCAUAUGAUUCAAAGAGUGAUGCUUCUUCAGGAUUGUCAGUAGCGUUGACUUGCACCUGUACAGUAACAAGAAGACAUUUUAUACAAAUCACAGACAACCAGGAGAAUAAAUGUCAUCUGGAAAUAAUCCAUUAGGUGCGCUGACCUUCACUGCUGAAGAGCUAUCCAGUGGCUGCAUGUAAGUUCCACCGCCAACUACAGAAAAGAAAAGGCAACCAACUUCGCCAGGCAAAGAAUGCUGAGAGCCACCAGCAAUGGAAGGUAACGGAAGAUUGGGACAAGCCAAGACGCCCAACACUACUGUCCCUUCAUCUAGCAAUGCUAAAGCUAUUGCAUAUUGAUCUCCUCUUAAAAACCUAUAUUAAAUCCCAUUAGCAAGAUUUAACUUUCCAGUCAGUUCAUGCAAAUAAAAAAGGAAAAGAAUACCCUUGCAGAAAACCACUUUUCUAACAUCAGCUACUAUUUGAUUGCCCAACUCAGCCAAUUCUGGAGGAGCUAGACCUCGUUUCAAGCCAGAGACAUGUAGCUCAAGUUCAACUCAUUUUCAUCUUUCUCUGGCUCUCAGCAUGAAUUUGACUUGUUUCACUUAAAUGUGAACCAAGUCUGAGCUCUACUUGUUUAUCAGGAUAAACAAGCCGAGCUAAGCUUGGCUCUUGCAAUGGAAUUCAAAAUUAAAAGAAAAAAAAAAUCUCGAGCUCAUGUCUUACUCAAAAUAAGUUGCACAUUCAACCAAAAGCAUGCAUGUUGUAGUUAAGAAGAACUCCAACCUAUUACAGUGUCCAAGAUGCAACUUCUCACAUUGCAAAAAUCAUGGUACGAAACAGCUUCAUAGCACAAAUAUUCAUGCCAAAACCCAAGUUUCAAAACUCACCCUUUAGUGCCAUCUAUUGGGUCCAGAACCCAGUGUCUGCCUCGAGAACCACCUUCAGAUUUUCCACAGUCAAUGGCCUUGACAAUAUCUUCAGUGGAUAAAGUAGAAUCACUAUAUGAUCCAUCGGUAGCUAGAAUAUCGUUAACAAGUUUUGUGAUUCGCUCUAGUGUUUCCUGGCCACCAUCCUUGAGGAGAUCUUCUGAAUCCUAGAAAUAUUCCCCAAAGGAUAUGUUGGUGAAUUUGAUAUAUCAACAAUAAAAAGGAAAAGGCUUGCACAUCUCAGAAUAAUUCUGAAUUUUCACCCAUCUACCUCCUCCGCCACUAAGGAGAAUAGUUCAGAAGGAAGCUCCCGCUGCAGAGCAUAACUAACUAGUGCUUGAGAGCCUAGAAUCAAACGAAAGUGCCAAAAAGGGUUAUUAGCUAAGUUGCUUUUGUACCAACCCUAAAAGCUGAAAGAAGUAUAUUCAGAAAAUAAAUAGUCUAAAGCCUAGAAAAAGGCUUUGUUCCAAGCACUGAAACAAUGAAGAAUUCAACUAAAACCCAACAGCUUUGGGACUGCAGAAGCAAGACAUUCACAUGUUCACAAGAAGAAUCAUUACAGUUAAUGUGGCUCUCAUUUAUAAUACAAUUUUUAAGCAGAUAAGAACUAGCAUAUGCCAAGAUGACAAACCACUCAUAUACUCGUAUAGAAUAGAUAGGGCAGCACUAUCACCCAUAAUACUCAAGUGGGUUUACACAAACGGAUACAUCCCAGCUCCUAAACUUGCACAUGAAAAUAGAAAAUAAACUUGAUCACAGCUUGUCAGGUGCUUUUUGAAAUUAUAUACAUAAUUUUAAGAAAACAACAUCCUAUGAUAAAACAUAGCCAAAAGUAUCAAAUCAUCAGGCUAUUGACUAAACAGUAACUUCAAAUCAUCUGAACAAAAUUUAACAGUCUGUCAGCGAAAAGGAAAAAUAAAGGGUUUUGCACAUAAUCAACAAGAAUACAUAGGAAUGUUUAGCAACAAACCAUAAUCAGCAACAGUGACGGGACUUUUAUCUGAUUUUGAUUGGACAUCUGAUUGCAAGAUAGCUUUUUGCAUCUUCUGAGGAAAAACAAAAAUACAUGAAAUCAGCUUAAGAUAACAAGAAAAGGUACACGCAUGCAAACUAUCUAAAACAUUUGUGCCAGGAUGCAAAAUGUCAAAUCACCUGUUCUAAAAAAGGAUAACGUCAUGUUAAUCAGAUAUAGGAUAUAUAAUGAAACAGUUAAUCACAAGGGGACCAACACAAGCCAUGAAAAUCAGCUUCAUUGGUCUGAAAGGGGAAGAAAUUAUAUAGAACGCACACCAGAAACAGAGCGUAAAUAAGCAAAUAAAAUACAUGAGAAUCAGUUUCCCCGCAAAAGCUAUACUAAAAGGCAUCACAAUAGCUAACUCCCCUGAUGCUAGCAUUAUUUCCAUUCAACCAUUUCCAUUUCUUCCUCUCUUUUUUUUCCAUUUCAAUCAUCCAUUCAAACCCUCUUCCAAAAAAAAUCCAAUAAAGUCUCAAGAAACAAACUUUAAUCAGAAAAUGAAAAACCAAACAAAGUAAAAGCUUCAUACUCCAAAACCCACCACACAGUAAUAACAUAUGGGUCAUGCUGAAAUAAAGAUUUCACACUCUAAAACCAGCCAAUAAAAUCCUUCAACAACUAAAAACACAAUAUCUAAAAUCCAAACAGACCCAACUUCCGAAAAAGAAAUACAGGGAGAGGCAAAGAAAGGGACUUCACCUGGCAGAGGCGGGCAGCAAGAGAGACAGCUUUCUUGGCAGCAGCAAGUUCUUUAUUGUAAGACAUUGAAGAGGAUAAUACUCUUGGAAUUGAGGUUUUGCUUUUGGUUUUGUUAGAGAAAAAUAAAAGGGGAGAGGAAACAAGAAAAGGGUUUUUCGUGAUUGUGAUUUCGGGUUUUGCAAUAAUGCUAACAAGAUUCAUGGACGUCCUUCCAAUAAAUCAAAACUUAGAAAAACGGAGUAUAAUUCUUUUUUAUUUACUUAUUUCUUAUUCAAUUGGUUAUUCAACACAAUAAUUUAUACAUCAAUCCAAAAAAAAAAAAGUUCUAGAUAGUUUUACGUAUGUAUCUCUAUCUCGAUUUAAAAAAUUCCAAAGAAAUAAAAUUCUUUAAAAAUUAACGAAAUCUAUAAAACAUGAUGUCUUCACUUUAUUAUUUUAAUAUUCAUUAACUAAUUAGAAAGCUAUGCUUCAGGAAUUUAAUAGUCUUUUCUACAUGAUAAAUUAGUCAUUAUGAAAAUCAUUUGAGACAUAUUGGUUUUUGACUCUCUUUUUUUUUUUUUUCACAGCGUAAUGACUACAUCAUUUUUUAAUGCAAAAUUUUGAUAAAACUCUUUGCCUUCUCGAUUUUUUUAUUUUUUAAUUUUCAUAAUAAAAAUAUUAAAUUGCUCUUGGUAUAUAAUUUAUUUAAAUUUGCUUCAAGGACAUUUUUAUAUUUUUUUAUAAUUUUUUUGAUAUAUUCACAUUAAACUAGGAGUAUUUUUUUUAAAUAAAAAUAUAAUAUUAUUUAAAACAAAACAUGUCGAGGCACGUUUGGUUUCCAUGGUUGCUCGUAUUCACCAUCUAUGCUCUUUGAUUGGUGUGUGCCACCUCGUUUAGUGGUCAGAAUUAUAUUUUCACCAUGUCAUUGGAUAUGACAUCGCGUUUUUUUUCUCAAGCUAUGUAUUAUUUUUUUUAAUUUAAUUAUUAUUUUUUUGAUUUUUUUUUGUUGAAGUGAUUUUUAUUUUUAAUUUAACCUUCUAAUUGAAAUUUUUUUUAGUUGCCCUCUAAUUUAUUUUUUAUUUUAAUUUUCACCCUUAUUUUUUUAAUUAUCGUUUUUUAUUUUAAAUCUUUUUAUGUAAUUGAUUUUUUUUCCUGAUUUCAUCAUUCAAUGUUUGAUUUGUUAGGGAUUAAAAUUUAUUAUUUUUUCAUAUAUAUAUAGUGUUUCUAGUCUAAUGAUUUGAAUCACGAGUUUGAAAGUUAACAUAGAUCAACAUCUUUUGUUUUUUUUUGUUUUUUUUAUUUAUUGAAUUAUAUGUAUGCAUAAAUUUUUUUUUAUUUAGAAUUUUUUUUAAUGUAAAAUACACAUAGAAAAAGCUGAUAUAUUUAAUUUUUUUAUUAGAAAAAAGUAUCUAACUUGUAACGAAGCGCACAUCCCAAGUAUAUCAGAAAUUCAAUUUGAACCAUCUAGGUGGUGGCCCAGUGGUAAGAGUUUGGGACCAAGAGGUUUGCUCUCUCUGUGGUCUCAGGUUCGAGCCCUGUGGUUGCUUAUAUGAUGGCCACUGGAAACUUACAUGGUCGUUAACUUCAGGGCCCGUGGAAUUAGUCGAGGUGCGUGCAAGCUGAACCGGACACCCACGUUAAACUAAAAAAAAAAAGAAAUUCUCAAUGUGAAGUAUGCAAUGCAACAAUGUCUUUUGUCAAGAGAAUUUAACGUUUCUUGUAAGCAAAAUUUACAAUAAUUUAAGAAGUAAAGACUCAAUUUAAGAUUUUUGAAAGGAUGGUAACCCAAUUUUUAUAUAUAUAUAUAUAUAUAUAUAUAUAUAUAUAUAUAUAUAUAAACCAAUAGAUGAGGGACCAAUUAAUCGAGAAAAGGGUAAUACGUUUGAGACUAAUUCAAGGGAAGAAAACAACCAAGUAUUUGUAUAUCUUUGAGAUUCAACAAAGACGUUGGAAAAACUUCAACUAGUGGAAACAUCUUUAACGCAUCCAUGCCAUCUAUUCAUAAUUCAAGGGAGGAAUUUGACUUGUCUAGUUAGCUAAUUGCGACAUGGGAUUUACUUGCCUAAAAUAGACUUCUCUUCUACUUGGUUUAGCACCACAUAAAAGAGCUUCCAACUGGGGCGGGCAGCCACCAAAGUUAACCGAAUUACCUUCUCCUUCAGCCCUUUCCCUCCACCCCAUCUUCCACUCUUUCCUCAUUUUCACAGACAUAACCGAAGCAACAGGCGUUCGUUCUUCUUCUUCUUUUCACUUGCAUCUCUAUCAAAACCAAAAACAUCACUUUUCAUCUCAAAUCUCAUGUCUCGCAUGCUUGCUUAUGUACAAAAGAAGUAAUUACACAACAUUGAGGAUCGAUGCAUGAUAAACACACCCCAUAAUAGUGGUAGUGGUGGUUUAAAUAUUCAUACCUAUCAAAGAAAGGUAGUGGCAGUGGACUUGACUACAACAGGAAGCUUUGGAGGAAGUUGGAACAGGCAAAAUGGACAACCAGCUAAUGGCCACAGCCAACAAGACGGUGGAAACAAUAGUCUGCUAUGCACCAACCAUGAUAACUACGAAUGGUAUAUGGCAGGGUGAUAAUCCUUUAGAUUACUCUCUCCCUCUUUUCAUCUUGCAGUUAACUUUGGUCGUUGUCACCACUCGCUUGCUUGUUUACAUCCUCAAACCACUUCGACAACCUCGUGUUAUCUCGGAGAUCUUGGUGAGUUUUAUCUUCUAUGAUUCGUAUAAAAGGGUAAUUAACCUGUUUGCUUCAAUGACGAGAAAUUCCACCUGCUUCCGAAAACCUGCAAUGAACAUAACAGGGAAUAUGGUUUCAGUCCAUGUUUAUGCCGUCACCUAUCAAGCAUUAGUUAUAACAAGAUCAUGAGAUUACACCUUCGUCGUUUAUAUCAUGUUCCAAACACCAUGCAAUUUGCUUAGUUUUGUAGAGGAAGUUAUAGCAAGAACAUUUUAAUACGUAGGAAAUUUCUUGCCUCCGAUUCUAAUAACAGUGGCAGUACAGUUACAGCAACAAACUUCAUUCUAGAGAGUUUCUGUAUCUGGUUCUAUCUUAUGCAACGAUUUGUAGAAUGCAUGACAUAAUAACAAAGGACGCAAGUCAUCAAGCCACAGUUUAGGAUUUGUAGUUAACAACUGGAAAUCUUUUGCGGAAUCAUACUUGCCGUCAUUGUUUGUGAAAAAAGGGUCUAAGCUGGACAGUUGGGAAAAAACAAUAAUCUCAUCUUCAAACCUGAAUUCACUAGAAAAGAUAGUAUAAAAGGCAUGAAAAGGGCCAUUCUUUUGAUGUCAAAGCCUCUCUUUUGCACCCGCUCUGUAUUGUACCCUCACGUUCAUAUCAUGCAUCUGGCAUAUCAGAUUUCUCGAAGAGACCCAAGACACUUGGUAUGAUCCUUCAAAUGUAAGGUAAAGUGUAGAGAAAAUAGAAGGUAACUGUGUUUCAUGUGGGUACGAGUCUGGACCAAGUGGGAGCAUGAUAGCUAAAAGCUCAUGAAUUCUGUUACAAAUUUCCUUUAUUGUUGAUCGAUGUUUUGUCUACGUAUCUACUAAUAAUAUAGAUGUCCUGUAUAAUGUUCACAGGGAGGAGUGAUAUUGGGCCCAUCUGUACUUGGGCGCAGCAAAGCAUUUGCCAACACUAUAUUCCCUCUACGAAGUGUGAUGGUGCUAGAAACAAUGGCAAAUAUGGGUCUCCUCUACUUCCUCUUCCUGGUUGGAGUAGAGAUGGACAUUUCAGUAAUCAAAAGAACUGGGAAAAAAGCCAUAGCCAUAGCCAUUGGGGGAAUGAUCUUUCCCUUCUUUAUCGGCCUAGCGUUCUCUUUUGCUCUGCACAAGGAUUCACAAAGCUUGAACCAAGGAACUUUCGUACUUUUCCUUGGUGUUGCCCUCUCUGUCACUGCAUUCCCUGUACUUGCAAGAGUUCUGGCAGAGAUUAAACUCAUCAACACAGAGAUUGGUAGGAUUGCCAUGUCUGCAGCUCUUAUCAAUGACAUUUGUGCUUGGAUUCUGUUAGCUUUAGCUAUCACCUUGGCUGAGAAUAAAAGUACUUCCUUGGCUACCCUGUGGGUGAUACUUUCUAGUUUUACAUUUGUUCUUAUCUGUAUCUAUGUUAUUCGACCAGUCAUCUCAUGGAUGAUUAGUUCAACUCCGGAGGGAGAAACCAUCAGUGAGUUCUACAUUUGUCUCAUUCUCACUGGAGUAAUGAUCUCAGGAUUCAUUACAGAUGCCAUUGGAACACAUUCUGUCUUUGGAGCUUUUGUAUUUGGGCUGAUUAUUCCAAAUGGACCUCUUGGAGUUACUCUGAUAGAGAAGCUUGAAGACUUUGUUUCAGGGCUUCUGCUUCCUAUCUUUUUUGCUAUGAGUGGGCUCAAGACUGAUAUAGGGGCUAUUAAUGGAGUCGCAACAUGGUUAAUUCUAAUACUAGUCAUAAUUGUUGGAUUUGCUGGUAAAGUUGUCGGUACUGUGCUCGCUUCAAUGCUCUACCAAAUGCCUCUCCUUGAAGGGAUUACUCUUGGUUUUCUCAUGAACUCCAAAGGCCUUGUGGAAAUGAUUGUCCUCAAUGUUGGCAGAGAACAGAAGGUAACAACUUUCAAGAAUUUUUUUCCAUUCGUUCUUCAAGUGUUUCCUCCUCUAAUGUUCAUGUAGAAUCUACACGUGAUGGGAUUCACAUGAAUGUGAAAGAGGGAAGCACCGUACCAAUCUCUCUUCCGUGUUCACACAGGCACAUUACCACACUAAUCUCUCGUCUGUGUGAACACAGGCACAUUCACAUGAAUAUGGCACAUUGGAAGUGAUAUUGAUAAAACACAGAUGACUUGCAGGUCUUGGAUGAUGAGUCCUUUGCAAUGAUGGUGAUUGUAGCAGUGAUUAUGACCGCAAUCAUCAUCCCCUCUGUAACAGUCAUAUACAGGCCAGAGAAGAGGUUCCUGCCUUACACACGAAGAACAAUUCAGAGGUCAAAACGAGAUGCAGAGUUUAGGGCAUUAGCAUGCGUACACACUCCUCGCAACGUCCCAACAAUCAUUAACCUCUUGGAAGCCUCCCACCCAAAUAAAAGGUCCCCCAUGUGUGUCUACGUGGUCCACCUAGUUGAACUCACUGGUCGCGCCUCGGCCAUGCUUAUAGUUCAUAAUACUAGAAAAUCUGGCCACCCAGCCCUCAACCGCACCCAAGCUCAAUCUGAUCACAUCAUCAACGCAUUCGACAAUUAUGAACAAAAUGCAGUCUGUGUCUCUGUGCAACCCCUGACUGCCAUUUCCCCUUAUUCCACCAUGCAUGUAGACAUAUGUAACUUGGCUGAGGACAAACGAGUUGCUUUAAUUAUCCUCCCUUUCCACAAACAGCAAACAGUUGAUGGUGGAAUGGAGGCCACCAACCCAGCUAUCCGAAUGGUGAACCAAAAUGUAUUAGCCAGUGCACCCUGCUCAGUUGGGAUUCUCGUAGACAGAGGGCUAAGUGGGUCUACUCGUUUAGCCUCGAACCAGGCAGCUCACCAUGUAGCUGUACUAUACUUUGGGGGCCCAGAUGACAGAGAGGCGCUAUCAUAUGCAUGGAGGAUGUCUGAGCAUCCAACAAUUAACCUCACCGUGAUGAGGUUCGUUCCAGGAGAGGAUGCAAAAGCACUUGACAACCCUGGGAUGCUCAGUGUGGAAACAGAAAAUCUAAAAGAGAAGCAGCUUGAUGAAGACCAUGUUAACGAAUUCAGGACCCAGACUGCUCAUAAUGGUUCUAUAUUUUACAAUGAAAUAGUGGUCAGCAAUGGUGAGGAAACAGUGGCAGCAAUAAGGUCAAUGGACAAUCAUCACGACUUGUUCAUAGUGGGUAGAGGACAAGGGAUGAUAUCACCACUUACGGCAGGUCUUACUGAUUGGAGUGAAUGCCCAGAGCUUGGUGCGAUUGGGGAUUUGCUAGCAUCAUCAGAUUUUGCAGCAACAGUUUCAGUUCUGGUGUUACAACAGUAUGUGGGGUUAGAGCCAGAUGGGGAGGAGUUAGGAACACCUGAUAGCCCUGCUCAACCAGAGGAACCGUACAGCAUUGUACAGAUGGCAAAUAGGUCAAUGAGGCUCCCUGUGUUUAGCGCAUAACCCCAAACACCACCAUUCUUAGCAAUGCAUCACGGGUUUCUAAAUGAAAGAGUCAGAAAAUAUAAUCUGGAUUAUAGUUUGUGAAAACUCUGCCAGGUAUAGUUUGAAAGUCUCUUACUUAGCCUUGAAUUCAACUUUUAGCAAGUAUUUACUCCUUACAACAGGAUUUUUUCCUCUCAUCACAUCAGAAGUUUUCAAUUGCGAUUUCCAAAUCCAUAUGAACUGAUUCUAAAUUAAUCUUAAAGAAACACAUUAAGAGCAAAUCAUUACAGAAUGCGGAAGCAGGAAAACAAACAAAAGCUUAAAAUGAGUGCAGCACCGCGGUUAGGUCUAAUAUUUGAAAUUUAUAUGUACGCAUCCAUUGACUUUACACUAUAGUAGUCAUGUUGGCACUCAUGAAAUUAUUAGCACAGAGUUUGAUAAAGACCUUACAAUGAAGUUGUUUGCAGCACAAAAUUCUUCAGAGAGACUGUUCCGGAAAACAUCUCAGAAUUGCACCUACAAAGUGUGAAUGUUUGAGGUAGAUUUCAUCUCACAAUCACAAGUUUCAUAUAGCCCCACAUGGAUAUCAUCUCUUGAAGAACAGCUGUUGAUGGAAAAUCUUUCCCUAUUUUAAAUCCUUUGUAACAUCUCAAACAGAUUGGUUGUGUGAGGACCAUGAUUGAGAAUUGUUUGAUCAUCUAGGAAGCCGCGAAAAAUAAUCAACUUGAACUUGGGACAUCUAUUCGAAAUCUUAGUGAAGGACUGGUGAAAUAGGGACAUCUAUUCGAAAAAUAAUCAAGAUGUUCAGUUACAUUCCAAAUCAUUGAUUACGGUCUAAUAAUCAUCUAGCUUUUAGUAUCAAGCCGGUUGACCAAACUUUUACACUAAAAUAGCUUGGCUAGGAUAAUUUAUUCCAUCAAGAAACAACAUAGAAAAUAAACAGCUAAAGGAAAGACAAGAAUCUCUCUAAAAUGUAAUCUAAAGCUUCUUCCAUGCUAAGAAUUGCUCUUUUGUUGGACUGGAGUAUAAUAUCUACAGCUUCUUUACCACAGCAGUACAGUUGUUGCCUUCAGCCAACAAUUCUCCAUUGUUUUCAAUAUCUCAAUGGGCACUGAAUUGAGAUGAUAGGGAAUAGAAGAUCAAAAGACAAGCAAAUGCAUUCUUCAGAUAAAUAUUAUCAAACAUGUUGUCUGCAAUAAUGUCAAGAAGCCAGAAACAGAAUUACCGUGUGAGAUUUUGUUAGUAGUUUAAUCAUUAGUGUCUCCGGACAAGAAAUAAAGAAUUUUGGUUCUUUUGAAGGACUCUAAGAAUAUAGGCCUGUGAUGGGCUGAAUUUACUGGGCUCGGGCCCAUUUUUGAGAAAUCCAAUUUUUUGCUAGGAAAAUAUAAUAUUAGUUGAUGGAUAAUUUUCCAUACAUAUAAUUUUUUCUAUUCACACAAACUUUUUUUAUGCAGAAAAGAUACUUUUUUCUAUGUCAAUGGCGCUUCCCAUCACCAAUAUCUCCACCGAUGAUCACUAGCAAGCAUAACACAGUACCUGGUGACCCAAAUUCUUAUAAAAAUAUUUUUUUUAAAAAUUGAAAGUAUAAAUGCACUCAGUCACUAGGUAAGAGGGGGAACACACAAGCCCUAGCAAAAAAUCUUAAGUCUUGGAUUCCAUGCUCAACUAUUAACGAUGAGGCUUGUAAUCUCAUAUAUGAUCAUCAACCACUCAACAAUUCCAAUAACAAUUAUUAAUCAUUCAACAAUUCUAUGAAUCACAAUCUUUUAACAACUUCUAGAAUCACAAACAAACAUCCAAGAAUUCCAUGCACCACCGAGUACCAUUCAAUUUCUCCUUGAACCACAAACAACCACCUAGCAAUUUCUAGAACCAUAAAAAAUCAUCCAACUAUUUCUAGAACAUACGAUUUCUCUUACAUUCCCCUUGUAUUUUUUUCUUUUAUUUAUUGUAUUUUUUUCUCCUCCAACACUUUAUUAACUUAAUUAAGAAUAUGAGUGUUUCAUCCGUCUAUGAUGCUCUUAUAAGGCAUACAUUAGAUUAAAAAAAACGAUAAAUACAUGAAAUAUUAUUUACUAAACUACAAAGCAGCACUGAUCUUUCUUUUUAUCUGAUGGAUUAACAAUGACCUUUCACGUAAUUGGCAUUGAGCCAUCGCCUAACACCCCCUACCUCCACUAUAGCACCAUAGCUAGCCUUAAGUGAUCUAUGGUGACUUCUGUGACGAAUUUACCUAUCAACAUUAAUUUAUCAUUAAAUAAUGAUUAAUGAAAUUAAUGAAUAAUUAACUCUCACGUAGUGGCAUAAUAUCAAGCGCCACGUGGUUUAUUUAUUGCAGCUCUAAAACCACAAAUGGGAUGAUAUUAAUAGAUUGUUUUUUAAUAAAGGAAAAGGGUACGUCUCGUUAUUUUCAAUAUAUAUCUCUAGGUUAAAAUUCACUAUAUAUCAUGAUUAACUAAUAUUGCUGUCCUUGAUUUUUAUUCUUAUUUUUUUUCAAUCCAAAAUGAUGGAUAACACAAUACUUUGGAGGUUGACAUCUUCCCUUGUAAAAUAUUUUUCAAUUAAAAAUAAAAAAGUUAAUUUCUUUUUGGAAUACAAAUUAAUAUUAACUUCUAUAUCUUUUUAUAUAUUUUCUUACAAAAAUAAGAAUCACACGACCAUAUUGAGGUCCUGUAAUAUUGUAAUAAUCUAAAUAGGUAGGUUUGCACGGACAGACAUAAACCUGCAGGGCCUCAAAUCGAUUAAUUAAAAUUAAUGCCUACCAAUCUAGCCACCUCCUUCAAUGGUUCUUAAAUAAUGUUGUGAGAAUCAUUUCUAUAUAUAUAUAUACAGUUGAAAUCCUUUAACAAUCAAUAUAUAUAUAUAUAUACACACACACACACGCAUGUGAGUUGGUGGCCCAGCACAUGGCCUCUUUUUUUGAAGAUAUGAAAUAAGAAAUUAUAAUGUAUAUUAAAAAAAAUGCUUUUAAUAUUAAUUUAUAGAAGUUUUAUAAAGUUAUUUUUCUCGGUUUUCUUCUUAAAUUUAAUUUUUUAUGGUUUUUCUGUGUAAGUUUUCUAGUAUUGCAUGAUCGAUUACAUUGAAAACAAGCUCUAAGAAUUUUAAAAUAUUAUUCUUGCAUUAUAGAUGUCAAAAACAAAAUACUGUUGAUCAUCUUCUAGCUAUGGAUGAAAAAGAAAAUCUAAUCCUGAGAAGUGUAGCUUAAUGAUCAGGUCCUAAGUUUAUUUUUAGAGGUCAUCAGUUAGAGUCUCACAAAUCUUAGGGCCACAUGAGGCUUAUAUGGUCGUUAACUUCAGGGUCCAUGGGAUUAGUCGGGGUGCACACAAGCUGGUCCAAACACUCACGUUAAUCAAAAAAAAUCUUAAUCUUAAUAUAGGAAUAAUAUUCUGAUUAAUAAGAGGGAAAAAAUGGUUUACAUGUGGUUCUUAUCUACCUAUGAACACUUGGUUCCACGUCCUCUUUAACAUGUAAUAAUUUCAUGUAUGAUUUUGAAGAAGUUAUAUUUGACCAGCCUUUUUUUAUUAUAAAAGGAGGGCUCGAAGACGAGAUUUUGUGGGGAGGGAGACUCUAACUUAUUGGGACUUAACGAGCCAGCCUCUUCCUACUACACUAAACUAUCAUUUAUUUCAGGCAAGUAGUGGAGGUUGGAUUGUCAAGAUGGCAGACAAGCUAGUGUUCAAAGGCCAGAUUUUCUUCGUAUUAAUCUUUAGUUUUUAAGUUUCUUUUAAGACUUUUCUUUGUCUUAUUGCCCUUUGUCUCUUUCUUGCUCUCGCUCUAAUCCACAGUACAGGGCUACAGGCACGCACCCUUUCUUUUUCAUACCCUAUUUUGAGGGCAACAUUCAUUUUUAUUUUAUUUUCUUGCCUGGUAUUUAUGAUCACUUGAGAGAGAGAGGGAGAGAGAGGGACGGGAUAAUUAAUUAUGAGCUUAAUCACUAAAACAAGGGAAAGGAAGAGAUAGUUAAGAUUACUCAUAUUAUUUCUCUUCACUUUGUAUAAAUAUUUAUUAAUUCUUAGAAUGUCUAAACAAAUUAAAUUCUCCAUCGCUUCAAAUUAAACUGCAUUGACCAUUAGAUCGUGAUCGGACGGGAGAGGAAAUCUGGAUCCCACCAGCUGCUAUAAAUUGACAAAACAAAUCAAGUGGUGGCAUAUGAAAUGUUGGCAGGUCAAAAGGUCUUAGCCAAGAACCACUACAAAUAAAAAUGGAUUGAUUCUAUUUUUCCUGUAAGAAUUUUGUCCCCCCAGAAAUCUUUUUUAUAUUCACCAACAUAUAUCUUUGUGCCCACCUAUUUCAAAUUGGAAAAUCAGAUUCCUUGAGACAAAUCAUCAAGUGAAUUUGGUGUCUAUGUGUGUGUGUGUGUGUUUGAAUGCAAGUUGGCUAUCUUAAUUAGAAAUUUGACUCGCAUCUCUAGAAACCUGAUGCAAUUACUUGGGAAAAUUGGACUCAAGAUGGAGCAUCGAAAUGAUUUAAGAAAAGGAUUAGAGAAUCCUUAGUAAUAUAAUAUAUAUGUGCAUACUUUUUAGUCUUUCAUCAUCAAUUAUGGUGUUUGAAAUGAUGUAAAUUUCAGAGAAUCCAGCCAAAUUUUGGAAUAAUUAAAGUAAGGGAGAAUUCUUCAGCUCCUGUUUUGCUUAAAACCUGGUAGAUGUUGGGGGUAUUUGACUAGGUUUUGUUUUUUUUUUUUGUUAAUUUCUUUGCUUUUAACAUUUAGGGUAUAGUUUUUUCUAUAAUUUUCUCCCAGCUGAUAGAGAUUUUUUUCCCCUUUUCAAUUGGUUCUAGUUGAACCAUUCACACUAGCUCCAAUUAAAUAUAUUUAUUUUAUGUAGUUUCUUCUUCUUUAAUUCAAAUUUAAGAUGAUAGCAUGAGAUAGAUGUAGUCUAAUCUUUCAUUCCAAACUUAGCCAUUUAUGAUUUUAGGACACUUCACACUCACACUUUAGAAUAUUUGCUUGAUUUAUAGACACUAAAAAUGUUGAGAGAUGGAAUGAUUUAUUACAGGUUUCAAGGCAUAUAUAUGACAAUGUUGUUUCAAAUGAAUAUUUUUGGUUUUGAUCUUAAAAUCAAAAGGAAAAGAUCUUUAAAGUAGUUUAUAAUGUUUUUUAGCUAUCUGCUUUGGGUGCCUAAUAAUAAGGCGGCAAUCAAUGUCCUACCAGCCUCUCCAGAAGCUGGAAAUCAUGAAGGUCCCAUUAGCCCUAUUCUUUCCAACCUUGAUGAAAUAAUUCAGCAGAGAAAAACAAGCUAUGCAAGGCAGUUCUGUUUAUCAAUAUUUUUGGAUAGUAUUUUUAUUCCAUUUGCUAGUGCUUUCCCAUAUUAUUGCCACUCUCAUGAAUCCUGUGGCCAACAUAUUACACACCUCUCCCUCUCUCUUACAAGAACACAGUUUCAUUUUCAACUAUUGUGGGGGUGGAUUCAAACUUCAAAGAUGAACAGUAUUGUUAUUAUUUUUUUCUCUGGGUGGGUCAGUUUUGACUGAACUGAUAGAUAUAAAGAAAGGAUUGGGAACCAUUCCGUAUAAUUAAUCCAUAUUAUUGGUUGUGAUCGCUUACUCUUUCACUAAGAUAAGGCCCAUAAUAUUGUUUGGCCUACCUUGGUGUUUGUAUGCUGGUGUUAUCAUCUUAUUCCUCCAGCUAAGAUUGCACUUUUGCCUAUCCCUCUCCCUUUCUUCUCCCUAUAAAAAAGAAAAAAGACACUUCCCUUCGCCCUCUUGUAAAUCUCAGCUGCUGCUGAAGCUGCUGGCACUGUGGACUAGAGGUGGUAGCUUGUUUUCUCUUAUCUUUCCCAUCAUUUAUGUUCUUCUUCCUUUGUGUUUCUCUUGUGCCAUUGGUAACUUUGUCCCACUUCUCUAUCAACUGUCAUUUCUGUACUGAAAAGGAAAAGGAAAGAGAAACCCCACUCCCACUAUGUUUCUUGCAGUUUUUUAUUUCAUGAGUGCUGUUUAAGGUUCGUCUUUUUAACAUCUAGUUUUUUGCAUUGUAUAUUAUAUAGCAAUGUCUUCUUACUUCAUCCCACCAAUUCCUAUUAAUCAAGAACUUCAGCUACCGUCCAUUUGUUAGAUGCUGAAAUGGUUAACCAAUAGCAGCGCCCUCUAUUCACCACCAAUACUUUCUUUUGUUUUUUGUUCUUGAAUCUUCGGUUUUUUUCUCUUCUCCAUGAAAGAAGCAGAAAUGACUGUACCCCACUUUUUCAUGUGUCCAAUUAGUCUAGACUUGAUCAAAGAUCCAGUGACGCUAUGUACCGGCCAAACUUAUGACAGAUCAAGCAUAGAAAAAUGGCUUGCUGCUGGUAAUCUUACUUGCCCUGUCACAAUGCAGAAGCUUCAGGAUCCAUCUAUGGUUCCUAAUAACACUCUUCGUCAUUUGAUUGAUCAGUGGCUGCAAAUAGGCCCUCAGUUUGAUCCUGUUUAUUUGUCAACAAUUGAUUCUCUAGCUUCAUUGAAGAAAAUUCUUGAAUCAGGUGACGCUUCCUUGGAGUACAAGUGUCAAACACUCCAAAACAUCCAAGCUCUAACUGAAGAAUCACAAUCUGGAAAUUCUUGUUUGUUCCAGUUAGGCUUCUUUCCUUUAUUGUUGGAACUGCUUUUUGGAAAAGUGGAAUCCAGACUGUCUGAAGGAAGUGCUAAGUUUGCAGAACAAGCACUUUCUUGUGUCCUAAGAUUGCUGUCUCUUGGCGAAUAUGAGUGUUUAAAUAUGCUAAGAGAAGAGUCUAAAUUGGAAUCCUUUCAGUUUUUGUUUGAUCAAGGUACUAGCAAGAUCAAGAGGAGUCUGUGCCAAAUAAUAGAAGCAAUAUCAUCAUCUUUGGAGACAAGAGAACUCUGUGCUAAGCUUGGCAAAAACAGAAAACUCUUGAAAGGGCUGAUUCUUCUUGUUCACCAAACAUAUGGCGCAUCUGAGGCUGGAAUCAAAGCUAUAUCGGCACUAUGCUGCUUGGAAUCAAAUAGAGAGAAUAUGGUUCAAGAAGGUGGGAUAAAUGGACUCUUGACCUAUAUAUAUGACGCUCAAAGACAUGAAAGAAAUUUGGCACCUAAAGCAAUGGCAACCAUUGAGCUGCUUCUAGGACUAGAGAGUGCAAAAGAGGCUUUGAUCAAUGAUCCUAAUGGUAUUAAAGCUCUCAUUAAGAUGGUUUUUAGGGUUUCUGAUCACCAAGGAAGCGAAAGCGCUAUUCGAUCAUUAAUGAUUAUAUGCACAGAUUCUUUACAGGCACGAGAAGAAGCAAUUGGUGCUGGAGUUUUAACUCAAUUGCUUCUGCUGUUGCAGAGCCAGUGUAGUGGAAGAACUAAAACAAAAGCAAGAAUGCUACUCAAGCUGCUUGGGUCCAAGUGGGAUGAAGAACCAAAACAUUUGUAAACUACAAAAAAGUAUGGGAUGUUUUUAUGCCUAUGCGGGGUCUUGUUGGUGUAUUGGCUUCCCUGUGACAUAGUAUCUUUGUAAAGAUUACAGAAGUGUCCAUGUUUGUAUCUUAUCUGUCAUUAAACAUUCGUUAAUUACUGAAUAAACCCCCACCAAGCUGAGUGGAUUUAUGUUAUGCCUAAACCAAAUUUGAUUAGAUGGAUGGUUGUCCUGUGCCAAAUCCCAAACCCUUCUUCAUCUGGUAAUUUCUGUCCAUUUUAUGUUGUGUUGUUGAGAUACCAUUCUCCGAAGCAUCAAUUCAGAAAAUGAAAAUUGCUCCCCAUUAAAGCAAUGUCCAAGCAGUGAAAUUACAGCCUAACUGUCAAAUGAUAGAGUUCAUGCGCGUGAUCCACAUGGUUCAUCCAAAAAAAAACAAAGCAGCAUUGAUUCCAGUGGUUCAAAUUGCCAGAGAGAAAGCUGGCAUUGUCCCAAAUAUACCAUUAUGACAACGGACAGCAUCCUUUUAUCAUUACUGUUGAAAUUUGGAAACUGAAGUUGAUGGGACUGGAAGUUUCUGUCUGUGGAUAUUCCGUUCAUUUUAUUUGAUAUUUUUGUGUGGUGGGAUAGGAUGAUUUGCAAUUUGCAUAGCUUAGGUUACAAUAGGUCGCCGAAAGUUGUUGAAUUGUCUGCAUAUUGUUUCAUAGAAUACUGCUCCGUUGGGAUCACAUUUCUGGCCCAUAUAUCAAAACUUUUUCCCUUUUUUUUUCCUAGCUCAUUUCAAGUUUCAUUAGACCUUAAACUACACAACAGGACUAGCUUUCUCCUCUUUACAAUCCUGGGCAUUCCAAAGGUAAAUGGAACCGAAAUAUAAAUCGUAAACAGUCGGUGGCUUUACUGGCUAAACUAAGAUGUAGCCUUCCCUUUCUUAUUCAACUACGGCAUGUUUCAAAAUUUAGUAAGAGUCCAUCAGAUGAUUCACAUAUUACAAACAUCUUGGGGGAAAUUGACCAAUGUUUGUAAUCUCCAAUUCAUAUAUUACAAAAAAAAUCGAUCGAAGUUGGCCGCAUGUUGUACCCUGCGGUUGAACGCAAAGUCAAUGAAUAAUUUGCCCUCGUCUAAUCACUGCUAUUAGUGGUCUCACAGACACAUGGACUGCACCAACAGCUAGCUCGGAUCACUACAGUCACGCCUAGCAUCGGCCUUACUCCUAUGGCAUGCGAAAUGAACUGCAAAGAGUAAUCUUCUUGCCUUGAUCUAGAGGGCUGACCCACCAUAGAAAGAAUAUUUAUUUUACCCUUAUGAUGGUUAAAGCUGAAAGCAAACACUUUUAAUGAGCGUUGAAAAUGUUCCAAAAGAAAUAUACCAUUCGGUCUAAAUUUUCGGCGAGGAAGUAAGCAUGCAAGAGAUGGAGCACUUCUUUUUACCAAGAUUCUACAAGGUGAAAAGGAAGGGAUAUUGCACAGGCCUGCACACUAUACCUAUAGCUAUGCUACAAUGCCAGACAACCGUCCAAAAUUUUGGUUGAACGUCAAAAAGUUGGUGCCUUUCAUGAAUUCAACCACAGCAGCAUCAUGUAUAUUCAAGCAAACAGCAAGUUCCAACUAGAACUAAAUACUAAUCAAGUAAUGGCAGAAACCAUAUAAGGGUUUCCUCCAAGGUUUGUUAUAACGUGUGGAGGGGAUUUUUUUUUUUUUUUCUUCCUUAGUUCAAUGGCAGCAGGUUGGUCUUAUAACCUAACUAAAAAGACAAGAACAUGAAAGGUCUCACUUUCUGAUAACCAUGUGCUUAAGGAGUGCCAUUAAUGACUACGUUUACCAAGUAAAGCAGCAUCUAUAAAAGGUUUUCUUCAAAAUUUAAGUUCAAUGGCAGCAGGUUGGUUUAAGUAUGCGUCAAAGAAAAUUCCUGGAACGUGUGAGUUUGGUAAACAAUUUCGUGUGGCAAUUAAAUUAAAGAGACAAAAGCAAGAAAGACCUCACAUUCUGUAUAAGCACAGUUGAAUAUUGUCCUUGGAGUCUGUUUUCUAUACCUCACGAGGAGACUAUAGCACAUGGAAUUCUUCAUGAAGCUAUCCAAAUCAAGAACUCAUAGUCAUACUACAUGUUUUAGAAUUGCCACCAUUGGACGCAACCAAAAAUCUCCUCCCUUUGGUUAAUCUGCGUUGUGCAAUGUUUGAGUUGCGUAACACAGUUUUUUCCCAAUGUUUGAGUUGCGUAACACAGCUUUUUCACAAAAACUUGGUCUUCGGUGAACAUGGCCCCCAACAUAGGUUGCUUAAUGACUUUGCAAACUGGACGUAUUGAAAGGGUGCGUCUUUAGUGUCUUAGGUUCAAAACCAAAGACAUUGACUUGACUUUGUGUUCAACCAUGUAUUUAAAGACUCAGUGCCAACCAAAUCAACUUGGAACGGAUGAAUGCGACAUCCGGUUCAAGCAACAGUGGUCUGGUCCAAGUUGAACUGGUUAUCACUAAGUUUUUAAGCAUUUGCUUGGACACGAAGUUAAUGACUUUGUGUUUAAACAAGGUAUUGAAUAAUUUACAUAUCAACAGAAGUAGAACAACUACUUGUUUUUUACGGUACUGUAUUCUGCAAAGAUAGGGGGAUAGAACUCGGAUUUGAGUCCUACUUUUGCUACUUUGAGAGACAAAACAAUAGUUGUCUUAGCAUUACAUAUUUAAUUAUGAACUAGCAAAUUCAUGGAUGGAUCAUGGAUGAAGAUGGUGUUUGGAAGUGUAGUAAUGGUUGUUUUUCAAAGUGUUGUUUACUCGAAAAUACUUCAAAAUAAAAUUCAAAAACAUAAAAAAAAAAAAUUUAAUAAAAAAAAUUCUAAUUUUAUCCAAUCCCUGUUUGAAAUGCAAUACCAAACAGGAGCGAAGAGUGAUACGAUGAUAUCAUAUUUGUGUAUAACUUUGAUAUUUAUGAAAGUGUGAUGAACUGCUGCAAAGAACUGACCAAACUUGGAGGCCAAUGCUUAGUUUCUUUGGCAUGCUUGUCCGCAUAUAAGGCUGCUGCAAGAGCUGCAUGUAUUUCUGUCAAAUACCCCAACAAUUGGUCACCAUGAAAGAAUGUUAGAUUUAAAAAGGAGUAAAAGGAAACAAAAUUUCCAAAGGGGGGACAUUCAAGCUAGGACUUUCUACUUUCAUAUAGCCAAGAAAUGAAAAAUCUUGAGAAAAUACCUGGAUAUCCCUUCAAAGAUAUUGAGAUAUCUUCCAUUUCUGCAAUUGCUUCUUCUCUGUCCCCAACCUCGUAAAGAGACAAUGCUCUCCCAAACCUUCCAUAUUCUGAGAACGCAAAAUCUUUGUAAUUUUCAACCAUCUGCAAGAAAAUAUGGAAGUGACAUUCUAAGUAACAUCACAAUCAGAUUGUUCAUGAAGCAUGCAUUACAACAUCAAGACAACUUCAAUCUUGAAAUGGAGCCACUGAUAUCUUGUACUAUGUUAGAAACACGUAUUCUGGAGUUUCUUGUCUAAUGGAGUGACUAAAAUAAGUAGUUCAUUGUACUAUGUAGAACCAAUUCAAUCAUUUAUUUCUAAUACUUAGCUAUCUGGGAUGCAAAUCUUCUAGCAAGUUGUUCACCCAAAUUGCAACAAGGCGGAAGCAUUUCCUUUGUUUUUUCUUCUUUUAAUUUUAUCUUUUUUGAGGGGGGGCGUGAUAGAGCAGAAGCACAUCACUUCAGUUCCUUUCUUUUGGCAAAUGAAAAGGAAAGAGCUUAAGAUCAUAGUCAAUUCUUGGCACAACCAAAAAAAAUUAUGUCACGUAGGCGCUAGCAAUUUAAUUGGAGAAGAGGCAGAUUGCAGGCUUUAAAGCACAAACAUCUGAGAGAGCUCAUUAAUGUCUAGAAUCUGAAGAUAAGGAAAAAUUCACGGAUGCAGAACACUGUAUGAUUUACAAUGUUCUGAUACAAACAGAGGGCAAAUAAACAGAUGCACUCUAGCGGAUAGCACCUAGUAGUUGACAUGAAACUUCAAAGGAAAACAAUAGUUUAGUCUAUGUGGCUCUCUAACAAGAGCACAGGCAACUGCAAGGGUCUGUCCAACAUGGAAAAAAGGAAACUACAUAUCCCUAGUGCACGUCCCUUUGAAGUUUUUCAAAAUUUAUCAAUUACCACUAUAAAUCUUGAGGUCUUGGACAGAUUAAAUCUAGAAUGUACAUUCUAGUGUCUUCAAUCUAUAUGAUACAAUUAAAGGUCUUUGUCUAUCAUAACCAUGCCAAAAUGUUGCCUUCUGGUAAGCCCUGAGGUAUUACAGUUAUCAAUUGAUUGAUUAAAUUCUGUUAGACAAACAAAUGCUAAAGUAUUUUAGCUCUGGAAAUGCAGAAUUAUCUCAAAUCAGUUGACAGUAACCUCUGCAAAAGAAAUGUGCUGUCACAGGAAUUUCACACUUAAAUAGAGUGCCAAAUCCUAAUGAGGGUUUCAUAAAAACUAUUAAACAAUAUUACUUCCUUUAUUUCUUUUCUUUAUCAUUUUUUGGCAAGUUUCAGUUUUUCAAUAAGAUGAGUAUAGCAUUGCUAAAAACAAACUAAAAAAAAAAAAACUCAAUCUCCAUGCCCUUAUAAGGAGCUCUAACGAGGAAAAAACUUAAAUAACCCUCAACGAACAAGCAAACUACAACUUGUUAACCCCACAGCGUGAAAAUUAAAAAUAUAAACCCUAGCAAAUAACAAGCUUUCAAUUUUGACAUUCAAUCUGCAACUUCAACAAAAAAAAAAAGAUCCCUUCUUCAUCUCGCUACAUUUCCACAAAAGUGUCAGCUGUACUAGGGCUUUAUAAGUUCUAGCCUUAACCUCAAUACUUUCCUCUCACUUCACCCCAUGUGCUAACCACCUCAGAAUGAGAGACACCAUUUUCUUUUGGGUAGACACCAACUUAUCAUUCACGAUCUGUCUAAAUAUUGGAUGUUCGCUAGUUUACCAGCUAUACAUUCUUCCAGACUCCCAUCAUCUCCCAGAAACCUAUAGUUACUUUAAAUGGGAGUUUUAAAGCAAUUAGUUUCGCUCUGCCCCAAAUCCUCGCACUAACUGCAACUUAGGUGGCUUCCUCUAAUACUCAACCUUUUACUAGACUAAAUUCCACAGAUACAAUCAAAUAAAAAAAAUUCUUCAAUGGGAUUAUGUUUGGAAGCUCGGACUAUCGACUUGAACUUUCCUACAGAUCAAUGCAUCUCAAAUUCUGUCUAUAUCAUCUAUAACCUACUGGAAAAGAUUUUGCUCCAUGCUUUAACAAACCAAAAUCAGAACUCCAAGCUUGUAACUUAAUUAUACAGGUAGAACUCAAUCCUUCUUCAUCCACAGUUCAAAGAAAUUAUUUCAGAAGGCCACUGACAUAAUCUUCUAUCUAAUAAUAGAUAAAAAAAAAACCCAAAAUUUCCCCUAGACAAAGUUUUGCACCAAAAAUUUAUCCAUCCAAGCAACUUCUCCCAACAUUUACUCUCGGCAGUAAGUUCAUCAUCAGUCACAAGAACCUCCCCUAGCUCUCCUUGUCAAAGGCCAAACACACUACAUAACAUACCAUUUCUUUUUUGACCAUCAUACCUCACCAAGUUUAACUCGCCCAUUCAAAACUCACAUCUCCUGCUUCCAGAGCUCUAUGCUUAGUGUUUUUCAAACUUAGAGCUCAUUCCUUAACCUAAUAAUUAGUCAUGCCAACGAGCAAUAAGCCUAGAGGUACUUUCCCCUGCAAAGUAAAGGCGAUGAGAUUGGUCUCAAGUUCGAGUUUCAUCAUUACCACCAUAAGAACCGAAAUAAUAAACACAAGAAUACAAUUUUCUUGACUCCCAUAUCCCUUAGCAUUACAUCUCCAAAAAAAAUCCUAAACCAUCAACAUUCUCCAAAAAACUAUCUCCAAGACUAACAUUUGCAGCAAAUAACUAUUAUAUUUCAAUUGACCAGUAUAUGUAAAAUCAAAAGACAAGGACCAACUAAAAGUUAAGGCCCAAAAAAUAAAGGGAAGAUGUAACAAACCUUAGUGAAGUAGAGCAGUGCUUCAUUGAAGUCACCUUGAGCCUGCAAUUCCCUCCCUUCUCCAACAACUCUACAGCUUCUGUUACUCUCCUAGAUAUGGCAGCACUGGCUUCUUUCUCAGCUUGGCUUACUGGGUCAAAGCUUUCUGCUAGUGCCCAACAAGAGUUUAAGUUCAGUUGUAUAGUUGAAGCACUCGCAAAUUUAGCACCUGUAGUACUAAAAGGAAGAAGAUUAGCAGUAGUUGCUGUGGUGAAUAAAGGGAGGGAGAAUAGGAGAAGGCGCCUACUGGUUGCUCUUGCGUUUGGAGUUGGUGGUGGUGGUUGUGAAGGGAGGAGUUGAUUGGAAAUGGGCGCCUUACCUGCACCCAUUUGUUGGUGUUAGUUUUUUUUAUGGCAAAAUUUUGGUGUUCUAUAACUGAGUUUCUAGUUUUUGUUAGUUUACUUUCUUUUGUUUAUUUUGGCCCUUCAACUUGGUUGAUUUUUCAAUCCUUUGAAAUUCUGUUUGGUUAAUUAGAAAUCUUAUUGGUAGAAUCUAUAACUUAAAUUAUUAUUGAAUUCCAAAUCCAUAUUAUUGAAAAAUUAUUGUUUUGAAAUUAUAUUUUACUUUUAGGCAUCAUUGAUUUCUUUUUGAACAAAUGAACAAAUAAUAGAUCCAUACAAAUACUGUCACAAAAAAGUAGAUUCUUGGUUACCUUGAAAAUAUUACCACAUGGAGGAAAGGGGAAGAAUAAAAGCUAUUAAUUGCUUCUUCCUUUAUGUACAUCUAUAUCCAGAAAACCACAGUAAGAACAUAACAGCAAUCUGUUUCCAAACUUCAAUUUGUCAUCACUUAUCAGAAGUAGUUCAAUGUACCAAAAAGAGUGUAGAAAUCAAAUAAAAGCAUUCACAAGUCUACUAUAUUACAUGUGACUUUCAGUUCAUGUAGACAAAAACAAUAGUUGAAUAAAAACUAUUUCUUCAGGAUUUGGAGAGGGAUCACCAUCACCACUUUUGUUAGAGAUCUGGAAAUGAUGCAAAGAUAAACUAGACCAAAUCAGCAACAACUGCUAGUGGACGCAUCAGGUUGUGGACGCUUCUCAUUAAAGAUGUUCUUUUUCACACCUUUGGAGCCCUCAGCCAGUAGACUGGGUGUAUCUAAAACCUGCAAAGGAUAACCAUACCCAUCAUCAUGCAAGCUAUUAGUCACUGCAUUGUAGAAACAAUUUAACAAGGGACAAAAAAAAAAGGCUAAUUGGACAGGAAAUUUUGUUCUCGAUAUCAAAACAUAGGCAGCAAUAACAUCAGAGUAACAACAUAUAAAUAACAAAGUAAACAAGUAUUUAGCAUCUUCUGUUCUGUACCUUUAGAACAAGCUCUUCGAAACAUUGCUGUACAUUGACGCGAGUUUUAGCACUGCAUUCAAUAAAGAGGCAUCCAUAUUCCCUAGCAAAGUUUAUGCCCUCCUUUUUUGUUACCACCCGAUCACUUUCCUGAAUAGAGGAAAUCCAAGCAUGCAUGAAACUUCCAUAAAAGAUGAUAUCAUCUCAAAUUUCCAUGCCCAACAAAUAAAAAGAAGCACUACCACUAUAAAGUGUCGAGUAUCAUCUAAGCGUCUACCAUGCAAUAAGUGACAAAGGAUGUCCAAAUCAUCCACAUUCUUAUGUCCAAUUCAAUUAUAUGCCAUAAGAAUGUCAUACUAGCCUCAGAACUUUGGCAAUUCAGAGUGCUUGUUUCACAGAACAAAUGAGGGCAAAAGGUUAUUUUCCUCUAGGGCAAAAGGUUAUUUUUUCCUUAAAAGUGAUAUUUGGUCGAAAUUCCAAUUCAGCAUACAAGCAAACCACAAUUUACAGCUACCUAGAUCCAACUUCUAACAUCUAGGCUUCCAAUUUUCUAAAAGUAUUGUGUUCUGAACAAUUCGGAGAAAUAUUGGAGAAUGAACCUAUAACAAUAAAAUUUUAAAAAAAAAAUCACGUGUUUUUAUUUAAUACCUUGUAAAGUGUCCUUUUCCCUGUAGAAGCUUCUAACUAUCUAUAUUAGUUUUAGAAAUUUACACCCUUAAAUUAUAAGGAGAGAAGGGAGAGGGGGGGCAUAGACAAUUCAGCCUUUCUCUAUUCCUCAAAGCAUUAUUGCUUGUAUGGAACCCAUAAACAAGAACAUUUAGUUAAAAACAAAACAAUAAACGAUAUGUAAUAUAGAGAGGAGGGGGGGGCUAUAACACAAAAUUUAGAACUGUCCCUUUUCAACAACAAAAUUAAAGCCAAAUUUAAACUGUAUCUCACAAGACAAGUGGUAAGCCUCCAUCAAAUUACCUUGUCAACCUUGUUUCCAACAAGCAGCUUGAUGCAAUCUUGAUUUGUUGAAUAUAGAUCAAUUUCCUUGGCCCAUAUUUCAGAAAGAUUGGUAAAUGUGUCUCGUCGAGUUACAUCAUAGACUGUUGCAAUUAAAAUAAAAUAAAAAAUAUUUAACAAGUUGAUUGAUUAAAAACAUGACAAUAACACCGCAGAAAUACAACCUACAAUCUCAGAAUUUCAUUGUUUUUUAAAUGGAAAUACCAGAAAGUUUCAAAGCUAGCUGAAAUAAUAAAAACAAUAAUUCAUCAAAAAGAUGGAGACUUUAAUCAGUUAAAAUAAAGUCUAACUCUCUGAUGAUGUUUUCGCUCCAUUUUGUAAAGUUUGAAUUAAAGUUAUGAGAGAAAGACUCAAAUAAAAUCAUAGUUCCAACGGAUACGAAAGAAAAAUGGUAGCAAUCAAUUGGAUGGUUGGUGAAACGGAAACCAUGAAGCCACAUUUUUUUUCCAGUUUUUCUUGCCAGAAGUUUAGUGCCUAUUUAUCCAAGAAAUCCAAAUACAUGGUGAACAGAUUAAGUUCAAAAGAAUAUCAUCUGUUUCAUAAAUCUAUGUGACUAAAAAGAAGUAGAUAGUACAUUUUGCAUGUAAGCCAUCAUAUGCAGUUCAGGCAAAGCAAAUGGCCCAACACAAUUGAACUUCUAAAUUCAAGGAACACCAUCUUUAAAACUUUGCAGUGAGGUUUUGCAUUAUAACAACUAUUAACUAAGCGAUUGUAAAUGUCAUGAAAGAUAGGGGAAAUACCCAUAACGAUCCCUUGGGCCCCUCUGUAGUAUGAACUCGUCAAUGUUCUAAAUCUUUCCUGACCAGCUGCAUGAACAAACAUUGAGCAUCAGAAGGCAUCGUUUGGCCAACUAAAGCUUUCUCUAAGGAGAAAGAGGUAAGCCAAAACUGUCAAGACUUGGUAAAACAACAUAAACAGGUAACAAAACUGUCAAGUUACUAGUAACAUUGCCUGCAACUACAUAAGCAAUUAACAAAUUUCAUCCUGCUAUUGCUAGCAAUGAGACUGGAAAGUUAUUUCAUAAUACUAUGCUACAUAAUUUAUGAGAACAUUAAUGCCAACAUCUGAAUUAUAACCAAUAAGCCACAGAACAAUAAGAUAAUACUGAUAAAGACUAAAUGUUUAUAGCAUAAGCAUUACUUUUAAAAUUGAAGUGGAUUGCAUGAGACAUAACAUGCAGGUAAAGCAUAAACAUAAAGCAGGCAAUUAAGAAAAAAUGAAACCGCAGACUAAGUGACAAACAACAAACAUGGGAACACAGUUGAAGUUACCUGUAUCCCAUAUCGCAAGUUUCAGCUUUUUCCCUCCAAUAUUCACAAAUUUUACUUUAAAAUCAACACCUGUGCAGCGAAGGAAACAGAAAAUAAGCUAAAAUCUCAAGAAACAGGGACUUGCAAAAUCAUGGCUUCAAAAUUCAAUUUUGAUGGUCAAGAGAGCAAAAUGCUAUAAUCUUGCCCCCGAAGCAAACAAAUUAUAUCUUAAGGAUUUGAUGAACAACAUGACAUAAACAAUUAUUCAAAUAUUAGAUCCAUUAAGCAUUGUAUGCAUGACUGAUUAGCAAAAUUUCACCGAAAGAUGAGAAAUUUAUAAAUCUGAACUCAAACACCUUCCUAAUUAACCGUUAAGUAGCAAAAUCAACUUCCAUCGCCAAUAGAAAGAAAGCACAAUUUUGAUUUCUUGCAAAUAGUUAUAGCACAAGCAAACAAUUUGAGGUCCUGGAUCUUAAUUUUCAAUCCACAGAAAGAAGUCUAAAAGAAACACCAAUUUGUAAAAGAAUGCUAAUCGGCAAAUAACCAUAGCUUGGAAGUAAAAUCAAAGCAUGAAAUCCUAGUACACUAGCUAUAUUUUUCAAUUCCAUAAUACUAAAAGUAGAUUACAGCAACCUUAAAAUCAACCAGAACACAUACGCGGAUGAAUAUUUGCAGUGCCCGUGCCACUUACCAAUGGUGGGGGAGAGAUCUUCAAAGGUAUCAGAUGUGAAACUCAAAAGGAGACUACUUUUCCCAACACCAGAAUCUCCGAUCAUUAACAACUUGAACAAGUAAUCAAACUCCGGAGAACUCGAACUGGAAUCCAUUAAAAUAUUAUCUCAACUAAAACCAAUAAAAUCUCAGCUCCUCCAACACCACAAUGUGCCCUAGGUCACCCUAUCAAAACACAAACCAAAUCACGGAUUUUAAACAAUACCUAACAGAAACCAAAUAAAUUCAAAAAAGGAAAUAAAAGCACAUUAUUGUAGAAUUGAAAAGUGUGAUCAAAGCUGGAAUCUUUUUCACAAUACAACACAUAAAAUAAAAAACCAAAAAAACAGCAGAUGCAGAAAUUCAGAAAAGAAGAUAUUUGAUACCAAAAAUAGAAAUCCCAAUUCAAAGCUAAGAAUUUCCAAAUCAUUAGAUUAAACAAAACAAAGCCAUCAGUACCCAAAAGCACAAAUCAAGAUUUGUGUGUGUGCGCGUUAUGCAUCAACAGAAAAGGAGAUUUGAAUGUACCUGAAAGGUAAUGGCUUCUGAAAAAAUUGUUAAAAUUCUGGCGGUGGGUUUGCAGAGAAGGAUAGAGAGAGAGAGAGAGUGCUCUGAGAAUUAUGUAAAGGAAUGUGAAAGAGAAGGGGAAUCCACAGUUAAAAGAUGAUGGAGAACCAAAAUAUAAUGUAGAUAUUUUUUUAAGCUAAACACGACUGUAGAAAUAAAAAAAAAAUCUACGAAUCAAAUUUUGCCAUACAACGACCUUAAAGGAUUUUUCUUUUACUAAGAAAAUUAAUUAUUUUAGUUUUUCCUUUCUUUUUUACCAUUAUAAUAAUGCUACAAGUAAAAUGCAUAGUGACAAGGGUUAUUUGGCUAUAUGAUCAAUGUACUAGAUCACGUGUUACAUUGCAGGCCGGUUUAAAAAAAAUUAGCACAAAAAAAAUAUUAAACAAUGACAAUAUUUUUAAAUAAACAAGAAAAAAUUGAUACUUAAUAAUUUAAUUGGAGCCAAUUAGUUGGAUAGUUUAAUGUAUUGAUUUAAAUUAUAGGUAAUGAUAAUAGAUAAACCAUAAAAAAAAUAUUUAGCAACAAUUCAUCGAUAUUAUACCUAGAAAAAAUAAAAAAAAUUGUUAGAAACUUAUUAUUACUUCAUUGUGGACAUCGUACAUCACAAAAAUAGUUUAUUAAGUCAAUUCAAACCUAAUUGUAAAAAUCUAGACGAAAACAUCAGAAGAAACUAUUUGGGUCUCUAAAACAACAUCCUAAAAAACCAAACUAAACAAAACAAAAUGAAAUGAGAAUUCGUCUAUAUUCAAUCAGUCAAUUCUAUUUUAUUAAAGAAUAAAAUUUACUUAAAAAUAAAUUUAAUAAAAAAACAACAAAUAAAAAAAUUUGAAGUACACAAUUAAAUAAAAAAUGAUAAAACCAAGGUCAUAAAAAGCAUGAAAAAAAUAGAGCUUAAUCUCUAAUUAAAUAAAUAUUAAAAGAUAAAAUCAAAAAAAUAUUAACUUGAAAAAAAUGUAAAAAUGGUCGCAUUGGAAAGACAAUCAUACCCUCAACCAUUAGCCUACACUCUCUUUUUUAAGGGCAAGAUGGUGAAUUCACUAUUCCCGUUUAUAGUGUAAUAAAUCUAGGGGAGCAGUAAAUUCAUCACCUCUUUUAAUUUUUUUUAAUAUCAAUUAUGGAUAUUAACUAUAUUUUGAUCAUGGGGAUAAUAAUAACAUCCUAUAUUUGACAAAUACGUUAUGCAAUCUAUAUUUAAUUUUGUAUCUUUGAUUUUCAUGUUUUUGUUCAAGUCAAUAAGGUCUUUCUACGAUCUUGUUUAUACCAUUUGAUAUAAAAAAAAUUGAACCAUUAGUCGAGAUUGGUCGAUAGAAUUCAAAAACAACAUUGUUUUUCUUAUUUGUUAGAUAUUUUACAUGAAAAUAAGAUUAAACUUGCUUUUAUUAAAUUAAAAUUUAAAACAAAAACUAAAAAGAAUCAAUAAAUAAUUGUGGAUGUAGACUCAUUGUAUUAUGGGAUGGAAUAGUAUAAUGACCGUCAUAGUGGUGUAUAGUUGUCUGGUUUGGUUAAGAGAUGAAACAUUAAAUACUUUGAAAAAGUAGGCAGUCAAGCAGCCUUUUUGGGUAAAAAGAUAGGGGAAGGUGAAUAGAGUAACCAGACGACAAGCUGUCUGGGUUUCCCUUUUUUUUUCUGCUAGUCAAAUCGAUGAUUUUUUUGGUCAAAUCGCACUAUUUCAAGCAUUAUUUUGACUUUUUAGGGUUUUAGUUAGGGAUUUGACUAAAAUUCAAUUUAGUCUUUCAUUGUUUUUUAUUUCUUUUGAUUACAUCUCUAAUUGACCUCAAACUUUUAUUUUAUGCAAUUUUACCCUUGUCAAACUUAAAUACCCACCCUGAAUCUUAGUGUCUUUUUUAUUUUGGUCCUUGACUUUAGAUUUAUGCAAAUUAAUCAUUAAACUUUCCAUUUUCUCCAAUUUCACCCAUGUUUUCAAAUGAAUUAAGUCCUUGAAGUUUAACUCCUUUUUCAAAAAGGUUGUUGGCUAUGAAUUUCUUCAAUUUAACCCUUAAUUGACUAUAAACUUUGAUUUUCUUGCAAUUUUACCCCUGAUUUCAAUCAAUAGACUUUGUAAAAAUUAAGUUUGGUUCUCUAAAAUUUCAAUCUUCUCAAGUAAACCCAAAUUGGGCUCCCAAAUUUAAUUUUUCACCAAUUAAGUCUCUAAUAAAAUUAAUUUGACCCAUAAAAAUAUAUAAUUAAGUCCUUGCACCUAAUUAAAUAUUUUAAUUUGACCCAUAUUAAUUCUUUAAAUUACACUUUUAAUUUGGCCCACAAUUAAAUCAAAUUGACCUAUUAAAAAUCUAAUUAUGUCCCUGGACUUAAUGUUUAUAUAGAUUCCUUGAAUAAUCAAUUAAUUUGAUCUUGAAUCUGCAUUGUCUCUCUAGUCUUGAGUACAAUGGUAUGAUUAGGCUUAUAAUUUUGUCGAAAACUCUAGCUUGAUUCUCACACGCACAUAUCUGAAACCCUCCCAACUUGUUUUUGCCAUGUCGCCAGUCUUUUUAUUUUUUAUGUUUAUACGAGAAAAACUGGUAAAUUUUGAGGAAGAACCAAGGAAUGAGUUAUGACAACGAUGACUUAUAGAAAAAAAAAACACAUGUCAAAAGAAAGUUGAAUUUCAAUAUAACUUAUUGUUAAAGGAUGAAAUAAAAAAAUGAUAAAAAAAGAAGAAGAUUUGAGCCAAUCCAAUUUAGCAUGAAAAACCUGAGACCCAAGUUGUGAGGCUAGGUCAUCUUCAUAGAAAGUAAAUAAAAAAAUCUCAUUUUCUAAUAAACCUAAUAUUGAAAGAUGAAAUUAAAAAAAAAUCGGUGUAAAAAAGAUAAAAAAGACUGAUGUCAACCCAAGUUAACAUUUUAUAAUCGUGACAUGGGUCAUAAAACUAGAAUUACUGCACUAGAAAAAUCAAGAAGUCUAAUUCAUAAUCAAUUCGAUGUUGAAGGAUAAAAUCGGAUAAAAAAAAUCAAUUUAAAAAAAAAGAAUCAAGGAAAAAAAAAGAAAAAAACAACAAUUAAGAGAAUAAAAACCAAAUCUGACAUAAAAAUAAAAAAUUGAUCUGUUGGGGAUUUGACUUUGUACGAUCUUAUCUCUCUGUAGUUUUUUUUAAGUGGUUUUGUGAUUAUCUUUAAUUUUUUAUAUAGGUUUAUCCCGAUCUCAAUGUCCAAAUCAUGAGUUUUCCAUAUUGCUUUUGAAUAUAAGGGUUUUUUAGAAUUAUUUUGUUUAUGUUUUAUUUUUCAAGAUAUUAUCCUAAAUCAUUUACAUAUAUAUUUUUUAUUUAUACAAAAAAGUUUAUUUUUUUAAAUAAAAAAAUAUUUAUUUUUCAAUAACAUUGUUGAUUUGUUCAGCCUUGCAUAUUUUUUAUAGGACACGAGUUUAUUCAUUUAUUUUCAUUUGUGUUUUUAGGUUAUGAGUUUUUUAUGAUGUAAAUUUAUCUUUUAUUGAUUUAAGUAAAUAAGUGUAGUGAACACAAUCAAAUGAAUAUAUUAUUUUAUGUGAUUGAAUAUCUUUUGGUUAUUGUCAAUGAAUUUUUUAAUUUUUUUACAUUAAUUGUUAUCAAUUUAUUUAGUUAGAUGCUUGCAUUGACUUUUUAAUUUACACUUUAAUUUCUUUAUGUUAAAAAACACAUUAAAACAACUAGUAUAUCCAAUAUUUUUUUUUUAAAAAAAACCAAUGAAGUAGCGCGAGUUAAAUGACUAAAAUACAAGUAAAAUGUGCAACUCUAUAAACAAGUUUUAGGCUUAAGGUUUAGGAUAAAUACUCUUUUAUUUUACCUUACACUUUGUAGUUUAUCUUUUUGUGGUGCUUACAUUAUCUUAUUAGUCUUUUUUUUUAAUUAUUAUAAUCUUUGUAAAGCUGUUUGUUUUUAAAUUUUAAAAGUAUUUUUAAAAAAAUUAAUUUUUAUUUCAUUUUUUUACUUCAGAUCAAUUUUUUAUAUUUUUAGAUGGUUUAUUUUAACGUGUUAAUAUUAAAAAAUAAAAAAUAUUAUUUUAAAAUAAUUUAAAAUAAUUUUUUUUAAAUAACUGUAACUAUAAUAUCAAAUAAACUGUCAAUCAUUAAAAAGUCACCUCAAUCAAUCAAGAAGACUUGUUGUUUAAUAGGCAUUACAAUCAUCCGAACACUUGAAAGCCACCAUCUGCCAUCCACCCGCUGUAAAAAGAAUUACAUCAUUCUUAAAGUUUCCUGACUUCAUCAAGAUGAAUAAUUUACUCAUUUUCUAUGGAUAAACUUGUAUUCCAGCUUGUAUAUAUUUAGACAAUGCUAACAAAAUCCAAAGAGAAUUGGUUUUUUUUUAAAUUAUUUUUUAUUUAAAAAUAUAUUAAGGUAAUAUUUUUAAUUUUUUUAAAAUUAUUUUUGAUAUCAACUCAUUAAAAUAAUCUAAAAAUAUUAAAAAAAUAUUAAUUUCAAGUAAAAAAAUAAAAUAUUUUCAAUUUUUUUAAAAUAAUUUUAAAAUGAUAAAAUAAACAGGAUUUAAGAGAAAAGGAUUGCGAGCUUCGAUGCUUGUUGCUGUGAUGGUUAUAUGAAAACAAUAUAUAUAUAUAUAGUGAAAUCUACUAUUACUCGCAUAAAGUUUUCAUUUUAGAUUAAUUGGUCAUUAUAGUUUAAGGUUUUUAUAUUUUUAUUUUAUUUUUUAUUUUUUUUACAUUUCAAUCUUUAAUUAUUAAAAAUAAAAAAGAAAGUUAUCCAAAAACAAAAAAAUAAAAAUUCUUUAGAUCAACCGGCCAUAAAAAAAAAAAAAAGUGUCAGUGAAUUCCUGUCUACAGUACAAGGGAACCACACUCUCCAAUUGAAUUGAAUGAGUCAUCGUGUGAUAUGACACCAUUCUUGAAUCAUGGCAUUUUGGAGCCUUAUCGGAAGUCUGGAAAUCUCACCAGGGAAGAAAAAUAUCUCACCGCAUACAUUUCAGCUGGUCAAGAAGAUAAAUAAAUUCAAUCAAUUUCAGCCAUCAUUGGUGAUCUCUAAGUUGCGAGGAAACUCUGUUUUUCUCUAUUCAUUGCUUUGUAUCCAUAUUUUAUAUGAAUGGACUUCUUUAUUUUUUUCAAAAAAAAAAGAAAAAUUGAAAAAGGAAAGAAAUAUCGAAUAUGAUCUCAUUGACUAAUAUAUAUAUAUGCCACCAGCCUGGACACCCACGUUAAACAAAAAACAAAAUUAUUGAUGCAACAUUGGUAUUUUUAAAGAAGUAAAAAAUUUAAAAUUUGAGUAAGUGAAAGAGAUUACUUAUAUAAUCAUUACGAAGACCCAAAAAAGAAAUAAAAAAUCAUAAAUUAAGUAUCUUAUUUUUAUAUUUAAUCAAACAAAAUAAAUAAAUUUAACAAAGAUUAAUUUUUCAAACCUGUAAUUUGUUAAAUUUUAGAUUUGGGUUCAACUAAAAAGUUUAAUAUCCAGCUAAUUUAGUUAUUAAAAUUGGAUUAAAAAAAUUAAUGAUGAAAAGAAUAUAUGGAGAAUGAAACUGAAAAAAUAUAUUAUUUUAUAAAUUAUUUUAAAUAAAAUAAAUAUUAAUAAAAAUAAAUAGCUAAAUCUAAAAAAAUAAUAAUUAAAGGAUUGAGGUCGGCAUACUUUCUGAUGACGAGAGAGUGAAAAAAAGAAGGUCAUUGUCAGUGAAGCAGGGGCGAUUAAAAGCCACACGCAUUGUUUGGGUAAAUAGAGGCCAUUGAGGGGAUUCUAUUGCCGCCCUCCCAAUUAAUCAUUUAAAUAAUAUAUAUAUUUGUUAAAAGAUGUAUAGACCCUUCCAUCAAGUCAAUUAUUACCCAAUAACCAAAGGAAAAAAUAAAACAAAUGCCCCUGCAUGUCAUUUUCUUUUCUCGCUUCCAAGAGCAACUUCGAUAAACUUGAAAAUACAAAAAUAUUAUCAUUUUGCUUUCAAGUAUAAAAAGAUCAUUAUUCAACUAUGAAAAUAAAAAAGAUGUGCAGACGAAUCAGCCCCUAAUUAACUCGGUAAUGCUUAAUUAAUCCCCAUAAAAAGACAAAACUACCCUCUAAGCAAGCCAAAAACACCGAACACUAUAUGAAAAAUUAAUAUGUUUUUGGUGUUUUGAGAUAUUUUAAUGUGCUGAUAUCAAAAAUAAUUUUUAAAAAAUAAAAAAUAUUAUUUUGAUAUUUUUCUAAGUAAAAAAUAUUUUUAAAAACAACCACAACCACACUUUUAAAUACGCUAACCAAUCCCAAUUACUAGCAGUCAACAAUAUUAAUUAAAAAAUAAUGCAUCUGCUCCCUUGAACCACCCCCAUUAAAUUAAUAUGACUAUAUGAUCGAGCUUCUUUAUGAAAUCUCAAAGUUGUCAAAUCAUUUGCAUGUCGUUGAAACUUCUCUUUACAUAUAAAAUACCAAUUUCCUAUAUAUAUCAAAGUUUUUAAUUGGUUUUAGAUCAAGGGUCGGGUAUGCUAAUUUAGAUUAAUUCAGGUAAAUUUAAAAUAAUUUUAUUUUAAUUAAAACUAUAUCUUUUAAUUAUUUUUUAAAAAAUUCAAAUUAUAUUUUUAUUAGAUUAAUUGAGAAGUUGAAUUACGGUGAUAAAUAUUAUAUCAUUGCAAAAAUAAAUAUUAUAUUAAGAUUUAGGUUGAAUUAAACUUAAUGAUAUUUAUUUUCACUUGAAAUGAUAAGUAGCACAUUAAGAAGAUGUUUGGGAACGCGGUGUAAAUCGUGUUCUUAAAAAAUUUAAUUUUUUUUUGCUAAAAUUUAAUAUGGUUUGUACGUUUUGGAUCGUUUUGAUGUGUUGAUGUCAAAAAUAAUUUUAAAAAAUUAAAAAAAAUCAUCGGUAUGCAUUUCAGUACAAAAAGUUAUUUGAAAAGCAACCGCUACCACACUGCCAAUCACCCUCUAAGUCUCUCGGAUUCCUCCUCUUCUCUUUAUCUCCCAUCUCUUCAGAUCAAACUGGCAAAUAAAAAGGUCAAUAAUAUUGGCGGCCCUGAUCGCUUGAUGAAAUGAGUGGUUGGAAAGGGUUGAUCAAGAUCAACAGGUGAGAUCUACAGGUCCAGGCAAUCAAAUUAGAGCAUCAAAUUAAAGAAGGGCACAAGGAGGAUAGAGCCUAGAGGACAUUAGAUUUGCUGGACAAAAUCAAAAGGGAAUUGGUUAUUCACUAUCAUGUAACAGUUGUUAAUCCUAGCUCGAGUAGGUGAAUUAUCUUGAAAAAUUUGGACCGUUAGCCCGACUAAAACAAGGUUUUUUUUGUGUGUUAAAUUAGAUAAAAUAUUGACUCAAUAAAAAUAGUAUUUGAAAAUAUAGUAAUGGUUGUUUUUUAAAUAUUUUUCACUCAUAAAUAUAUCAAAAAUAAUAUUUAUUUUUUAUUUUUUAAAAUUUAUUUUUGACAUUAGCAUAUAAAAACAAUCCGAAAACUUCUAAAAAAUUAAUUUUAAGCAAAAAUAAAUAAAUUUAGCAAACCUUUAUUUAGGCUGCAAUCCCAAACGAGGGUAAAACUUGGUUGAAUUCACCUGUUUUUAUUUGUUUAACCUGAUCAAACUUUGAUGAAUCAAUAUCAAUAAAAAAAAUAAAACAACAUCAUUUUAAUAAAAAAAAAUAGUUGAUUGGGUCAAUGAUUCAAUGACCCAUGCUAUUUCCAAGCUAGUAUACAUGUUGGCUCUCUAACUAUAAUGUUCAAGCCACAAGAAGUUCUUUGAUGGUGUCAUUAAACUCGGCCAGUGAGGCAACCUUGAAACUUUUAAAUCCGAUUUCUUUUCUAGUUUGAGCUUUAAAUUAAAAUGUCUAAAAGUUUUCCUGACAUGACAAGUUGAUUUGACUUGUUUAAAAAAACCCGGAUGACAGGUAAAAAUGUGAUUUGGAUUUAUAUAAAAAAAAUUCAAGAUGAUAUUUUUUUUUUGAUAUUAAGACAGAGAUCCUUUGGAUCGAUUUGGGUUUCAUGACUUAAUUCGCCAAAUUAGCGACCCGAGUCAUGGACUCUAUUGGGUUCAAUAACUGUUUUUUUUAUUUAAUUAUAAGAUAACAAAAAUAGACGUUUACAAAAUUAAGCACCUACCAAAUAUUAGAACAUUUACUUGAUACAAUGAUAAACCUAGAGAAAGCAAACCAAAAUAAAAUAAAAAAGAACUAAAUAUUGAAUGAUAAAAUUAAAAAAAUAAAUAAAAGAAAACAAACGAUAAAAACCAUGAUGGUAGGUCGUGAUUAGCUAUCGACGGUUUCUCUACCNNNNNNNNNNNNNNNNNNNNNNNNNNNNNNNNNNNNNNNNNNNNNNNNNNNNNNNNNNNNNNNNNNNNNNNNNNNNNNNNNNNNNNNNNNNNNNNNNNNNACAUCAUAAAACCUUCAUAAACACUCACUAUUCUAAAACACCUCAAAAUCAAUAAACUACUCACUAUCCCUAAUUUGAUUCACUUUUUGAUGCAUGUUUUUUUUAUUAAAAAAAUAUAAUAAUUGAACUUCACUUGUCGAAUAAAACUCAUUAACACCAAGCACAUUAAGUUUCAUUACUGAAAAGUGACAAUUCAUUAACUUUCUCUUUUCUUUGUUGUUUUUAGAUGAUUUUCUUUCUUCUUUCUUAAACUCAAGAACUAAAAUGUUAAAAAAGUUACCUUUUAGACUAAAAUUAAAAUUGAAAAAAUAAAAGGACUGGAUAGUAAGAAAAAGAAAAGUAGGUGAAAUACACAUAUGUUUUUUAGUAAAAUUGAGAUUCACCAUCAGAUCUCCUUUGUUUAUACUUUGAUUUUUUUAGUUGAAUUUUUUCUUAACAAAUUUUAACUAAUUGAUCAAUUUGGACACAAAAUAUUGUAAUGGUAAAUAAAAGGUUUCAGGAUGGAAAAAAAAAAAGUAUUGAGGAUUGCUACAGUGAUUUACUAAUUAUUUUAGUAUAUUUUGGAAUGUAAUGUAAUUGUAAUGUGUAGUUUAAUUGUAGAGUCAAAGGCUGGAUGAUAGUUUUUCCUAAGUUUCCAUGGAAACAGUUUUUGUUUCACAAGCACAUUAGGUACGUAAACGGCUAUAUAUGGCUGUUAUUUUCUUUUCAAAAAAUCCAAAGGCAUCCCUAGAAAUCAUCCAUUUAUUAUCUUAAUUUGGAAUUGAGCUCAAAUACAAAUAGUAAUAAUUAAAUUCUUCAUAAUAUAAUAUAACUUUUUUAAUUAUCGGAAGAUAUAUUCAAUGAUCUUAUAGCUAUAUACAAAGCAUAGCAUGUCUUUCUAUAUUAAAUUACUUCUGAAAAAAUUAAAAUCAAACCCAUUUUACUGAAGAAAAAUUUCGUCUGGUAUCUAUAAAAUGCAAAUAAGAUAUAUAUAAUCCCCUUUAUUAAAGCACAAAUUAUUUUUACAGUUCUUUAUGAAACUAAAAGCAUAUCAUCACUUACAACGUAAACAAGAAGCACCAAUGUGAAGCAUGGUAAUUUCAAGACCUCCAAAUUAAGGCAGGAAUAUUUUAUGGAAAAAAAAAAAAACAGAAAACUGUAAGAAUUAAGAUCUAGGCUUCAAACUGCUCCAUCUGGACAUCCUUGGACUUGAGAGGGAUAUAUUCCCCAAGAUAAACUUCAAGGUGGUCUGACAAGGAGGACUUGUCAAUAUUCUCAUGGUGAUAGGAUUUGCAGACAAAGUAGAGAACUGUUUGGAUGACAAGGCCGAAGAGAAUCACCUUAAACAGCAAUAACAAGCAAAGUAAUCCCAUUCCAAUUCUGAUUUCCAUUGUCCACUCAAGAACCACAAAAGUCUCGAACAGGAAUUGAAUUCCCACAAAACAUAUUCCAACCACAAUAAAAAUAGCAACUGCAAUUCCCAUCUUGCCUUUUAUCAAUUCCCUGCUCUUCAUCAUGGCUUUAAUCCCAUAAAAGUCUUCUAAAACAGAAAUCACACUCGCCAGAUGCCAAACUAUGGUGAUAUACAGUAACCCCGCAGAAUAUAAGAUAACAAGAACAACGAGAAACAAGAUCCUGAAGCCAGCUGCAGGUACAUGGUUGAUAAGUGUAAAAGACAAAAUGAUCAAAACCACUAUGGAAACAAUGUUAUAGAGCACAACAACAGCAAAACUCCAUAUAAAGGUGACCAUGAGUCUCUUCCAGACCUUUGGCACAACACUCAUGAUCUUCUUGAAGGUGAUUGGCUUGGCAGUGUAUAUGCAAGCUAUGGUAUAAACAACUGCAGAUGUGGAAAGAAGGGAAAAGAUUAGAAGGAAAGUGAAGUAUGCAAACUUGAAGAGCCAGAAGGCAGUCCAUUCCGCGGAGAUGGUAUCAGAGAGUUUAUCAUGUUUUGGCGUGCCAGAUUGGGUGAAGUCUAAGGUAUCUUGAUUGUCAAGGAUCUUGAAGAAAAUCAUUUGGGAUAUUUGCAUAUGAGCUAGGAAGAUGAAGGAUAGUGGAAGGAUGAGAGCUAGGGUUAUCUUGCUGAAGAUUUUUCUCCAUGUCAAGAUGAUCUUGAAGGAUUCUUUGAAGAUGCCAAAGAACCCAAGAAACUGGAGCUCCUCUUGUUCUCUGUCCAUGAUUUUUUCCCUCUCCUUCUUCACAAAGAAAUGGGUGAUGGAGGGAGGCAUUGAGUUGUUGCCUAGUUGGCAUUAAAAGGUCGAUUUCAGAAAACAAGAGUGGACUUUCAUUUGACAAAUUGCCCAUGGUCUUCCUCAUGAAUUACUUGUAAAACAUUAUAAUAUUGAUAAACUUUUGGAGGGUAAUGAAGGGAUUAUGAGAAUUAUAUUAUCGGGUGAUAAUUGGCUACGUUGCAAUGGCAGACACAUGGUGUUAAUUUUAAGCUAGCCAGUCACCAUCCAAUGAAAAUUGUGGGCACCUAUAAGCUGGAAAUUUUAGAUUAAAAAUAAAUUAGCAGUUAAUUAUCAUUUUUGCUUAAGCUUAAACGCAUCAUUUGCUGUGUGUUAACCAAUAGAAUCAUUUGAUAUCUUUCUUAAUUAUUUGAAAUUAAUUAAGUCUAGUUAUAAUUAAUAGAAAUGGUUAGAAGGGAGUUAAAGAUGAAACAUCACUAUAUAUGUGUCCAUGUCGAAUUACAACAAAUUAAUAAUAUUAGCAAUUCACCCCUACAUAAUCGAUAAAUUAAUUAUUCAAGACUCAAAAGCAGGACAUUUAUAAAGUCUACCCGGCGUGGACUUACAAAUGAAAAACCAGACGAGGAAGAUUCCAAUCCAAUCUAGGGCGGAAGAUUCCAAUCCAAUCUAGGGCGUUCUGAAUUCCAAUUUUCUUGCGAACAAUAAUCCACCGUACGUCUUUCGAAGGUGGAUUCCAUUAAGAAAACAUCCUUUUGCAAUAGUAAGAAAGGGGUUUUAUCGUUAUUUGUAGAAAAAAAAUAAUGCAUUGGCAGGCAGAGUCAAUUUUACUACUUUUCAUUUUAAAUCCACUGUAAAAUCAUCAUAAUAUCCUUGAGUUAAAAUUAUCUUUGCCUUGGGUCAAGUGUUUUUUUCUGUCCUAUUCGCUUGUUUUUAUAAUUAUAAUUAUUAUGUUUAAUCAGGGGUAAUUUAAUAUUUAGGAAUGUAUAAAAUGUUAUUUACAUUAAAAAAGUUGGUUGCGUGUGUCAUUCACGUGGACGUGGGUGGGUGCUCCCGCUCUCUUCAAACGACGCAUACAACGUUGCUCUGAGGUCAAAAUCCAGCUUUCACGAUUAUAUUUUAAUCCUCAUAGCGUCAACUUCAUUACUGGAUAAAUGCUGGGUUUUGCACCCCUUACCAUUUCUUCUUUUCCUUUUUUCUUUCAUCUCUUCUUGAUUUCAGAGGCUUCCCUUGUAUAUUUUCAAAGCAGCCUUUGAUUUUCUUUUUAUUUUAGAUUUAAUCUCUAUUCCUUUUAUUACAAUUCUUUUUUUAAAAUAAUCCAUAGAUUUGAGAUUUUCUUUUGAUUUAACAUUUCUUUGAUUUUUUUACCUUUUAGAUUUGGUUCUCAUUCUUUUAAUUGUUAUUCUUUUAAUCACUAUCUUAAUUAAAUUAUCUUUUCAAUUGUACCCCUCAAUAGUUUAUAUCAUUCUCUUAAUUGAAUUAUUUUUUCAAUUGCAUCCCUCAUUAUUUUAGUUCAUUUUAUUUUAUAUCAGAUUUGGUUCUUAUUCUUUUUAUUGCUAUAUGGUUUCUUUUUAAUCCUUUUUUAUUGGGACUUUCUUUUUUGAUUCCACCAUUCAACAUUUUAUUGAUUGGAAUUUCUUAAACAUUUUGGGUCACGGGUUUGAAUGAUUAGACCAGGUUGGCUUAGAUCUUUUUUUGAAGUCCUUUUUUAUAAUUGAUUUUUUUUUAUUCUAUCAUUCUAUGGGGUUAUCCUGAUCUCGUGUUAACCCAGUUUGACUCAGCCCAAUAUUAUGUUUUAUUUGUUUGUUUGUUUGUUGUUGUUUUCAAUUUUUUUUAAUCAUAUUAUCAAAUUAAUCGAGAUUUAACCCAAGUCUUGAAUCUUUCUUACUUCUUUAAAAACAUUAUCGUCACCUAAACAUUUUUUUUUUCGCAUUGAAAAUAAGUUUGGUCCAGCCAACAACAUAGGGCAGACCACCAAUCUAGUAAACAAAGCUAAAUGAGGAGGGGAAAUCAUUCUUCCCCUUCUCACAUGUAUUUUUUUUCUUUUUCCUUUUGUUUUCAUUUACAUCUUUCAAUUAUUGAGUUUAUUAGAAAUUGAAUUUUGUUAUUUAUAUUGGUUUUCUUUAUACGAGCUUAUCGUGGUCUCGAAAAAAAUAUCCUGACAUUAGGUUUACUAUCAUCUAUUUUCUUACCAUAUUAUUAAAUAAAAAUUGUUAAUUAAUUAUUAUGAUCUGGACUUCAUGAUUUAUUUCGAUUUACUUUUUAUAAGAUCAUCACAAUCUUAGAAAAAUGUAUCGGCAUUGGGUUGGUUCUCGGUUUUUUUAGCAUUUAUUUAUUUUUUAUAAUUUUUUAUUAUCAAGAAAAACAUAAUUAUUAGAAAUUAGACUUCACGAUUUAUUUUAAUUUAUUUUUAUAGGGUUACUAUGACCUUAGAAAAACAUCUCAUUAUUGAGUUAAUGCUUAUUUUUGUAAGUAUAUAUUACUUUAUCGUAUAAUUAAAUAAAAAUAUUUUCAUAAAAAAACAAAUAAAUUUAUUAAAUUCAAUGGAGUUUAUAACUUAGAUUAAGAGUAGGUUUAUCGGAUUGAUCCAAUAUAUUAUUAUUUUAAUAUGUUUUUUAAAAAAUAUAUCUUAAAAUUAAACCGCAACUGGGAUGGACCAAGAUAUGAUACAAUAAUAUAAUAUAGAAACACAAGGAGAAUCGAGAUGAUCUCAUUGAUAGUUUAUUUGUUUAUUUACAAUAAUACCUAAAUAAUCAACAAUGGACCAUCCCGCAACACACUCUGGGAUGCUUGGCUAGCAUGACUACAUAUGGUUUUAAGACCUCUAGAUAAAAUAGAAAGGAAGAUCUAGACUUGCAAUUGCUCCAUUUGGACAUCCUUGGACUUCAGAGCAACAUACUCCCCAAGAUAAACCUCAAGAUGAUCGGACAAGGAGGACUUGUUGAUAUUCUCAUGGUGAUAGGAUUUGCACACAAAGUAGAGAACAGUUUGGAUGACAAGGUCGAAGAGCAUCACCUUACACAGCAAGAAGAAGCAAACUAUUCCCACUCCAAUUCUGACUCCCAAUGGCUUGUGCAAAACCACAAAAAUCUCGUAUAGCAGCUGAAUUCCCACAAAACAAACUCCAACCACAAUAAAAACAGCUACUGUAACUCCCAUCUGGCCCUUGAUUAGGUUUUUGCUCUUGAUCAUGGCUUUAAUCCCGUAAAAAUCUUCUAAAACAGAGACCACACUAGCCAGAUGCCAAACUAUGGUGAUAUACAACAUCCCCACGGAAUAUAUGAUGAUAAGAGCAACAAGAACCGCAAUUCUAAAUCCGACUGCAUUUACGUGAAAAACAACUUGAGUCCACAAGGUUAAAAACACCACAGCUGCAAUGAUGUUAUAGAGCACAACAACAAGAAAACUCCAUAUAAAGGUGACCAUUAGUCUCUUCCAAACCUUUGGCACAACACUCAUGAUCUUCUUGAAGGUGAUUGGCUUGACAGUGUAUAUGCAAGCUAUGGUAUAAACAACUGCAGAUGUGGAGAGAAGGGAAAAGAUUAGAAGGAAAGUAAAGUAGGCAAAUUUGAAGAGCCAAAAGGCAGUCCAUUCCGCGGAGAUGUUAUCAGAGAGUUUAUCGUGUUUUGGUGUGCCAGAUUGGGUGAAGUCUAAGGCAUCUUCACUGUCGAGGAUAUUGAAGAAAAUCAUUUGGGAUAUUUGCAUAUGAGCUAGGAAGAUGAAGGAUAGUGGAAGGAUGAGAGCUAGGGUUAUCUGGCUGAAGAUUUUUCUCCAUGUCAAGAUGAUCUUGAAGGAUUCUUUGAAGAUGCCAAAGAACCCAAGAAACUGGAGCUCUUCUUGUUCUCUGUCCAUGAUUUCCCCCCCCUUCUUCACAAAGAAACGAGUGAUCGAGGAAGAGAGAUGCUGGCAUUGAUAAGGGUAGAUGGCAGGCUUUAAUUUGAUAGAUUGCCCCUGGUCUUCAUAUGAAUUACUCAUAAACCAUUAUAGUCGAGAAAAACUUUUGGAGGGCAUUGAGAGAAUUGUGAGAUACGUUUUAUUAGGUAUGGUGACAUGACAUAACAUGACAACGAUGACAUAUUCAUAUUAUCAUUAUAUUAUAUGUUACUCCAACACAUAAAAAUCAUAUCAAAAAUAUUAUUUUAAUAUAUUUUAAAAUAAAUUUUUUUUUUUUAAAAGUUAUUUAUACUUCUAAACACCACUAAAUAAAUAUCAAAUGAAAUUCAUCAAGAUAUGUAUUGUGAAAUAUCUAAUAUUAUUUUGCUUGAUUUAUAAUAACUUUAUUUGUAUAUCUAUUUUUUUGUCCUUAGGUCCCAAAAAGAAACGCUUCACCGCGUUAUCUUCAAGCUAAAAAGAAACUUUAUAAAUGGGAAUAACGCGUCUUGGAAACAUUUUCUAUUUCAUGAUAAUGAAUUUCUAUUUCAUGAUAAUGAAGGAUUUGGGGGUGAAUUUCUAUCUCCUAACUCGGAAGGUGGAAACUUUCUCUUCGCUAGCUUGUUAGUCUUCGCAGAGGAUACUAAUGAAUGAAGUAAGUUUCCAAGCAAGCCAGUGAGCUUGACUUCCAAGUCUUCGAGUUUUAAUAAUGUUGACUGGGUGUUUUCCAUCUUGAAUUUGGACAUACUUUUCGGCCUCCCCCACCUCGGCAGACGGGACAAUUUUCUGCUCUUAAACUUGAGUUAAAGCCAAGUUAUAUGCCUGAAAUCUAAAAAAAAAACCAUAAAAUUAAGUUAAAGACAACUUCUAUUACAAAUCCAGAGAAAGACACCCCGAAAAAGCCUUUGAACUGAACUUUUGUUUGUCCCAUUUUCCACAACUUGAACCAGUUCCUCCUUCAAAGUUCAGACAUGAACCUUCUUGGAUAUGUGGGCUGCCGAUCCAUUGCACAAAUCCUAGCCACCGAGCUAGCUGGGUUUCGCAUGCAAAUUUAUCUUAUAUACAAAGUAUAUACAAACCACAUGUAAGAGAAUGCAUUGCUAUAAACCUGGCCUGACUUUAUUGCUUAACUCGACAAACUUGGAUGAUUCGGAAAACUCGUAAUUUAUAGUCUGAAUUGUGUCUCCUUAGUUAAUUUUAUCGUUUGUAACUCUUGUGUGGCUUUUUUUUUUUAAUUUAGAUUUUAAAUUAAAUGAAAAGUUAUCUUGAGAUAACAUUAUCAAUUAGAUAGGUUAAAAAACAAAAAAAUCAAAAGAAAAAUAAAGAAAUAAGUCACGCUAACUUAAUUAACCAAUUAAACUCGUAACCUUAGUUAUGGACUCCACUAGAUUGAAUUAAUUUUUUUAUCUUAUUAUAUGAUAAAAAAAAUAUAAAAAUCAAUUUAUUACCAAUCUAAUAUUGAAUGAUAUAAUUUAAUAAAAAAAUUCACACUAAAUAAUAAAAUCCAAAAAAAUAAAAAAAGAAACCUCAUAAAACAAAGCCUAGAAGUGUGGGCUAGAGGGGGGUUGUAGGCCUAACCCGUUAUUUUUUUUAUAUAUAUAAAAAGUGGAUGAUAACACCCCUUUUUUUUUUUGAAAAAAAUUUACAUAGAAGACAUGUCUUCAUGAUCGAACCUAGAUAAUUCGACGGGUUGACUUAACAUAUAGCGUGUAUCUAUAAAAGUAAACACAAUAUUGUUCCCAACACGAAUCAAACUUGCGACCUUAGACAUAAAAGAAUGAGGAUUUAAUUUGACAUAAACAUAAAAUAAAAUCAAUUAAGAAAAGGAUUCAAAAUAAAAAAAUAAUAAUACAAAAAAUAAGAACCAAAUCUGAUAAAAAAAAUAAAAUGACUUGACACAUUGUAAUUUUGGUAGGUUGACGCAAAUCUUGAAAAAAGAAAAGGUUGUUGAAGCUAAUUCUUCGUCUCUCCGUCACCGACACACGUUGGACCUUCAAGUGCGCUGCUUCAAAAUCAAUAGUUGACAACGACUUCGAGGGCGUUUGUUUGCGUGGUUGCUUCUGUGUUUGAAGCAACCACAGCAAACAUAAUGUUUGGUUCCACUAAAAACGCAAUUUAAUUUUAGUGGGUCCCAUGCAAUUUCACAUUUUGGACGCGAAUUUUGCAAAGCAGCUUAUAGCUGCUUUGCAAAAUUCUGUGUUUAUGUGCACAGUGCAAUUCACUUGCACUGUUCGAGUGAACUUCUUCUUUUUUUUUUUUUUAGUGUGUUUAGUUUUUGUAUUUUUUUAAAAAAACUAGUUUAGAAUGAAUUAAAUUUACUCGCAUUGUCAUGUAAAUAAUAUUUUUUUUCCCGAAAAACUAGUGUAGAGUGAAUUAAAUUCACUCGCACUGUAAUAUCAAAUCAAUUUUAUUCCUGAUAAUAUUUUAUCUAAUUUUAUUACACGCUCAAAAAAUAAUAGAAACUGUAAUUCUUGUCGAAUGAAUUUUGUACGUAAUGGAAUUGUAGAUGGUUUAAUGGCAUAAUAAAAAAUAUUUUAUAUAAAGUAUUAUUUAUUUCAUGAAGUAAUAACAAUAGUUAAAUCUACAACAUUUAAAUUAAAAACCAUCAAUUUUAAUAUAUAUAUUUUAAAAUUAUUUUAUAACUUUAAUUUUAAAAGCAUUCUUAACCAAACACAUUAAACUACUUUUUAUUCAACCUCAAUUUCAACUACAGUUUUAACCAAACAUCUAUUUUUUCAAACCAACCUUAAUUAAAAGUACUUUUUAUAAAACAACUUUUUUCAAACCACAACCACAACAGCAACAGCAAUACCAAACACACUCGAAUCAUCAUACACGCUGGGGAGUGCGUUGCAACACCAACAAAUAUGUCCUGCCUAUUCUUUUAAGUCACUAGAAUUGUUUUGGUGUCAAAUUAGGUCCCUCAAGCCUCAAUUGCUUUGUAUUAAUUAGGUCCCCAUGUAUAGCAACGGAAAAAAACUACUAAGUAUAAUUAAAAAAAGCCUCAAUGUGAGAAGACCAGAUUGAAGAAAAAAUCAGGGGGCAAAAAAAGAUGGGGUUGAAUAUCUCCCUUGCUUGUGUAAUGUAGUCCUUGAUGCUUGCAGGAAAUAGGAGCUCAAUACUUGUCCAAUGUUUAAAUUCAGUCCCCAUUAUUUUAAUUGUUUUAACUUAAUUUAAUUUUUUUAAAUCAAACAUUGAGAGUCAAUUUUCUUUCUUGACAUUGCGAGUAGUCAAUAUCAAACUAAAUAAAAUAAAUAAUUAAGUUUAAUUCUCAUCAUAUCUAAUAUAAUAUGAUCAAACCCCGGAAAAAAAUACUAAAAAAAGGGAAAAGUUGUUUGCAUCCAUAAUAUUUCAUCACGUCGAGUAUAGUGAGUGUAGUAUAGUUUUUUUUUUAAUUAAACUAUAAAAAAUAGCAAACCGAAGAAAAACCUUUAAACUAAUAGGUCAAUAGUUGAAAUAAAUUUCUUGCAUUUAAACUUUAAACUUUAUUAAACUAUUAUUUUUUUAAAAUUCAAAUUUUAAGACUAAUGUUUAGAAAAAAAAUAUUUAUUUAAAUAUAUCAUUAUGAUAUGAGAGGUGUAUUAUCAAAAUUGUUUAAAACAGAAUUUAGUCAUGAUUACUACACAAAUUGUUCCAAAAAUAACCCUUUCUAUAUUAAAAAAAACCAAACAUUCUGAAUUAUCGAAUAAAAAAACAAAAUGCAACAAGCUUUCAAUUUAGAUAUUAUCUUUUUUAUUUUCCUUUCACGUAAACAAUAUUCAAAGCAUCAAUCAAAUAAAAAACAAAACUUCCUGUCUUUGCUUGGCUUGCAUUGGUAGGCAAAGUGGAUAUCCUCACGCAUCUUGGCAGACAGUGCUAUCAUCAUUGUUAUAUUUACAUGUAAGUCCAAUAGUAAAAUCCAAUCCUAAGUGGAUUCAGAGUAAGGUACGAGAAGAGUUUACUUUAAACAUUUUUUCUUAAAGAAUCAAAACUAUACUGUUUUGAUAAAAAUAUUUUCAAAAAAAAAUUAUCAGAUUGAGAAUUGGUUUCUGGUUGGGUUAAACCCGGGUUAAUCAUAUCAAUAAGUUAAUUUAGAAUUUUACUGAGUUAACCAAGUUUUUUUUUAUUCAAUUUAAACCGGUUUAUAUCACAAGUAGACCGACAAGUACUAUAAUUAUAUUAAUACUGUAAUUUUUAAUUUUUAUUUAAUUUAAAUUGGUUUAUAUCACGAGUAAACCCGACAAGUAGUUAUAGGUUUUACUACAAUCAUAUGAAUAAAUUAGUCUAAAUUUUUAUUAGAAGAAUCAAGUUUUUCUUAAUUAGAACUUCAACCGCAAAAUAAACAAGUCACCAGCACAUCACGGCCCACCUUGGGAUUUUCAUCAAUCACAUGGUCCCACAUUCUAAAUCAUGACUCUCCACGUGUCCCAUGCAUACAACCUCUCAUUGCGCCUCACACACAUGACAACAAAUCAUCUUCUUAGAAAGAAAAAUGCAAUCAACUCCCGUGAAUAGCGGCUUCUUGUCAAACCACCUUCCAUAAAAGGGAGACCAGUGAGAAGCCAGAAAGCCGUUUCAGUCCCUAAAUUAUUUUCUCUCUCAAGGAAACCCCACCACACAUUGCGUGGCAACAUUGUAGUGGAUGAUUAAUAUUUAAUUAUGAGAAUAAAAGAAAUUUUUUUGAACUGGACCCAGAAGCUGUAAGUACUUACAUCACAACGCAGACUUGCUGUUUCUACUUCUAGUAGUCUUAAAACACGCCACCACCUCUUCUUCCUGCGCGCGCGCGCACAUAGAUUUCCUCCUCCUCGUUCUCAGUCCCACAUUCCGUGUUUCAUUCGUUGUACAGCUGCCGCCUCUCCAGCACACGGUGUAAGAACACUGGGAUUCUUUCUUUAUUUGCCAAAAAUAAAUUUCUUUGUUUUUUUUUUGAUAUUCUUAGAAACACACUCUUAUUUGCCAAAUAUACAUUUUUCUUUUCAAGAAAUCAACCAAGAAAAGAAAUAAUAAUUCCUUGAAACCUUUGAUUUUUUCUUUUCUUUUAUGGGGGUUUGAAUGCAAUAAUUUGCAUGCAUGUUAAAGAAGAUGGAUUUUGAUGAGAAACAAAGUUUUGGUUUUGGUGGUAAUGCAAUGAUAGCUAAGGUUUCAAGAUUUUCUUGGUCACCAUUUCUUUUCUUGAUCACACUUAUAGCUCUUUUAUCUUUUCAAAUCACAACCAAGACCAUCUACCCUAUGAAGAUUGCAUUUAGUUCUACGUCGAAGACCGGUGUUUCAGCCGAUGCAAGAACCAGCUGUGUGGGGUUCUUUGGAGAGUUGCCGGAGAGAAAAGCUGUGAUGUCGAUAAGAGAAUUCGGUGGGGUUGGUGACGGGAAAACGUCUAAUACCGAAACGUUUCGGAAAGCGAUACGGUACUUGCAACGUUUCGGGGAGAGUGGUGGUGCCCAGUUGAAUGUGCCGAAGGGAAGAUGGGUGACAGGGAGUUUUAAUUUGACAAGUAAUUUCACUUUGUUUCUUGAAGAAGGUGCUGUUAUUUUGGGUUCUCAGGUAUUUUUUUAUUUUUAUUUUUUAUUUUUUGUUGGUUUUGAUUGUAUCCAUUGAUAAAUGAGUUCUUCAUAGAUUUCUAACAUGAAGAUUAUGUCAAUGGAUCUCCAAUAAUUUGAUGACAACCCUUUUUUUUUAUUCUCUGCAAAAUGAUGUUUAUUUAUUUAUUUACAAAACGUUGGUAUAUAGUCAAGGUGGGACAUUGGGAGGUCUUAAUGGAAACACAAAAAGCUUUGUAGAUGUGAAGAGAAAGAAUGCCCCUUUAGUUGAUUUUUUUUUUGGAUUGCAAAGGAAGAAAUGAACUUUGGCAUGCUUGAAUAUCUGUGUAGUUAGGCCAUGGUUAUCAUGCUUGCGGCUACUCUUUUAGCCUUUUUCUUACAAAAAGAGAAAACAUUGUUAGGCAGAUGCUGAUGUGCUAAAGGACCCGCAUUUGAGCAUCCAUCAAACUGCAUGCCACCUUGUCUAGAUUCUCUGAUGUGUAUUUUUGGUUACUUUUACAAGUGCCCAGUUGCUUUUCUUUACUGCAAAAAAAUAAAAUAGUCACUGCAUAUGUGAUUCAAAAUUUAUCCUCUUGUGCUUGAUACGUCAGCAUGUAAUUGAGUCAGCAUGCAUUAUGUAGUUAUCAGCUUUUUUUCCUGCUUCGUUUUGAUAAUUAUUAUAGUAAUAUCUUUUGCCAGCAUCAAUUCCAUCGAAUGAUCUUUCGAUGUACAAAGAGCUGCUUCAAUUUUAUGUUUUUGAUUGAUAGGACCCGAAGGAAUGGCCUAUUAUAGAACCAUUGCCUUCUUAUGGAAGAGGGAGGGAGAGAUUAGGGGGAAGACAUAUUAGCCUUGUUCAUGGAGAUGGCCUCACAAAUGUUGUCAUCACAGGUAUUCUGCCUGUUCCUUUUUACCAAAGCUAGCUUGCAUUGAAAGACAGAAAUAAACUUCUCGAUUCACACACAUGAUUUUACUGUACUGCUUGAUUCAUUUCAAGUUGCCUGGAUCAUUUGGCACAAUUUAUCAGUGAGUGUUGGCAUCCUCUAUAGUUCGUAUAGUUGGUCAUUAAAGAGAUUAUAUUCUUAUGGUGGUGUCAUGUCAGUUUGUUGGAAACUUUUAAUGUGCAUUCCCAAGAUAACGUUGUACUACCACAUUUCACAUAGAUUGGACAGGAAGUUUUAACAUAUCUAACAAGAACAAAGUAUUUUGAGUUAUGAUUCUCUUGCUGAUGUUUGUGUUGGGUGGGUGAAAUCUCUAUUCGAGCAAUUAAUGAAGUUUGAUAAAUUCGAAGGGGAAAAGAUAACUCUUAAUAUUUUUUUUACAAGUUUUGUUUCUCCUUCAGGAAACUCAUAGAGCUAAACAACUAACUUGUAGCUAUCUGGCUAUCUGCUUAUAGCAGGUGGCAUAAAAAUAAGCUGCUGUGGUUACUCAUUGUAUACAUGAGAAAUUAUGGAAGAGGAAAAACCUAUGGGUGAUUAAUUAUUUUUUAACAGUGAUUAGGUUCUGAUUCUUCUGUCUACAUUGCAUGCCAUCUGCUAAACUAGAAAAUCCUUUCAGCACAGUGAGAAUUAGUAGCCAUCCAUUCUUCUAUUUAUUCCAAAACAUAUCAAAUGCCUUGGUGAUAAAUGCAUAAUUCAAAAUCCAGUUUCAGAACAUGCUAUGCAGAAAAUUGUUGUCUUGUUUAUCAAACAGCUUGAUCAAAAUUUUGAUCUGUUUGAUUGGUUUUGCAGGAAACAAUGGGACAAUUGAUGGACAAGGGAAGAUGUGGUGGGAAUUAUGGUGGAACAGAACAUUGGAGCACACAAGAGGUCACCUUGUAGAACUAAUGAACUCUAACAAUAUUCUCAUCGCCAACCUCACGUUUUGCAACGCUCCAUUUUGGACCAUUCAUCCAGUUUACUGCAGGUUGCCACUCUCACCCUUUUAUCCAUUGCUUGGUUUCUGUUUUCUUUUAUACUGUAUUGCAUUAACUUAAAAUACUUCCACUGUAUUGCAUUGACUUAAAAUAUUUCAAUAAGGUAAGAGUUUUGGCCUUUAAAAAAAAUGUAAUGGUAUAAGAUCACAUGUAUAAUAUUGCUGAUUUAAUUUUGUAAAUGAGCUGAAUAAAUCUAUCCUACUGGAUGAUAAAACUUGGAAAAAACUGAACCGUAAAGUAAGAUGCUUUUCCCUUCCACCAAAUUUUCUACUGUUUUUGAGUUUAGGAGUGGUUUCCCAUGCCAGGUCCUUGCCCUUGAAAGUUAGAACCUGAGAGUUACCUUAUUAUUAUCCAAUUGGGUUUUGUUUUCUUUGCUUUGCUACGGAGACUUGGGAUAGAAAUGUAAUAACAAGCAUAAAUCGAAUGUUCACUUCUUUUUAUCUCGUCAUAGUUAUUUUCCUACUGGAAAUUGUAGCUGGGAACUAAUACUAUUAGCUCUGCAUUUGUUUCAGCAAUGUUGUUGUUAAAGACAUGACAAUCUUGGCUCCUCUCAAAGCCCCAAAUACUGAUGGUAUAGACCCUGGUAUGAUUCUUAUCCUCCCUUUUCUUUUUUCCUCCCUAGUUUUAAUUGCAUUGAAGCUGACUCAUGAAACUAAAAUGGUUUUUCUUUCUUUGUGCAGACUCAAGCACAAAUGUGUGUAUUGAGGAUUGUUACAUUGAGAGUGGGGAUGAUCUUGUAGCAGUGAAGAGUGGCUGGGACCAGUACGGUAUUAAAAUGGCUCGUCCAAGCUCAAACAUUGUAGUUAGGAGAGUAUCUGGCACCACCCCUACUUGCUCUGGGGUUGGAAUAGGUAGUGAGAUGUCUGGAGGGAUUUUUAACAUAACUAUUGAAGAUUUGCAUGUCUGGGAUUCUGCUGCUGGUGUGAGAAUAAAAACUGACAAUGGCAGAGGAGGAUAUAUAGCAAAUAUCACAAUAAGUAAUGUAACAAUGGAGAGAGUUAAGGUUCCGAUAAGGUUCAGUAGAGGCUCAAAUGACCAUCCUGAUGAAGGAUGGGAUCCUAAGGCAGUUCCAGUUGUGAAGGGCAUUUCUAUCCGUAAUGUGAUCAGUUUCAAUUCAACAAAAGCCCCUGUAUUGGAGGGAGUUGAGGACGCACCAUUUGGUGGGAUAUGCAUGAAGAAUGUUAGCUUGCUUGGAGUGGUAUCAUCUUUGUCAUGGCAUUGUGAAUUUGUCUCAGGUUUUGCAGAUGAGGUAUUUCCAACACCAUGCCCGCAGCUGCAGAGUAAUAUCUCUUCAUCUUGGUGCUCAUACUCUUGGGCUUCUUCGGUCAAUCUCAAUUGAAGUUUAGGGAUUCACUGGUUGUUUUCAGAGGCCAGUUUGCGUUGAGCAAAUUAUGAUUGAAAAACAAUAUUAUGGAAGUGGUUGGGUUGAUCACUAGAGGAACCACAUUAAGGGUCUGAACUGAGCAUUUCGUAAGUUAUAUUUGCUUAAGCGUGGUAUGAAGCUGCUGCAUGGAUGAGCUCUCAGAUUAUACUCUCGGUACCAAACACCAAUUUUGGCAAAUUUGUGGUUGCCUUUUUCAGUUUUGACUUGCCUUGGUGAUUUUCUGACCUUGGAUUUCACUAAUUCUGUCAUUGGUCACUGAUUUCUGUGUAUGGAUUAUUGAAUAUAACAGAAUGCACACCUGGGGAUUCAACUAAGCCCCAACCACAGAGAGAACAAAGGAUCGAUUACUUAUACCAAAAGAAUACAGGAAAAUUUAAUAGAAGGUACAUUUUCCAGCAUUCCUGGAUCGAUUACUUGUGCUAUAGGAAUGCUUGGAAAUUCUUUGUAGGAAUUUAAUAGAUGCUGUAUUCCAGGUUAGCUCCAUUUAUUUUUUACACCAUAAUUUCUUGUCCAAACAAGAUAUGGAGUCACCUCUCCAACUCAACUCUUGGUUUCUGUUCUUGUAAUGAAAGAGAUCUUAUUAACUUGUGUAGUCCUUGUUUUGUUUAAUGUUAUUUACUGACCACCCUGGCAAACCAGGUUCUCUUUUAACAGGUUAUAAUGCUGAAAGUUCCUAUAAGCAUUUAUUUGUAAAGGUAGAAUAAACGGAGGCAUUGAAUAACUUAGCAUAAAUAGGGCAACCACUAACUUAGCAUAAAUAGGGCAACCACUAGAUUUGUCUUGCUUAUUCAAUGAAUAGCUCUGACACUGAUGAACUUACUGGCUAUAUUCCUAUUACAAGUCCUCAUGUUCAUCUUAGGAACAUCGUGAGCUAGUUCUAUCAAGAAUAUGUGGUCUGAAUUCAUGUGAUGGAUCAAGUCAUCCAUGUUACUUUGAGCUACCUUGGAUGGAACAUGGUUGGUUGAAUAUACUUUCUUUCCAUGUUACUUUCAGCCAAGGCAGUUUCUCUGAAUUUGUUCUGCUUUCUGUAAUGUUUUCUGCGCAUGGGAAAUAACUUUUCCUUUAAACCUUAUGAUCUACUUUUUAUAACCCAAAAAAUUCAUUUUUUUUUUGUUAAAAUUUAAUAUGGUUUGUACGUUUUGGAUCGUUUUGAUAUGCUGAUAUCAAAAAUAAUUUUUUAAAAAUAAAAAAACAUAAUUUACAUGCAUUUCAACAUAAAAAGUUAUUUGAAAAACAACCACUACUAUUCUGCCAAACAUCCUCAAUUAGGUAAAAUUACUCAUGGAAAUUUGGAUUUGUUUGUCCAAUCUCCAUGUAUUCUCCAUGGAUGGAGCAAAAUCGAGCAAGGACAAAGGAAAAUAUAGGAGAGAAUCACACAGAGAAACUAGAGAUAAAUGGAUUGUAAAUUUUGUUACAUGGAAAACUAGAUACAUGUUGGAAAAUGGAGAUUCAAAGACAAAGCUCACCCUCUUCACCAUUUCCAGAAAACAUUGGAACCACACUUGUAUUUGUCCUUUCCUUCGCACUCCAAAGCCAAAUCAUCUGAGAUAAAUGGCACUUUCUGUAACAGCCAAAGAAAACCAAUUAAAUGACAUAAUCAUACGGUCUAAUCAAUAAGAAAUAUUACUCAUAAAACUACACGAGUUGCACCUUUUGCUUGGCAAGAUCUUGGCAGCCUGUGAAGUUCUCGGGGAACUUGCAUGUGCCAAAUUGAACUGUGAAUGCUCUUGCAAAAUUUGCUCCACUAGUGGCCAAUCUCUUCUUGUCAUUCAAUUCCUAUAACAAUAUCACUUCACAAUCAACAUCAUAAUAGAAACAGAUGAUCUGAUAAAUAAAAAGUUCUGAGAAAGGCAGGGUUUUGCAAACAAACCUUGUUAGCUUUGCUCUUUUCAAGGUACUCUUCGAUGACUCCGGCAUUGGCAGAAGAAGCAGCAGCAGCUGAGGUGAAAAGGGUAGCUGCAAGAUAAACCAUUGCAGCUCUCCUUCCUUCACUUGCUUUCAUUUCUCUAGAAUCAGCUCUAGUCUGUUGGGCUCUGAUCACAGGCAACUUGGGGCCAGACACAACAAGGGAUGCAACUGCAGGCAUGGAAACAAUCUUGGCAUUAAGCUCAGAUGAUCCAGUGCCUGAGAUAGCAUAGUUGCAUGCCAAAACACUAGAAUUCAUGGCUGCCAUUGCUUGCAAAAUGUGUUAUUACAAAACUGAGAUUCUACUUUCUUAAGAAAGAUGAGACUAAUGGUGAUGAGAGGGCUAUUGCUUAUUUUUGAGGUUGUGGAUAUUUGAUAAGGAGUGAUGUGGAAGGAGGGGGUGAUGAAUGUGAUUACGGUUGUGGUUGGGGUGUGGAUAAGGUGAGAUCGCCUCACUCCUAUUGGCAAUUUUGCUUCUCAUGCUUGUUUUGUGCUUGUCGAAGUGUAGGUGGGCUUGGAUUUUGGGCCCACUUUGAAAUCAAAAUGUGUGCUCUAUGUCGUUUCUUUAACAGGCCAAAAAGACCAGCAAUCCACCAUGUGGAAAUUAACCACUAUGGAACAUGGACAUAUUAUCCUCUUUGGCAAUCCUUGGAUGCUCAAGAGUCUACAGAGUUGGUAUCUAAUCAGUUACUGUAAUCUGUUUCAUCAGUCUCAAAUUACCAGGAUUGACAGAUUCGUAAUGACAGUGCAAAAAAAGAAAAAAAGAAAAAAAGAAUUGACAUUUCAGGGUUAUACUGAUCUUCUUGAUAGCAAUUGAUCCAUUCUAACUCUGCAUGACCUAGCAAUUUUUGUAAGUAAUUAAAAACAAGUGAAAACAGGUCAAUAGUUGUAUAGAAUCUACACAAAUUUCAUGCAAUCAAAACUACAAAAAUUGAUAAAUAUAAAUUCAAUGGCGUAUUUUUCACCAAUAUUUCCUUUCUGAACAAAAAGAAACCUAAGAGACCUCCAUGUAUGCAGCUCUAAGGAAUGAGAGAAUGAAAUAAUCCAGUCACAUGCUCAAGAAUCCUUCCAACAUUUGAAGCAAAUGAUGGCAGCCACCUCCUGGAACCUGCUGAGGAAUGUGCAGAAGCGUAAGUGUUCAGACACGAUUUGAUGUACCUCAAGGCACAUUUAUAUUUGCAAUUGCAGCGAAGAUAUACCAUGCAUAGCAUCAAAACAAAAUUAUGGUGGCUGCGAGUAUGCUGAUCUUGGUCGAUUGAAUAUAGAUCAAGAUUCAGGUCACUCCCCCUACAGUGGAGUUAAGAUGACAGUGCUCGACAAGCUUAGAAACCAAAGCGAUCAUGAGCACGUUUUCAAUUGGCAGCACGGGUCAGAGACAUCCACGAAGACAUCUUUUAUCUACUAGCUGAUGCUACCUCAAUCUUGACAAUCUUUUACGUUUUUGACUUUUCUUACGUGCAACAGCAUUGUUUGAACCACUCUUGGAACUGGAUGGAAGAGCCAGAACUGAUGAUGGAAUGCCAAUAGAUGUUCUUCCCUUCUUUGAAACCCAUUUCAAUGGCAUGUUAUUUACCACAGUACCAAUAGUUUUUGAACUAUCCAGUUCAACAAGAUGUUUAAUUUGAUCCAGCAUCUGGUGCGCCCAGGCAAUAGACAAAUCUAGACCAACCGAGUCAUCCAUUGGUUUUUUCCAGAGGCUUGUCAAUAGCUCCUUGAAAGCCCGAAAUGACAUUGAGGGUUGAUAACCUUCACGGUUUUCACAAAUCAUAUUGACCUUGAUAACAUGCUUGCAAAGGUUUCCCUGCAAUGACCAUGCACAAUCACAAAAAGCAAAUUCUGAUCCGGGAUUCCACACUAUCCGUGUUACGUUGUUGUCCUUUUGACUUGAUACCUUGGCAAAGAGAUGAUCCUUAUCAUCCACAGUAACAGAAGAAUUGGGAAUUUGCAGAGCCCUGUGCCAUGAUGUAGAUGCAAUAUAUUCCUCCUUGACAUUUUGAAAAGAAUCACUUUCAUCAGCGUACCUAUCCAGCCAGUAACUUGAAUGCAACUCAGUUGUCAGCUUGUGCACUAACCAAUCCACCCUUUGGAGUGCACCAAGAUGUGAAUCAUCAAACAAUUUAGCUUUCAGCUUUACAUGAUAAGCUUCUAUGGCACCUGAAGCCUCUUGACUUGCUAGGGGAAGAGCUCUCAUAGUCGAUAACCACAUUUCUGUCAAAGAAGCAGACAACAAAAUCAUGACAUAAGAAGCCAAUGUCAUUCCACAUGACUAAAACAAGCAUGCACAAAACCAAUGCAUAUUAUCUAGUGCCUGCAAGGGAGAGAACUAACCAAUCUUAGGCACCCAAGAGGCUUUGAAAUAUUGUAUGAAUGCAGUCUGAUCAACAAGAUCAUGAGUCAACUCUUCCAAGGCAGACAAAGUAUCGACUCCACCCCAAAUGCUGUAAACUAUCUCUCCCAGACGUUUGAAAAUCUCUCGCUGAACUUCAAUGUUACCACACUUUUUGACAAUAUUUCUCAGCCAUGAUCUACGAACUCGCCAGAGGGAAAACAAUACAGGACAGCCAAAUAUAUCCCUGAAAAUCCAGAUAAUACAAGGUAUGAUAAGACUACUGUACAGUCUAUAUUCUGUAACCACAGAUGAAAACAAACUGUAUAGCAAAAAUAUCCUGCCUUAUGGGAUCAAUUUCUGCAGCAGCAUCAUCAAUCAAGAAUCCACUGAUCUUCCAUCCAGGCUCCACACUUGAUGCUCGACCAAGUAGAGCCUUCAUCCACUUAGCAACAUCUGGCUUUGCAGAGCUACGCGUGAUGAUCCAUGCAACAGGAAGUGCAUGUUGUCUUGAAUCAAAAACAAGAAGUGUGCACAACGGAUACUAACAUUCAAAUACACAAUGCCAUCAACAACCACCUAAUAAUGUUUUUUCUAGGUUACAUAAAAAAAGGGCAUGCAUAGAAUACCUUGAGUCUCUUAAUGCCAAAUGUUGAAUCUGCUGCAAUGAGACUGCGGUGACCAAAACGGAUCAUUUGCUGCAAUUGCCAUUCUGUUUGAAUUCCCAGAAUGAAAGCAUCUGAUUCCAAAGAAUCUUGAUAAAAGAAAAUGGAUUUCUUAUUGCGUUCAACCCACAUCCUGAUGCUAGCUUGAUCAUCUAGAUCCAACUCAUGAGUAGACCGUUUGAUGAUCAUUCCAAGUUUAUGGACAUAUUGUGAAGCAAGGCUGUUGACUUUUGGAUUUGAACCGCAGUAUCGUUGAAUCCCCUCAAUGUGUUUCUCCAACACAUUCUCCUCAGGAAUUCCAAGAUAAAUCAUAGACAUUGUUUGCUGCUGAAUUUCAUUACAAAUAUAUGGAAUUUUUUUGGCUCCAGGACCAAUGGCAUCUCUGUCAAGUGGUCCGUGGCAGACAAAACCAGAUUUGUUUACAUGACGCCUUUCAUUGUAUAUAAUUAGCGCCUGUGACGGUCGGGCAUACAAGCGCUUCACUACAAAGUGGCAUGUACAGCCACGCAUGGAUUGGGGCCUUGCAGCACGAUUUCGGGUAUUAAGACGAUAUUUUCGACUAGGUAAUACUCCUCCACCUUCACCAUAAUUUUCAGGACCAAAUGAACACCAGUACCUUCCAAACAUAAAUGAAAACCAACAUGAGAACUUAUAUACAUAGUUUAAGCAACAAAUGCCACACAUCAAAGUUGACAAUGAAGCAACAAAACCAACAUUGACAAUGAAGUUGAUGAAUAUGAUGAAGGUGCCAGCCAUUUUGCCUUUAUUACUCACAUGUCAUACAGUAAAUUAUACACCUGAGUUAAAAAUGCAUAUAAAAAAACUACACAUAUUCACGUAAUGCAUGUUUAGUACUGUUUUGGGAAGUGGUUUUGGUCUUAACCAACACUUCCAAACCCAUCCAGUAGCAAAAAGAUAAAGCUGAAAAAAUGCUUCUAAAAGCAUUUAGAGAAGUGAAAUUACGCAACUUCAAAAUGAACCUUAGUGAUGUACUGGAUACAUUCAUGAAAGAUGAGACUUUUCAUCUUGCUACCGAAGAUGAAGCGGAUUGGUGGAGAUGAUUUACAAAUUCAAGAAUCAGUUCCUACAAAAACAGCUAUUGUGGGAAAGGAAACUUUUUUGAACCUCUUUGUGGUGAUAUCCUUCCAAGAUUUUCAAGGGGCUUUUUCCGUUGUUGAUAUUUAGAGGAGUUAGAAAGCUCUUUUGUUUCAAUUCUUUUCAUCUUGGAGGAUGCCUUAUUCUCCUCUGUUAUAAUUUGACACUCAUUCUAUACAAAUCUCCCCUUCUUUCCUUUUCCCACAUAAUAUGCGAUGAAACGAUAAGAUAUAUUCAAACAACUUGGAGAAAAGCCAAUAGGGUGCCCUAUCAAAGCUAGAAAAAAUGAUGGCAAGACAUGAAGAGUGCAUUAGGCAAAGAGAAAAAGGAAUAAUAAAUUCUAUAACAACAUGGAGAACAGAUUCUUUAUCGAAGGAAAAUGAUACAACAAAGCAAAAUGGAAUUCGAAGAGGACUAGAAACUUACAACUUGUAUUCCAAAUAUUCAUCAGUCUUGUAGUCCUUCAAAGUGCCUCUGGCUCGUUUUCUUCCCCUCUCGAUAUGGAAGCGGGUAGGGCACUCGGGAUUAGAGCAUUCUCCAAUUAUAAAGGCAUCAACACGGUCGUAAGGAAUGAGGGCAACCUCAUCGUGAUGCUCAGCAGUACCAAACUUAGUCCAGGUCAAAUCGGCAGCCGAAAAAUCCUCCUCGGCAGGAUUUUGGACAGCAAGAUUGAGUACAGAUUCAACUAUAUCCAUCUCUCUUGCAUCAACAACUGCUUCUGAUGCUCUUGUAUUUACCGCCAACAUAAUUAAAAGUGAAGUAAGGAUAUCAAGUGGCAAUUGCAGCAAAAUAAACUUGAAAAUUAAACAGAUUUACUUGUAGUAAUGAAUUAAGAGGAAGACAGAGUAAGGACGAGAGAGAUACCUUGAGGGAGGAAGUAGAGGAGAGAUAGACGGCGUCGUGGGAGGGGGUUGGAAGUUUAGAAGGAGGGAGGGAGGGAAGCAGAGAGUGAUAAUGGGUUUUGGUUUUACCUAGAUAGAUUGUAUCUGAUGAUGAAGCAGCCCAAUGGGUGGGUUCUUGCCUUUACCUUAGCGGCAAUUUAAAACGGCGCUGUUUUAUUGUAUUCAAAUUUGGGUCCUUUUUUCUAUGACAUUACAGCCAAAAUGCUGAUAGCUCAAAAUUUAAUUUUUUUUUGUAUUUUUAAUUUAUUUUAAUAUAUUGAUAUAAAUAAAAAAUAAAUUUAAUAAAUAAAUAAAUUAUUUUGAUGAGUGUUUGAAACACAAUCUCUAAAUAAACAUUUAUUACAUAAAAAAAUCAAACAAUCGAGCAUCCACUGCAGAUGAAUUCAUAAGGUUCAGAGCUUAAUUACAGGAAAAAUUAAAAUUUACAGGCACAAGGUUACAUGAUAUAUAUAGACUGCAAAAAAAUAAAAACAUGAAGCAUAUUAUAAUUUAAUUCAGCUGCAGAGAAGGAUAUUUCUGUUUAGAAAUAUGGUUUCACCCGCACCCAAAUCAAUGCUCGGCUAGCUUGUUUCCGAUGACUAUUUAAGGUAUUUUAAAAAGUUGUUUUUUAAAAUAUUUUUUAUUAAGAAUAUAUUAAAAUAAUAAUUUUUUAUGUUUUAAAAAUUACUUUUUAUAUAAGGCAUCAAAAUAAUUUAAAAAUAUUAAUUUUAAAUAAAAAAAUAAAAAAAUUUAAUUUUUUUAAAAUACUUUUUAAAAUGUAAAAUCAAACCAGAUAUAUAUAAUCGUAUGGAUCAUUGGACAGUGAAAGAAAGAAAAAAAGAAAAGAGGUUGGUAAUCUCUCCACAGACGCAUGAGGGUGUUUGUUCAUAAAUCAAUUUAAUUAACAUCCUCACACUUCACAUAAAAUAUGAACACAAAAACACCAGUCGUCGGUCACUAAAAAGCAUUGAAAACAUAUAAUUAAUAAACAUUCAACGACCUGCAGAGUCUGUCACUAUCUCCCCUCCAUCACCACAGCAAACUCAAAAACACAGCACUCACCUCGAUCAUGGCAGUCGGGCACAAUACAGCAGAGUCUCCCUUGUUGCCUGUUAAUCUUCCUGACUAGAAUCCGGUACAGAAAUAGCUUAUUAUUAUUAUUAUUUUUAAACAUAUAUAGUUUCAUAUAAAUAUAAAUAUUAAUUUCAUCAACCUUUAAAAUUUUUACUGAUUUUCAGUUAGUAAAACAAUAUUUAUACACAAUUUAAAACUCGGUUUUUUACCAAUAAAGUCUUUCUCGAAUUUGACAUUUAACCCAAGUUAUCUAUAGAAUUUUGUUUUUGGCAAGUCUUUUGUAUGUUUUGUGAUCAGCUCUUUCACUCCUGAUUUUUUUUUUGGUUAUGUAGUUUUUAGUUUUUUUUUUUAGUUUUUGUAAAUUUUUUUUCGUGUAUCUUGUUUUUAACGACCUUUUAGUUAUAGUCUUUUUAAUAUAUCUAUUAUUUUAAAAUAAAAUAAAAUCCAUAGAAUUUAAUAUACAUUCAAGUCGGAUUGGAUUGUGUUGUCAUUCAUGAGGUAUAAAUGAAAUUGCCACCCUUACUAAUUUAACAUAAUAUCAAUCUAAGAUAAAAUAUAUAAUUUGUUAAUUUAUCGUUUAAUUAAAUCAACCUCUUGACGGCAUUUUUUUUUUCAACCAGGAAGAAUUAUAGGAAAGUGGUUAAAAUCUUGAUAAAAUAAAGUGAUGGAUUUUACUUUAUAUAUAUAUAUAUAUAUAUAUAUAUAUAUAUAUAUAUAUAUAUAUAUAUAUAUAUAUAUAUCCCUCUUGUCCUCCCAACAAAUUCAAAAUUGAAAAAAAUGAAUUGAUAAUUAUUUUGGAUGAAGGGAGUACUAACGGUGUCUUAAUAUUCAAAUGCCAAGUAUUUAAUUGUUUAAAUUGGAUCGUCAUGAAUAUUUUUAUUAAAAAUUGACAUCACAUGAGAGUUUCUAAUGUUAUAUUAAACAAAAGAUAUUGUGGAUGAUUGAAAGAUCAGUUAAGAUGAAUUAAAACACAUUAAUAUUCUUGAUUUCAUUACAUCCUCUUUCCCAUAAUUCGUACCAUCAAUAUUGUAACCCAAAAUAAGGAGUAAUUUAAUUAUUGGCAUCCUCAUUAUCCUAUAAAGUUUUUGUAUUUUCAUAGAAAAUGUUCAAUAUCUUCUCUAUUUAUUUAUAAGAUUAUAUAAAAAAUAAAAAUUCAAUUAUCAUUAAUAAUAUCGUGCUUUGUUUUGUUUCGGAUUAUUUUGUGAAUUAUUUUUUUAUAUAUUUUAAAAUUUUGAUUUCAUAAUAAAUUUUUCUAAUCUUACUUUCCCAUGUUACUAAACAUUUCUAUAUGAAAUACUUUAAACAUUUAUAUUUAAAUUACAAAGAAAUGAUUUUUUAACUGAAAAUGAUCAAUUUGAAAGAGACAUUGAGAAAUUAAUUAUUAAUUAUCAUUCAAGAAUUAAGUAUCUGAUUUACAAUUCAGAAUAAGGUAAGGUUAUUGUAGAGAAUCCUUGCAGAAAAACACAGGAACGCAUAUGAGGAUAGCUCUCAGCGAUCACAACCCUAAGGGAGACAAAAUUGUCAACAAAUAACUUAUCAAUCCAUUUAGAUAGGAACAUGUCAACUAACUGAUAAAAGGAUGAUUAAUAUACUUCAAAAUAGCACAGAAAUAUCUAUCAUGGCACAAGGCCUCGAAGCAGCAAAGUAGUAGUCGAAAUUAUGGCACAAAAACUAGAGAAAUAAUUAUUAGAACACAAUUAAUAUAUAUACCUUCACUUCUUCUAAUUCAUGGUGCAGGGUUUCAAGCUCGAAUGUGUCUAUAGGGAGUUACAGAAGAAAGAACUCAUUAAACAUCUAUAAAUCAAUCAAGAUUCAGGUUUCCAUAAAUUACUUGCUCUGCUGCUACCACCACCACUACAUCAUCCAUGGAUGACAGAAAGAAAACAAAGCCCGUACAUAAGAAAUAUCAUUUGCAGAUUGUACCUAACUGAAAAUUACAGCUGAAACAUUGAAAGUCCUAAAUGAGGGAUGAAAGCAAAAUGUAGCUGCCUCCUCCUUUUGCUUAUUCUGAACUCAUCAGGCACUGCCUAAUAUAUAUAUAUGAACCAGACGUCUGACCAAUAUUGUUAUAAUUGGAAAAUUGGAAGAUUAUCAAACCCAAGAUUAUGCUCGUCAUGAUGAUAAAACUGAAGCUUGGAUAAUAUAUAUCUUCGAUAAUUAAGAGAUUCCCACACCGAGAAAGUCUAUAAAGGCAACAUCCUGGUUCUUUAAUUGACCUCCAUGAUCUUUUUCUUCUUGCUGAGAAGCCAUUGGCAAUUUCCACAAUGCAGCUGGCUCAUGAUUAUUGCUAUUGAGUCUCACUAACUGGCUUUCGGUAAUCUUUUCUUUAUUGCUUCCAUAACCAUCACCAUAACUUGUCAAUGCAAAAGGAUUAUUAGGAUCAACUUUCUUAGCAUUAGGGAUCUGCUGUCCAACAACAUUCUGGUAGUUGUUAUAAAUGGUAGAACUAGGAUGGUAAGUACAGUGAAGAGAUUCAUUCAAAGCAAGUGGUCUCUCUUUAGGAUGUAAUGAAGAAUUAGAACUUGAGUAUUGAAUAUAAUCCUUUCUUUUUGCAUCAAAGACGUCAAAACUUAAUGAGUCAUUUGUGAUGGUUGAAGCACUAACGUUAGUCCAAGAGGGUGAUGAGUUUGAAGAGGUCAUGGGUAUGUUAGUACCCUUUCUUUCAAUAAUAUUAUUCUGAAACCCUAAUUUAGAACCAUAAUCAAGUGACACUUGAGGCCUAAAGAACCCAAAAUUGCUACCAGGAGGAGUACUGCUAUUUCUGUUGGACCGAAGAUGAUGAUCAGUAGAAUAUUGGACUUGGAAAUUAUUUCUCUUACCAUGGAAAGUCAAGCAGCGUUCCCGCUUCCUUCUUGCCAUAACAACAUGGUAAUGAUUCUUGACAGCGUUGUCAGUUCUACCAGGAAAGAGCCUAGAUAUCGAAGCCCAUCUGUUUCCAUGAAUCUGAUGAGCUUUUAGGAGCCUUUCUUCCUCAUCUUCUGUAAAAGGCCUUUUGUUGAUAUUUGGAUCAAGUUGGUUGUACCAUCUCAAUCUACAACUUUUCCCUACAAAUCAAGAUAAAGAAAAAGAAGCACAUAUGAAAAUCCCAUUUCUUAGAACUUGAGCAAUGAUGAGAGAAAGAAAAGGAGAGGUGAAUUCUUUAGCUCUAUCUUACCUGAUCUUCCUUGAAGAUGUUCCGCGAUGAAAUUCCAAUUCUGAGGACCAUAUUGAUCGACAAGUUGCCGAAGUUUCUCAUCUUCAGCUGGUCUCCAGUGCCCUCUAUGACAACUAGUCUUCCCAUCAUCACUGCUUGAGCUACCUUUAAGAUCUUCCAUCACAUGAAAGCUUGACCAAACUCACCUAAAUAUCCCAACACAGCAACAAACUGUAAAUUUAUGGCACUAAUCGGCACAAGAGGAAGAUCUUGAACAGAAGUUUGAGGAAUAUAAGAAGUUGAAUUGGAAGAAAGAGAUAUAGAACAGGAGGGAAUUGGGUUUAGGGUUACAGAUGAGAGGUCACUUUUCUUAUAUACACAAGAUAGGAUAUGUAUAAAUACAUGUACAUGUAUAAGCACUGAUUUUUUUUUUUACCUAAAUAUCAAUGUGUAUUAAAUGUUACCAUUAGCCUAAUCAAAUUAUUUAUCCUUGUAAUUCACUUCUUGACAGCUCAGUACUCUCCCACAGAGACACAACAAUCACGAACACUCAAGUGCCCAUUUCUGGGCAACGUAAAUGAAAUUAUUCCAUUAGAUGAGCAUAAGCAUUGAUUACAUGUGUAGCAAAGUUAGAAAUUAUUUUGUUGCAUGCAGUUUAUUAUUGGUUAUUUAAGAGGAAAUUAAUGUUAAUUUCUGUAAGAGGGGAGGGGAGUUGGUGAAUAAUUUGAUGUCAAAAUAGAUAGCCACAAGGUUUUCGCUUUUAUUUAAAUGGUAAGCUACCAAGGUCGUCAUCAUCUUCUUCUUCUUCUUCAGGCUUAACAACUUGCUUAUAUAUAUAUAUAUAUAUAGUGUUUCCAUAUUAGUGUUUUAGAUUUUUUAAAAAAAUAAUUUUGGGAAUUCUUGAAUUUAUGUAUGCCAUGUUCAUUGAUUAUUGUAACAAUUUAUAUAUAGUUUUACUUUCAGUCAAGUUUAAAAAUAAAGAGUCUGCUAAAAUAUUUCAUUGUUGUAUAGCUUCCUGGAGGGUAAAAAUAACUUACUUGGGAUGUCAAGUAUUUUCAAACCUCAACGUUUCUCUUAUUUUAUUUAUUUUCUUUUUUAUAUUCAAGAAUACCAUUGAUUUAGCUUUCACUUAUUAAUACUCUGUUCAUCUCUUCGAGUUUAAUAAAAAACAAACUAUAAUUAAUUUUAUAUUUUUUUAGCGUAAGAAAGGAAAGAAAGAAGAAGGGAGGAGUGAAAUAUAGAUAACAACUUAUUUAUAAAUAAUGAUAUGUCAACUUUGUGAUAGAAUUGCUAAUUUGUUUUAAAUUUUUUACUUCGGCAGUAAUUCUAUCAGAAAUUACUGAUGAAACGCAAUCCACUGCUAUUUUCAUCAGAAUUUGUCAACAAAUAUUUCCAUUGGCAAUUAGUAAUAAAACAUUAUUUGUCAGUAUAUAUUUUCAUUACUAUUUAUUAAUUUUCUAGCAGUUCAAUUCAUGAAAGUUUUACUUUUUAUUACUUAACCUCGUGUUUAACCUUUGCUGACUAUGACCUUUGCUGACUAUGGCGGAGGCAGCCCUUACAGAUAUAUAGCUGCUGAAAUUAAGAACUGAAUUCCACCAAAAGAUUGAUUGCAUAAAAGACAAGAAGGAAAGACUGAAUAGCUUAUACGAACCAAACACAACAUGGAUUCUUACAUUUAAAGCACAUGUGGGAAAAUCAAGUAGAAAAGUUUAUAUUUUUCAUAGGGCUGCUAUAUUAGAAGAAGGACUGCAACAGCCCGUAGCUACGAUUACCAGAGAAGGGAAGCGCCAGCCAUUGUUGACAAAACUACAAGUACUGUAGAUCUGGAGAAUUGUCAGAGGAGAAUACUAAGCUUCAAUUUAUUUACUUUUAACCGAAGAUGAAAGCUUUAAUUUGAUACACAAUAUUUCAUCUGUCUUGUAUAUUUCUUAGUUUCAGCUGAUUCUCUCAAGAAAACUUAAGUACUCUCUCAAUUUCUCCAGUAUAGGAUAUAUGUUUUUAUUAUAUUUGAUCUUUGAUAUGCAGUCAUUCUGUGAGCAAACUCAUGAUUUUAUCUCUGAAACACUCAUUAAUUAUUUGAUCAUGCUCUUUUCAAUAUCUACUCCCUUUUUUUCCCUUUCAAUACAAAGGAGAUCCCAUCAGAGCUCACUGUAUAUACCUCCCAAUAUCUCUCUUCAUCUCGUUUAAUUAAUCUUCAUGUUUCCAGCUAGGGUUCAAUAUAGAAAGUACUCUUCAACAUUUUCUUCGUACCUUUUAAAACAUUUAUUUGUUAAGUUAUUUUUUCCCUGUUGAAUUCAUAUUCGUUGUUAAGUUAUUUUUUCCCUGUUGAAUUCAUAUUCGUUGAAACUUUAUUUUUUCCCUGUUGAAUUCAUAUUCGUUGAAACUUUAUGCCAAGGAACUUAUAGCUUAAUACAUAUCCCUCAUAUAGAGUCUUAGGGUCGAACUUUAUUUUUUUUUUACCCAUUAAGAAAAGAUUAAUAGUUCAACAGGUAUAUAUAGUAUAUGCGCAAGUGAGUUACUAGCUUAACUGAUAAUAGCCAAGUCGUAAGAGUCAAUUAGAGAGAAGAUAUUCCUGAUUCGAAUCUUACCACUUAUAUUUUUUAAUUUAUCCGUAGAUCGUGUUCAGGAGUGUAUCUGUUAUAUAAAAAAAAAGAAUAUAUAGUAUAUGCUUAUAUGUGGCAAAUAUUAAUGAUAAAGAGGUAAGAGGAGGGGAAGAGUGCAAGGUAGCAUGUCUUACAUUUUGCUCACAUCCAUGUAGAUGAAAGGUCAAAAGGAGAAAGCAAGUCCAUGCUUAUUAAAAUGUUGUUGGUGCAAGCAAAAAAGAUGGAUAAAGUGAUUUCUUAACUGACUGGGAUUUUAUACCCCAUGAAAUUGAUCUCUUCUCCUCUUAACUAAAUUCUCUUCCUCUUCCUCUCUCUCUCUCGCUUCUCGGUUUUAUUAUCAUUACAGUCACCAUAUUGCCAUUAAUUUGUCCACAUCACAUUACCUAGAUAUUCUUCUUAAGAAUUUAUUAAGUGCUCAUCCAGGGCUGCCUAGCUAGCUUGCUAGGUAGCUGUUUUCUCUUACUUUUUCUCUAGUCUAAAAAUAUUAUUGAAUUAUUGGUCAAUCUUGCUCUGUAUGGUGGGAUUUGGGUGAUUCAUGAAAACCCUGUUGAACCUAAUCUUGAAAUUAGAAGUUAACUCUUUGCUUGCUUAAUUCUUGCUCCUGUGUGCCUUUACAUUUCAUGUGCCUUCACUGAAAGCUGCUUCACGGUUCUUUCAGUUUUCUUCGCGUCUCCUUUCAUAAACUGAUAUAUAAAAUAUAAAUCCUUAACGUGAAAUAAUAUCCACUAUGCUAUUUUAAUUCCUCACAAUUAUAGAAAGGUCAUCUGACUGAGACUUUGUUGUUGUUUCUCUCAGGUUAUAAAUAAGGGAAGUCUUCACAUAUUAUAUAUAUAGCUAGCCUUAGUGGAUUACUAAUUAAUUGAUGCCUGAUCUUCACAUAUAUCAAGUGGACGACCGUGAUAAUUUGAUAUAUUCUUCAUCCUCUCCAUUUUACUAUAAUAAGCAGCCCUUUCAAGGCCCCAUGUACACAAACAUGCAUGCGUUCUUGAACAGUUUUUAACCUACAGGAGUUUUUAUUUGAAUGAGUAAGAGGUGAGGGAUCAUCAUCUGCAGAACUGUUUCUCUCUUUCAACUCCAUCAUGAUUAAACAAUUUGAAUCAGAUUGCACUGUGUAGCACUAUUUUCUGGAUUCCAAAUAUAAGAUUCAUUGGCGAACACCUCCUAAAAAGGCUGGUAAGUGCAUCUACGUACAAGCGAUCUUUGGUUAGUUUAAAAUUCUACUUGAACGUGUGGAUUGUCAUAAUUAAACCUGGUUGAAAAGGGAUUUAUUUUCACUGUACAAAAGACUGGCGCAUGAUCAGGAUAUAUACCUAGCUAGAGUAUUAAAGCUAGGAGAGCAUGAUUUGUACCCUAAAGUUGGGAGUUGAAGGAAGAAACAUGAAAUUAAAUCUCAACAAGUUUAAUUAGGCAAGCACGAUAUUGAUUGGUAACUUGUAUACCAAAAAAUUGACAAGAAAUAUAGUAUUGUAUACUCUAGCAAGUAAUCAUGUAUAAUAAUCAAUUAUAAAUUGGUUGAAAAAUCAAAUGGGAGUAUGCAUGUGUUUACACACAAAAUUAGGAAAUAGUAGAUGAGGUAAUUGAUCCAUGUUUACGAAAACAAAUCCAUUCCGAUUAAUAUGAUGAUCUGAGAAAGCCAUAGGGCAUCACAUCUAGCUAUAGGGCACGUUCCUCUCGGUAUUAAAAGCAAAACUUUAUGCCUUGAUUACUUGAAAUGGAAGCUUUUUCUCAGUGAAAUGCUUACCAGCUAUACAAAAUAUAUAUUGAAAUUGUUGAUUGUAUCUUAAUUAGUAACAGAAUGAUCUUUCAUUAAUUUACUCACUCUAUCUGAAUCCCUUGUACAAGUCUUGCUUCCUACACAAGUCAUCGGAUGACACCAUACAAGAAACCAUGGAAAUUCCAUGUCUAAAUUAUAUAUGAAGCUCAAGCUGUUACAUAUAAAAGACUUCUUUUUCUUUUUCUGUAGUGUUCCAAAUACACUGUCCUUGCACAUCAUUAAUUUGAUUUUUAGAUAACUAUAUGCACAGAGGGUUCUUACCUUCAAAAUGCUAGCUUUCAUGCACCUCUAUAUAUAUCUUUCGGUGUCACAAUGGAUCAUGGUUGUGUUUUCUCUUAGUAGUUAGCUGCUUAAUUGCAAUGAAACGGUCUAGGGUUUAUACAAAAAAUUGUUCCAUCCAUCUCUCGAUUAAAUUUAAAAAAUGGUUUGUAAUUUGAUUCUGUGUUUUGAUGUCUUCAUUUCUUGGCAUUAUAUUUUGUGUUUAAUACUGUAUUAUAUAUUAAUUAAGUGUAAACCAAAAAGAGAAGCAUAAAUUGAAGCACAUCUAGUGAUGCAAUUGAAGUUGUAUAAAUUAGAGGUUCUAAGUAUUUAAGUGAGAAUUUAUAUUGUCAGAUGCGGAUCCAAGUAGAUUAUAUAAUGACUUAAUAGAUAUUUUUAUGGACAAGUAAGAUAUGUUUAGGCUUAAAAUAAGACUUGGUCAUGCCAAACUAAGUUAUCAACUUAAAACUUAAAUAACAGAAGAUCCGAUUGUUAGAUCGAGGUUAAAUUUUUUCAAGUAGUUCUACAAUCAGUUUUCUGUGAGAGGUCACUUAUCAAAUUAUUGAAUUUCUCGGAUUUAUUAUUUUUAUUUUGGAUUCUAUUUUAAUUUCCUUAAUAUUUUUGAAUUUUAGGUUGUUUUCUAGUAGAGUUAGUUUUUCUAGUCUAUUUAAAGGUCUUGUAAACUCUUAACGAGGUAGCUACUAUAUAUUUAAAUUUUAAAAAAUAAAAUUAUGAAUUUAGAAUUUAUAUUUACAAUUUUUUUCACUCAUUAAAAUUCUUGUAUUUUCUAAGUUAUUGAUGUCCUAUUAGACCUAGCUAGGUCCAUUUUAAUAUGAAGAAUUCACAAAUAUGCAAAAUCAGUACUAAUUACUAUUUCAAUUACUAAAAAAUGGCUUCUGAUUUGAAAUUAAUUUUAAUCUCCUAAUGAUAAAUUAACAGGGAAUUACGAGCUUAAACAAGUGGGAUUUUAACAAACAUUCUCCUUAAAUAUUAAUGGGACCCAAUAUCUCUUUUAAACCAGGAAAAUUAGAGAGUUGUGCAUAAUUAAGUGCGUAAUUAAACUCUCAAUUCUGCCUUCUCUCGAUGAAGCAAGGCAUUGAAGCAACAAACAAAUCCCAUCUGCCUAUUAAUUGGUCUUCUUGUGAAAAUCAUCAGGUACCUUAGCCUACCACACUGAAAAAAUGACCAAUCAAGCAACACACCUUCCCAUUUCUCUUACUGUUCUUCAACAUUUCAAGCUAACCCAUCUUUUCCCAACCACACUGCUUGUGACAUUCACAAGCACUACAACGCACCUCAGAAAAAACAUUAAUUUUGACCUAAAUAUUGAUGAACCAUCACUGCUUACCCUCCUACAAAAUCCUAUUAUUACAAUUUGUGGUCCCUUUCUCAAGCUUCCAUGCAAACCAAUCUCUUUCCUAGGAUUCUUCUAUCCAUCUUGCAGGAUGCAAUUUGUUACAUGGAAUUCCGGCCUCAAUAGAAUAUAUAUUCUACUUGGCUUUAUUCAAACAUAUAUAAUUUUCUCCAAGUGAUGUCAACCAAUGGUCAUACCUUCUUACGGCCCCAUAAAACUAUGUAGAGUCUUUUUAGAAUUUGAAGGCGAUCUUCCAUGUUUAGGUUACACAUAAUGGCAAUUCCCUCCCUUCUUUUUCCUCUCAAAUCUCUCCAUUAGGGUAUUCUCGACCAGUUUUUGCAUAUCAAGACUAAAAUCCCUCUUUAAUUGAGUUUUAGAUAAGUUUUAGAUUCAAUGUCAAAUCACUUUCCCCAGAAUUAAUUUUUUUGUUAAAUUAAAAUUCACGUUUGGGUUAAGACCUAAAAUUCAUAAUUGUUUUUCAAAGCAAAAGAAUCGCAAGUUUCAAAUGGAAUGGUCUUAGCCAGUCACCAUUUUGGACUUUUAAGUUCAUAAAUUUGGUUUGUUUCAACCGAAAGCCAAUUUCGCAUAGAACCCAGGAGAUAAAGUAGCUAGAUUUUCAAAGUUAACUCUACAAUUUCGCAUAUAUAUAUUCUUCAUGAGAAGGUGUCAAGCAUUGACAAUAUUGGAAAUAAAAUAUUUUGCAUGAAUACUUGAAAACAUUGCUGAUCACCAACAAAAUGUGGAAAAAAAUAUGGCAAAUUUGUAGAGAAAAACUUAAUCAAGCACAGGAUGUUAGUAAUAUAUAUCUGGAUGAAUUAACCAUCAUCCCUACGAACCCAUCGGAAUCCGGUGAUGUUUCAUCCUGAUGUUGCUUAAAAUCCUCAGUUGUCCCACACCACCACAAGUACCGUAUAUGCUAUGAUUAGAAAACUGAUAGCUUCAUGAAAAAACCCUAACUUUAUGAAGUGGGAUCCAACAUAAGAUAAUGAUUAAAAAAAAAAAAAGCUAACACAGGGAAGAUAGGUUUGAUGUCAAUUUCUCUGAGUCUCUACAUGCUUUCUAGCUAAAACUAACCCUAUUUAAUCCCUGCUAAAAUACUACGUAAGAUAGCGACCCCAAAGUACAGUAGGUGGGUCUUCUGGGGCUGUCUCUUUCAAUUUGUUUAUUCACAUUUGGUAACAAAUUAACUUGCACAAUUGUUUCAUUGUACCUCAAGUCAUUAAGACACAUACUUCGGCUCUAAAUAGAAAAUGACAGCAGAGCUACUCUUACUUUUUCUCACUUCUUUAUAACUCAUGUCCACAAUUAGUUAUUCCCGUUGUAAAAACUCUUGUUUCCAAGUCCAAGAAGUUAACUUAACAGUAACCUUUCAUCGUUCGUUUUGAAAUAAACUGCAUUUUCAAUCCAGCUUAGAAAACCAGUAAAGUUGAAGGGCUAAAAUGCAAUUGCAUUACUUCAAAUUUUUUUUUGAUUAACGUAGGUGUUUGGUCAAUUUGCGCACACCUCAACUAAUUUUAGGGGUCCUGAAGUUAUAACCAUGUAAGUCUCCAGUAACCCUGAGAUUUGUGAAACUCGAACUAAUAAUUUUUAAAAAGCAAACCCAAAACCUGUCUAGUUAAACUACACCCCGCAAGUUGCAUUCCUUUGAUUUUCAUAGCACAAAACAUGCUAUUUUAAAUAUGAGACUUGAUCGGGCUGUAACAAGAGUAUUAGACAAGAUAUCCCAAGGAUGAGGUGGCCUCCGUACUCCUGCUUCUACAUUGAAGAAUAAGUCACAAGGAAUCGUGAGAAUUCAUAUGUUCAUUGCUUAUGGGGUUUGUGUUUUGAUGCUUAAAAACGUUGGUGGCUGCUGGUAGUGCUGCUCCCGUCUUCAAGGUUUUGCCAGAAUCUGGUGACGGGGAUUUGGUGGCUAGCUAGCUAACUCCCCUUCCCUUUUCUUGCAAACUGAUAAGUAGAAUACAUCCCAAAUGGGGAGUCUGAAUUUAUGAAUCCCAACUCUGAAGGGAAGACAUGCAAGCUUAGUGUUUAACAACAUAGAAGAACACCUAUGAAAGUCGUUCACCAUAUCAAUGGGAGGUUUCGUCUCUUAUGAACACUUCCCCAUCCAUUUGUUAUCGUUAGGAUGACAAUUACAUCAAUGCUUGAUGCAUGAUGGAUCAUCCAAACCGACCCAAACAAAUUAAAUAUUCUAUAAAUAGUUAUUGUUUAGAUCAAAUUUGGAUAAUAAAACCCCAAAAAACCACCAAAGUUAUAAAUAAUAAAUAUUAUUCUAUCUGACCCGAAACUUGAUAUAUGUAUAUGGAUACAUCCAUGAUCCAUAUCACAGGUGUGCUCAUUCGACCGGCGACUUGUGGAUUUGAGGAAUUGGAGGUUCUUUGAUGGCAUGAAUGUUGCACAAAUUAUCAUGUGUCAUAUAUAGGACGCGUGAGUGGCAUAAAAGAGUAACUGAACAUGUGAGGAUAUUGAAUGAAGAGAAAGGUUUUGUUGUUGCUAGCAUGAUGGAUACUGAAGGCAGUGAGAUCGAUUCAUAUGGGCUAUCUUGGUGGUGCUUCAUCUGCUGAAGCUAAAGCAGGGGUGAGAAAAUUAAUUGAAUUAUUCGGAAUAUCAGUAAAAACAACCUAAAAUCAAUCAAAUUGAACAGUUUUAUGAAUUUUGUUGGGCAAUUUCGAUUAAAAUUAAUCAAAUUGAUUAUAUAAUUUGCAAAAUGAUUUUCUUAUUAGAUUUAUUUAAAGUAUGCAUUCAGAUUAGGAGUUAUUUUUGCAAAACUUGGUAACUAUUUUAACCAAAAAUUUGAUAAGAUCAGCUUCAAAUAUUUAAAAUCCAUACCUGCCAAUGCCAUGUAAUGAAUUGGAUUUAUCUAAUCGUUUUGGAUUCGAAUAUAAAUAUGGAUAAUAUUAAGUUCCGAAUCUUGAGUACCCAACUGGCAUAUAUGCCAUCUUUAGUAACACGAGGCCCAUUGACUAAUGAAGGCCGGACAUCCUAAAGACCUUACAUGCCCAUUAUCUUCAAGGGCAUCUUGAAAUUUAACAGUCCAGAGACCUCCACGAUAUUCAUGGUAGAGCUAUAUGUGAUAUAGGUUCAGAGUUUUAAGACAGAACCAUGGUGAUGGUAGGCUUUUAGUUGAGCAACUAGCUUAAACCUUAUUAUGCUUAAUACCUGUGUUUUAUGGGACUAAGAAUUAAACAGCAUGCAAAUCAAGAAUCUCUGUAGCUUUCUUGAAUCAAUCAAACCAAUCAACAACUCCGAACCAGACAACUAAUGACAGCUUAAGUUAUUAUCCAAGUAAUUACUGCCAUCGCAGUGUAAGGGCUAGGGACUUCAAAAAUUGCAGACAUAAACAAUCCAGAUGCUUCUUGUAGGAAAAAACAUAACAAGGGAAGUCGAAACUAAACAUAUACCUUAUUCUAAAAAACAAGCAUAGGAUAUGAGGCUCACCAUAAAUCUUCUUUCAUUUACUUCGGGGGAUAAAUACUUCAACACAGACAGUGUGGCUGAAAAAGACAUAGCAAUUUAAGUUGCUCCAAUGACAGAAUGUGUUCAAAACCCGACAACAAUGCUAAUAUAGGAAAGAAAAAGAAAAGGAACUAAAUGAUAGCUGAAUAGUGUCAUAUAGAAACUCAAAGAGACUGGAGAGAAAGUUUAAAGAGUCUUUUGUUUGUUCUUCUGCAACUAUUUUGUAUGCAUUCAAGAUGUCUUUAAAAAGACUUUCAGUUUGACAGAGGUAGAGCAGAAAUGCAACAAACAUCCUAGUAGUUAGCCUGUACAUGAUAUACAUUCGAAAUUGAAAACUUGUUAUCUUUAUCUCCUUUGUUUCAGGAGUCUGCUGCUGGAUUUGAAAAGGUCUCAUUGACUUGUUUUUCUACACGCCCCGCAGUCGAAAGGGUAAGGAAGAACAUUGAGACUGUCAUGCAGGAGCAUAUGACUAAAUCCAACCUGUCAAGCCUAAUCUAUCAGCAGCAUUGUACAUUCGUAGUUUAUCCUAGCCAAGGCCAAAGAGUUGCUCCCCUCCAAUGGAAAAUGUUAGGCCCACGAAAGAAGAAGAGUUGUAAAUACUGUGAACCCAACUGCUAGCUGAUCUAAGAACAUAAUCAACAGCCAAAACCAACCUCAACAGAAAGAAGUUAAGUUCAUGCUUCAAUGGUAAGUUCAUGAGAGCAUUAACUACAUUAUAGAUCAUUGCUACAUAACAGAUGAGUUUGAUGGCAUUCUUUUCACCUAACAAUUUUUUUUUCUUGCCAGAGGUUCCCCUAACGUCAACCAGCCCCAAAUAAGAUAACACAAUCCCCUUUUUUUGCAAUAUGAAAAAAAACUAACAAAGUGAAACAAUAUCAAGAGAAAAUGACUCAGUAAGGAACACUGUUUUCCCUAAACGUUGCAAGGAAGGCAGAACAAUACCACUUGAGCCACAUACCUCACUCGUUCAAAACACACACUACUCAUACAUAAUAUAGGCAAUGUUUACACUCUGUUAUCCAAGAAAGACAGCAACUAUUCAUUAAACUAACCAACAAAAUGGAAGCUUGCAAAGAAGUAAUCAAUUCGAUCUCGGCAUACAAAUUUCAAGUGAAACAAUCCAAAUCAUUUACAAUGUUGCGAGAUUUGGAAUUUUUUUUACCUACAAGGACGAAUGCGAGGGAAAGUGCGAGAAUCGAAGAGAACAGGCCAGAAGUAGAAGCAACUGACGGCCCAAAGCCAAGGCAAGAAUGCGAAUCCGAAUUUGUAAAAUCUACGUGCGUAGGUUAACGAUUCGUCUUCUAUUAGACCUAGUGGUCCAUCGAUUGUUGACCACACUGGUGUUGACGAUAGUAUUCAGUUAGUGUUGUUAGGGUUUGGAUUGGCGGUCGAUGUGGUGGCGGUGUUAGUUUCUGAGGCUUCCAUUGAAGCAGAAACGACGUCGUGAUCGUGAAGGAUUUAAACGACAGCACGGUUCUUAGCUCUCUCCUCGUUGAUUCGUAACGAGGAAAAAUGGGACCAGAUAGAGCAAAUACGCCGUCGCUUCUUAGAGCCAGAAUUUUGUUCAAUAAAUUAAAUGCACGGUUUGGUCCCAAACGUAUGACUCCAGUCUCAAUUAAGUCUUAAAUAUUUUAAUUUUAUCAAUUGUAUCCUAAACCUAUUUCAUGUCAAACAAAAUAACUCCUCAUCCAUUCUCUAUUAAACUAACUAUCGAGUAAGUUUUUAUAACUAUAUUUUUAAAGUUAUUUAAUUAUAUUAUCAAAUUAAUUAAGUUUAUUGAACUAAGUUAAUAAUUAACUCAGAUCUUAGAUUUUUCUUUCUUUUCUAAAAACAAAUAUUGAUGUCGCCUAAACAAUAUGCUUUUAUAUUAUAAAAAAUUUGACCCGGCUCACAAUAUAACUCAAGACACCUAUCUAGUCUAAUAACUAUAACACUUGUAUAUUUUUUGAAACUUAUACUAUAUUAUUAUCGAAACUAUGUCACGAUCCUUUCAUAUACAUAUAUGAAGAUAUCGAUUUUUUGAAAAAUAAAAUCUGGUUGAUCAUUUUUUAAAAUUUAAAAAGCAAGGCAAAAAAAAUAAGGUACAAGGAUUCCAUUGGAAAUUUUGAUGAACGUCAUGCCCUGAAAUUGUAAUCAAUUUUGUUACGAGGUCCAAAACGACACUUCGUUUGUUGUGAUGAGUGAGGAUGUCCAUCGUUCUGAAAUUGAAAUCAAAAUGGCGUCGUUUGCUUCGGCAUUUUAUACUAUAGAAAGUCCAAUAUUCCGUUUAUAUUUACGAACCUGCCACUAGCUGUAAACACUGACUCGCAGGGGGGACAGCGGAUUUUCUUUGUUUCUGUGCAAGAUUAUGCGUGAACAGUUAAGGACAUAUAGGAAAUUAACCAGUGCCUGCAUUUCAUGCAUCGUUGAAUAUGAAUCGGAGCUUAAAAAAGAAGAGAAAAAUCCUUACAAUUUAAUAAUUAAUGGUUGGUUGAAGGUUGGAAAAAGUGGAUGAAGAGUACUGGCUUGACCUUGAACAUGAUCAUCAUGGCCAACUUUUCUUUUUUUAGUAAUUAAUUGAGGAAUAAUAUUAUUAAGAUUUAGUUAGUAUCAUUAAAAUAUAUAUAUAAAUUAAUUGACUAAAAGAAAAUUUACAAUGUGAUCAAAGUUCAUAGAUUUUCUAGUUAGUUCAAACAUCUUUAGAUAUUCUAGUUUAGUUGAAGGGAGAUGGAGGACUAAGAAAGGUUGUCUUGUAAGAUGACUAAGAAUAUUUUCUAUCUACUUUGGAUGAAUAUCGGUCCCAUGGGAAUGGCAGAAAAGCAAGCUAAUUGGAUGGAAUUUUAUCUAUCUAACCUAUUUAACCUUUGUGCACUUGCUUUUGUUUGUCCCUUUUAAGCUUCAUUUAUUUUUUUGAAAAAAAAAACCCAUCACUUGCAAAAUAGUAAUUAACUGAAAGCUUUUUUUUUUUCCUCGUUAAUUUAUUAAAAAAAUUGAAAUCUAUCUAAUAAGAGAAUGAAAUAAUGAUUGAUUAUAAUAGUUAAAAUUGGGAUUUGUAUUUAAGGAUGAACUGUUUUUUCUUGGAUCCUUUCUUAGCCUUGCUGCCUUCUUGUUUCUUGAUUCUUUGACCUGUGAAGCUGUUUGGUGUAAUAAUUUAAAUGGAUAAUCAGAUUGGUUGAUGCAUGUUCACUUUGGCUUUUGCUUGUUCCCAUAACCACUGCAUCGAUCUGUGAGUUGCAGAAUGUACGAUAGUGGUGGAAUUUGACCUUCAGGAUUCAUCAUGAUUCCUCGGUAAUUUUAUGUUUCCCAAGUUUAGCAUGAAUCAUAAGAAUGGUUGCAAGUUGGACUGCAUAGCAUCAGAAAUUGAGGGAUUGAGGGAUUGAUGUUUGCAAAAUGUUCUGAAGAUUGUACAGAUAUACAUUGAAGGAAAAGGCAAAAUCUUAGUCGAGACAUGUUGAGCCACACUCGGUCACGCAAUGUUCUGGCAAUAAGGUGAAGGUUUUCGCCAAAAGUCCAGAAAGAAACUUGAAGUAUAUCCUCAACGAUCCUAAUUUCUGUGCAAAUCUUAGAUUGCUUUUAUUGAUUCCUUUUCACUUUCACCAAUUUCACCACAACAAACCCUCACUUUUGUGGGCCUCUAAAGUGCUUGCAAAGCCCUAGGAGGGUUAUCAGAGAAAGCAAUAGUAUUUAGCACUCAUAAAAUGUCAUCGAUCUAGCUACCAUCUGUUAGUUGAAUCAGAAAUGGGAAAUGGGAAAUGGGAUGUAGUCAGAUUGAGUUGUUCUGAUCCUUAAUCUGACAUGAAAAGGGACUAAAGCAAUUGUUAUGCUCCCAAACAUAUCAAAAGAAGGAAAAAGCCAACACCUUUGUAAAAGUCAUUGCUUGAAUGCACUCCAACUUAGGUUACACCAGGCAGACCAAAGCUCUCCUAGCUAGUGAUGCGUUCACAUGCCCACCUUGGUGGUGGCUCCCUUCCCUCAUGAUUUUAACAGUACUGCCAUAGACUUGUGGAUGAGAAAGGGAGAGGAAUCUCUCUGUACUAUGAAGACGGGAAAUAAAGGUGGUAGGCAAUGAGCAAAAAUCAGUGUUGGGGUCAGUUCCACCCACUAUUGGAGACUGAAUUGCGUCUGGUACGCUAACAUGGGUGUAAAAGGAGCCUCUUGGAUCCUACCAUGGGUGGCCUAAUACCCAUGCAAAUUAUCUUUUCUGGUGAUCAUGCUUUUGACCAUUGGAGAAUUUCAGCUGGGAAUGUUUUGACUAUUAAACUCUGAUCUUUUGUUUAAUCAUAAUCACCUCUUUUGCAUAAUCUUUAUCAACCAUUAAUUACAUUGAUCUGUGCACACUUCUUCACAAGGAGAAAAGCACAGCUCUAGUUCCAUAUACUAUAUAUAAUAACACUUCAAUACUAGGACAAACAUCACAGGAUAUUAACACAUACCCCUUCUUAACUAUGUGUAUACUAUAAUACUUCUUACACAUAAUAAAUAUCUUCGUAACUAUAAUUAAAGACUAGCAAAAUUCCUACUCAGCAAAUAUUCGGGCCAAAGCCUACGAAUUCAUUAGCUUCGUCAACAGAAAUUUGAAUCCCUUCUUGUUGAAUGUUUCCGAGGAUGGAAAGCCCUGAUGGGGAAGGAGCAAAUGCAAAACAAAAGGUUCCUGCAUCAUCCACUGGAAUUAAGAAGUUAUUUGCUGGAAUGGUUAGGAUUGGCCCGCCUGAGAAGUAAAAUGAAACAGUCGGUACCCGAACUGACAGAAACCCGAAUAGGUUAUAACAAGUAUCAAAUAUGGAUACUCCAGAAGCCCGGGGGAGGUUUUGGGUUUGCUCAAUAAAGGCAUUACGAAACGCUUCGUAAGCCACCGUAGGGAACCGAGUCACAGCCGUCCCAGUGUCCAUAACAACACCUCCACUUCCCAGUUCAUUUAAUUGGAAUACAUCUUCAGAUACAGGCACCCUCGUGUCUCCAACUCCGAGACCCAAAAGUCUGAUAUAGUAAAAACUCGGUGCCCGCGGGUUUCGAACCAAAGGGAUCCAUGCAGCUCCCACGGGCAUUGCUUCAGACCCGAAUUCCAAAAAUCCAUUUGUAUUAGUCCCCCUGCUCACUAAACAAUAACUAAAUGCAUUCCCGGUCUGACCACUCAAUUGACCCAUAAAUGACAUGGAUCCACCUCCAAGUCCCAAUAAGCCGGCAGCACCAACAAACAUGCCCCGAUUACUAUGCCCGCAUCCGAUAGCCACAUUUCGAACCACGGUUCGUCCAAAUGUAAGUGUUUCGAGGGCAAGAGUCCCUUUUGUAUACGAUCCAUCACCAUAUGAUACCUCGUAGCGACACCGACCCGAAUUACAACCCGCAUUCUCCACCCGGUCACAAACUGCCGAGCUACAAGACACCCCCAUAAAUGAUGCUGAGUCUGCCGGGUCAAAUAGCGGGUCGGUUUGAUGAUAACAUUGGGUGCAGGGUUUACAUUGAACCCAAACAAUAUCACUGCCCGAAUCAAUAACCAUGUAUUGACUUCUCGGCGGACUACCAAGUCCUAUCCUAACAAAAUAUUCUCCACUACCUUGGUUCAUGCCUGACACCACAUCUGACCCAAAAUCUUCUACCUCAUACUUGGCGGCGCUGCCACUUGAAAGGCGGUGUAUAAGGCUAGCCACCCUCUUCACGUCUCUAUGCAUGCGUGCAUGAAAAACGUGGCUAUGGUUAUGUAACUUGUUGCUGAAAGAUACCUUGUCUCUGUGGACAAGUUUUAGUUUCUGCUUUCCCCCACUUUCGCUAUCAUUUGGAUUGGUCUUGAAUAGUUCUUGAUACUGGGAUGGUUUUAUGGGCCUAGUUUUUGUUUCUGUUAAUGCUUGUUUCACGUUCAAGAGUUGAAAAUCAGGGUAUAAAGUGGUUUUGGUUUUGGCUUUGGAAAUGUUGUCAUGAUGAGUGGUAGCGGUAGAGGUGUUGGUGGAGGUUUUGGUGGUGGUGGUGCUUAUUGCAAGCUGUAAUAACAUUACCACCACCAAGACAAGUAGUGCUUGAGAGGCUGGCAUGUUUUUAAUGUUUUGGUUGGUAGCUAGCAGUACUUCUUGCUCUGGGGAACGAACGAGAGGGAAGGGAGGGAUUUAUUUGGAUUGAGUCAUGGGAUGUGUAGAAAGAAAGGGUGUGUGUGGGGUUUGAAAUAAUUGGAGUGAUGGGUUACUGUAUGUUUCUUUUGGAGUUUUGUUUUUGGAUUGACACUGAGAGGUGUUUUGUUUUGAGAAGAAAUUAGUGGGUCUUCUGCUCCUUAACUUUGCAGUAUCUCUUUUCUACUUUUAGGAAAAGUUGAUAUAUACAUAUAUGUAUGGCGACCACAGAGGGCAUCGAAUCAUGAAUUUGACCACCUAGCUAGCUUUCGCAACACAUAUUUAGUGCAGCAAGCGAAGUGAAUUUUCUCGAUUAAUUAUCUCCUGUCUUUUCCCUUCAUCUCAUGAUCAACCUCUUAAUUUUUUACUAGCAUAUACGUACUCAUGGCAAAGGUAACUCACGUGUGGAUUAUUGCAGAGUUGUCAUUCAUAUGUGAUCAACUAAUCCGUCUGUGCUAUUAGUUUUAGACGCAUAAUCUUUGCUGUCCAGGCUAACUCAGGAUACUUCAGUAGCAAUCUUUGUUAUUUAGUGAUGUAGCUUUGUGUUGGCAGCAGUGGCACUUGUAGUCUAAUGGCACCUUCAUUCCAUCCCUAUGGAGACAUUUCGAGCAAAAUAAAAUAGAAUUAUCAUUCCUGGAAUCAGGAUUUGAUAGUGGGAACAAGGCAAGGAAUUGGUCAGUACUGGAUCUCCUUUUACUCGUGUAACUCAAAAACCGUAAAAGGGGACAAUAUAUUGUUGUGCUCUUUUUGGUCAAGGAUUGAUAAUGAUUUCACUUGUUAUUACAGCAAAUUACAUUAUAGAACAUAGAAUGGACUAAUAAUUACCAGAACUCAAAUAAUUGUUUCUCUUAAUAAUGAUGCUUAUCAAUUAAAGUUGUGUUAUUAUGCUCUUGAUUGUUCAAAAUAGCAAGGGCUCAUGUUUUCAGAAAAAAAAAAUCAAAACAAUUAUCUCAAUUAAAAAACUUAAACUUAACAUAUUGAAAGAGACUUUAAAAGAGAUUUUAUAUUAUUUUCUAAUAUUGUUUAAUUUUUAUUUAGUAAAGGGUGAUGAGUAUUGAAUUUGUGGUUGUUUGCAAAUCAAUAAUAUAAUAAUAUAUUAAAAAAUCAUUUUAACUAAAAAAAUUUAAUUAUUGAAUAAAACACUGAAAAUAAUUUAUAUUAAUUUUUAACAAAAAGCUACAUGUUCAACAAUAUUACUACGAAAAGUUUCCACUUGCACCACUUGUUAGUUUGAUAUUUUUUGCACAAGAUAACAAGGUGUCGUACCCCCUUGCGAGAGCACGACAUCACGUCAACCUUUCCCGAGCGAGUUGAGAGGUCUUUGUUUGGAUAAGGAGUCACCGUCUAGUGUUAUGGUUACUAGAAAACCUAACUAGUCUUUAGAGAUUCUAGGCAAGAGACUGGUUGCGUAAAUGAAAGAUAUUAGCACCCCUAGUACGUGUUACUUGAGGUAAGUUACAUCAUUUUUUGUUUGUGAGUUUUAUGAUUUGAUGGUGUUUCUAAAUUAUAUCAGCCUACCAUGACGGGUUUGCUAUGAUGAACAAAUUCAAGUUUGAUAGAUCAAGAAAUUGGUCUAAAAGAUCUUGACUUAAAAAGAUAUAAGAAGAAAGCAAGCUCAUUCACAACUCAUGUGCCGCAAAGGAGCUGAAGUUAGAAAUCCAGAGAGAUUUGAUCCUAAAUAUCACAACAUUAUAGUAAUUUGUCCACAAAAUUAUUUAAGGUUAUGAAUCGAACUUUCAAGGUGUUUGGUGUG